rnacentral:lncRNA from 1 species
AGGUAGAACUAGAAGAACUAGAGGGAUCCUCUCUACUUGGAUGAAGAAUUGAAACCCUAGCUUUGAUUCUGUAGAAGAGGUAUGAUCUCCAGGGGCCAGGGGACCUUGCUUAUAUGGUCUUUUCAGAUAAAUCUGGGCCGUCAGAUCAAACCGACAUUGAUCGCACAGUUUUCUUUGAUCCUUUAGGUCGGUGGAGCAUAAUACGCGAAACGUGUCCUGAUUGGACUCUGGAAGUGGGUGGGCGCCCAGGAGACUAGGGCGGGCACCCUGUCCUUGAGCCCUCUCGGCUUCCUGUUCGUUCUCGUGGCUUCUGGAGUCUUCUAGAUGAUAGAAAAUUGCGCGACACGUUAAUAUCUCUAUGUAAACCCGACGUGUGGGCCUUUCCUCCGUAUUUCCUGAUAACCCCCUGCAGAAAUAGACAAACACCAAAACUCGUGGAAUUCUGUCAGAUAAAACCCUAAGUCUAGGUGUUGGUUCCAUUUAGAUCCUUUUCCAUGAUUAGUUGAUGUUUAAAUGUGAGCAUUAAGGACCGUCAACACGCGCCUCUUUGGUGUCUGCUUUAACGUCGCCACCGCUAUGCAGGAUAUGGACCUCCUCCGUGCCUUCCUCCGCUUCGCUGACUCCUGCCGAGGCACCGACGCUGCGCACGUGGCUAUUUAGGUCAGUCAUCUCCGGGACGUCGUCUUCGAGCUCGAGGAUGUCGCCGACGAGUGGUCGUACCUCUCCGGCAAGGGCCUGGCCCGAGACUGCAUCAAUGUCAAGGCCUGGUUUGCCCUCUCGAGGCGGCUGCGUAAGGCCCGGGAGAGGCUCUGCCGGUUGUCCGCGGAUAAGGAGUAGUAUGGCAUCUGCUUGUCCAACGGCGGCGCCGGGCCCUUCGAUACCUGUAUUCGUCGGCCGCGGCUGGCAGACAGGGCACACUUUUUGGAGGAGGAGGAGGUGAUCAGCUUCUCGGUGCAUGAGAAGGAGCCGAUGGAGCUGCUGGUCAAGGACGCAGAGCCACGGCGUGCCCUGGUCGCCGUGUACGAGAUGCUUGGCGUCGGCAAAACCACCCUCGUCACGCGCGUGUACAAGCAGCUCGUGACGAUGAGGAGGCACUUCGACUGCUCCGCGUGGGUUGUCGUCUCGCAACACUCCACGACGGAAGAUCUCCUCCAGAAGAUGCUCAAGGAGCUGCACCGCGACGCCCGCUGGAACGAAGCCGGCGCAGGCUACCCAUCACUCGUGGGCCACAUUUCGCACCUUUAGGCCUUGUUCGUUUCUACUGGAUCAAUCUGUUUUUAGGCCCAUUCCAGGUGGAUUACUGCAGUCCGUUUUUAGUCUAGAUGGGAACUGAAAUAUGUAUUCGUUUUGGGCUGGCCUAGAAUGAAAACUGGCCCGAAACAAAAACUGGCUUCUUUUUUUCUAGUCUCCACGACCCGGAAUGAAACCGGACCUUCUACUAUUCGGAUCGGUUCUUGGCCCAAGUGGAGGAAUGAGUAGAGGAACUGGAUCUAAGGGCGAGAAUGGUUCCUGUGGAGGCAAACAACUGUAUUUGGGUCAGAAUUCAAUGUUUCAUCUUAGUACCUCGCUUCAGGCUUUUAACCGUGCUGAACCUCUGGUUGAAUGGGACUAAGAAGUUACCAUGCUCACUGACCAAUCUUCACAAUCUGCAGUAUCUCGGCAUCCGUUCCACUCUCAUUGAAGAGCUUCCAAAGGAAUUGGGCAACCUGCAGAAGCUGCAAACCUUGGAUGCCAAGCUGUCCAUGGUUCAGAGGCUGCCAAGCAGAAUUGCAAAACUGAGGAGCUUGCGCCAUGUUGGAGAUAAAAGCAAUUUAGCGAUGCAUAAAUUAAUUCUGACAACAAGAAAAAGACUAACAACAUGUAUCACAGAUCUAGCGCUACAAUUUGAGUCAAAUUAACGGGAUGUAGUGCUAGCAAUAGAAACGAUAUGAGACCAAACAACACAGAGAGGAUAGACAUCUUUACAGCGGGGUUGUCGGCGCAAAGGAAGAAGAGGAAGAAGAUGAAGACUGUCGACGGAAAUCGGCGAACACUAGGCGUAGAGGGAAGAAGAUGUCCAGCGAGCAGUCGCGACGGUGCUUUCCAAAAACCUAAUACGCCCUCUACCCCGUGCAGGGACGCGAGGAGACGUAGGCUUCAGAGCCUGCUCUCCCGACACAGAUGGCACGUCGGCGACGGGAUGGGGAAGACAGCGGCAGCGCAACAGUGUGGCGAGGAAGAGAUGAAACUCUCGGUACAAAGAACGGCGUCUCGCCCCAUAGUAUGGAAACUUUACCUGCCGUUUACGCACUUGCCAUAAUACAAGAAUAAUUUCUUACCAAAUAGGCCAGCGCAAUCUCCUCCAUGCAUGCAAAACUUCCAAGUAGCAAAAGGAAGCCGAGCAUCCGCAAGGGUCGAAGUGGGAAAUCGCGGGACCAUUCACGCGCAUGUCGUGCAUGCGCGCUCAUUGGCCUGGCCCGGCGAGGCGAGCGCGCGCGUGUGGUUGUUCCUUUUCCUCUCCCCAAUUGCUUCAACAAAAUAGAGAUAGCUCAACCUUUUAAGUUGGCCUCAGUCCACUUGAAAUAGCAAGGUAAAACUAAAGUCCCCCACCUUUCCGCAAUCAGUACCAGAAUAAUAUAACAUUCGUACCUUCCGCAUCGCCAAUCCCAUAUCUGAUGAAAUAAUAUAACAAUAGUUUAUAAUAUAUAUAUAUAUAUAUAUAUAUAUAUAUAUAUGACAAACAGUACGAGAAUAGUCUUAUUAUGCUAUAGUAGAAAUUGUUUAAGUAAAUAUCACCGCAAGACCAUGAAUGGAAAAAAGAGUUCCGCCGUCAUAACACAAAUGUACUAAAUCCAGGAGAAGUGGAGAACAAUAUUUUUCAGAUCUAGGGAAAACGAUGAAUGGUAUCUAUAACUCUUAGGCCAGUCUCAGUGGGGGUUUCACCAGGAUGUCAUACACAUUUAUUAGAGCGCCAUGUCAGCAAAACUGCACUUUUUGCAUGAAACGAAGAGGAGAGAGAAGGAAGUAGUUUCACCAUGGUGAAACUCCGCUGGCGUUGUUUCCCACGCGGUGAAACAUGAUGAAAUCCCCACUGAGGACUAAAUCGUUUCACCAUCUUGCAUAUGAUCUAAUCAUUUUGCAUUGUGGAGGUUGUUUCAUUGUUCGUUUCAUUGAUGCUUUGCUCAGCCUAGGAAACAUCAAGGUGAAACUCAUGCAUUGUGGAGGUUGUUUUAUUGUUCGUUUCAUUGAUGCUCUAUCAGCAGAUUUGUUUUGGAAACAGUGCAUUGAAACGGGCCAUUGAGACUGGCCUUAUAAAGUUAAACCCCACUAGAUGAAUUCUCUCUUAAUGCAAGGUGUCCACAUCAUUUCCCACUAAGUGCCCACUAAAUAUUUUAUCUCUUCAUGCAAGAUGUCCACAUCAUUCCCCACUAAGUUCAUGUCAUUCCAUAUUAAUUAUAAAAAAUAACCAUGUCAUCUAUAUCAUGUGAAAUACUUUAAAUCUUUAAUAUAUUCACAUACAAGUCAUGUACAUACAUUAUUUUUUUCAUCACCAAUUAAGUCCUCUAUAAUGUAACCAAAUAUUAGUUUUUGUUUUAUUAGCUUAGCAAUAUUUUACUAGAUCUAAUACAAUAAAAUACAUGCAAGUCAAAUUCAUAUGUGUACAUACAUAAUAGACUAAAUACUAUAUAGUAAUGCUAUGUAUAUAAUGAUUUAUUUUUAAGAAAAUCCUACAGCAAUGCGCGGGAAAUUCACCUAGUUAUAAUAUUAAUGGAAACAUGAAACGAUGGAUAAAAGAAAAAAUAAAAUAUGCAGAAAAACAUAAAUAUAGAAUGACUGAACAAAUAACAUAAAUAGAAAAAAUAAAAAAUUGAAUAAAGCAUAGUGGAAAACAAAAGAAAAUAAAAUCACGUAAUAGAGGAAAAUACAGGAAAAAUAAAAAAUAAAAUCACAUAGAUACUAUUUGAACAACAUAUAAUGCACUAUUGAACAUCACACGAGUACUAUAUAAAUAAUAAAAAUAAUUAUGACAUAUCCCACUUGUAUUACAAGGAAAUCAUAUAUAGAACAUGAUUUUUGAAAAAUAUAAACCAUGGUAAUACAAAUAAUUAGAGUAAAAUCACAAAUAAAAAAUAAUUAAUCACAAAAUAAGAAAUAUAGAAAAUAAAAGGGAAAGAUAAACGAAAGAGAAACAGAAGAAAAGAAAGAAAACAAAAAGAACAAAAAAUGGAAAAAAGUGAAAUAAGUAAAAUAAUUAAUUUACAAAAAAGAAAUAAAGAAAAUGGAAAAAAUAAAACAUCAAGGAGAACAGAAAGAGGAAAAAAGAAAUUAAAAAAAGAGGAAAAACUCAUCAUGGUUCCACGAUCUUCGCUAGUAUUGAGGCGACCUGCAGUGGUGUCAAGCAUGCUCGCACAUCCGGACCAACGAUGACAACUGCUAUUUCUUCUUCUUCGACUAAUAAGUCUAGUAUCGAUAAAUUACAAGACUAACUCAUAAAUAUAUAAAUUUGGAUAACAUCUCCAUUUCAUGUUUAAAUGGACAACAUAAUUUACGUAAACAUGUAUAGUUGGCUCCGGAGCAUGAUAACAAAUGUUGACGUCAAUGUAUUGGUCCUCUUGUUGUGCAGUUCUAAAAAGUCGACUUAUAAUCAGUUAAUCUUUCAUAGAAUUUUCAGGUCAACAUUAAACGAGAGAUUUGGGGUGUGAGAAUGAAAAAUUACAUAACUAAAAUUUGGCAAUUGGCAUCAAGUGUCUGCAGUUUGCUAUCAGUUUUUCGAUGAAAAACUAAAUUAUAAAAAAACCCAAGUCUCAACUGUGACGGUUGAGUGGAAUAUAAAAGAGAGACAUCCUAGGGUUGAAAGGCGUCUAGGGAAGGUGCCCACAACUUGGGCUUAAGCCCCAACUCGAUACAUGGCCAAGUUGGCCCAAAAUAGGUGACGCAACACUUUGUCGUGGUCACACGGAUUAAUCCACGGGUCAUCUGGAGCUAGGAGCAAAUCCAAAAUGAUGGCAUCAUCAUCCCCUUUCAAACGAGUCCAAGAUGUCCUUGUUUCGAUGUCGUAUGAAGAAGUUAUGAUCGAAACAUUAUCGACGUGUCUGCUGAAUCCGAGUGUGACAUGGAAGCUGAGUUGGAGAAGAAUUACAACUUGGAAAAGACGAUGGUGUAGGCGUGUCCAGCGUGGCGAUUUCUUCAUCAUCCUCCCCUUCGUGAAUUGUAGUCGUCCACGACUCCAUCUUGGUGAUGUCCUCGUCAGGAGCUUUUGGGGCUAGAGAGGUGCCUUGGCUGAAGCUUUGGUCGAGUGAAUGAGUUCCCCCAACGGUUAGAAGUGAGGGAAGAGUUAUUUAUACAAGUACUCAUAGAUGAGCUACCAGUAUUAUCGAUGGGUAAUAUUCGUCUACUAGUCCCUAAGUUUCUAACCGUUGAAGCCAAUUAUAGUCAUAAAAGUGUUUCACUAGAAAAGUCCUACUAGUACUACCGAUAUUCCACCGGUACCACCGGUGCAUACCGGUACCUCCAAUAGUUCAAAUCUAUGCCAAACUUGGGUUGGCAACAGCGUUGUGUCUAAGCCUACUGGUACCACCAGUGGAGGAUCACCAAUCCUACCAGUGUACCAAGGCAAGAAAAGACUUUGCCUACCGGUACCACCGAUGAAGGCCACCGGUACUACUGGUGCACCCAGCCAAGAAAGGGCUUUUCGAAGUGCCCGUCAAGUGCUAGAGUGUCUCUCUUAUGGUUUAAUUAUUAUGAUUGAGCACUCUGUCUUCCUCGUACCAACUAAACUUGCAUCCCUUUAUAGUGCGGCAUAUCCCAAACUCAAGGUUGAAAGAAUAUAACCAUUUUAACCACUGGAGCCUUUAGAGCCUUCAUAUGCCACUUUUUCUUAGUAUCACUUUAUAAGGGGAUGCAAUUACUUUGUCUCCUAUCAUUGAGUAAAUAUAGCUUGAGCAUCUGACUUGAAUCAUUUCAACAUAUGUGAGUUCAAUCCAUGCCUUCAAGUCACUUCCAUUCAUGAUUUAAUUCUCAACACAAUAUGACUCCUCAUAGCUUGAUUAGUACCUCAAUUCAAUGGAAGUACUCUCUUCUUCACCUUAGGCAAGGUAACUCGGUCUACAAGCCAUGGCUUGCCCUUCAUCUUCGCUUAGUCCCUCGAAGUCCUUUCCUUGCUAUCCUCACCCUAUCGGGCUAGACUCAAGUCACAUCAUAUUAAACAUCCAUCAGAGAACCAUUUCAUGAAUGUUGUGAUCCUUGCUUGAAUAUCUUCUUGAUAUGAGUCUUGAUAUCAAUCAAGCUUUAGUUUAUAAUAAUACACAACUUUGGCCUUCAUUUGAAUAUUAUGUGAAAUACCAUAAAGUGUGCUUUCUUGUUGAACUUUGAUACACUUGUUAGACCUUUAAUUAUGUUGUCAUUCAAUUCACCAAAACCAACUAAAGGUCUAGAUGCACUUUCAACCUUCCACCGAUCAAUUGCAGCUCUAUUAUUAUGUUAACUUAAGUGUGAUGUCCAAUUAUUUCAUAUUGCCCGUGCCCAGGUAAUCUUUUGAAUGGUCUUUGGCUUGUAUUAUUAGGCAUUAUUACGAUAGUUAACAUAUGUAAGUGAAAGGAGUUCAGUUGAGGAAAGCUAAUUUGCUGAGAAACACAUCACAUAUUUCUAAUAAUAGUUUGCAAACUAAUAGAAAUGUAUUUGUUAUAUGGUACUAUUAUGUUUCAAAUAUGUUCUGUGAGCUAUAGUUUUUCUUAUUACCUAGAACUAAGCAUUCUGAUUUGUGUUUUCUCUGGAUUUCUUGCACGUUGACAUUCAGUGGUAACGUCAAAAGAGCACAAGAUGAGGUACAUUUAAGAGCUUGAGCAUAAUAUUGGGUUUCUCUGUAAUGCAUAAGAUCAUACUAGAGAAGGUAGGUCAUGACAUUGCUAUUGUGCAUGACAUUGGUGAAGGUAGAUCAUGUCCGCCAUGCAGAACACAAAUUGUUGGUGUGUUGUAUGUCCAAUGCACUUAUGUGAUUGCGAAAACUACACUUCACCUGCCAAUACUUUGUACUAGCUUAAAUGCCUAAUUCAUCAACAAAGCCCACCUUUAGUAAAUUACUCAAAUAUUAAAAAUUCUUUGUUUAACAGUUGUUUUGGGUGAUUUUAUGCCAUCCUAAGGUAUACCCAAGGCAGAAAAAAUCCGACGUGAAUUGAUACGGCGUUGCCGCCGUGGGGUACACAGGGUUGAACGGAGGAGUAGGUGAGAUUGAGAAUUGGAACGCAGAGUGUAUCGGGGAAACUUAGAGGAGGGUUCAUUGCCGGUGGCCACGGCUGAAGCGCCUGUGGACACCAUCGAAGGGAAACCCGCCCGCUCUUGGGAGGUUCUAUUUCCUUCGAGUGGUUGUAUAUUAGAAUAUCAUCAAAAAAAACCAAGACAAAGCAGCGGAUGAAUGAUUUGAGCACAUCGUUCAUGAGAGCAUGAAAUAUCAUCGGCGCAUUGGUGACGCCAAAAGGCAUGACGAGGAACUUGAAAUGCCCACGGUGGGUCUGAAAGGAUGUCUUGGCGACGUCAUCCAGAUGCAUGCGCACCUGGUGGUACCCGCUGCAUAAGUCAAUCUUGGUGAAGAAGUGGGCACCGUUUAGCUCGUCGAGUAGCUCGUCGACCACCGGAAUCAGAAACUUGUCCUUCACGGUGGCAUCGUUGAGGGCGCGAUAGUCCACGUAGAAGCGCUAACUGUCAUCGUGCUUGUGGACAAAGAGCACCGGGGAGGAAAAUGCUGAGGUCGACUCCCUGAUGAUCCCUUGGCUGAGCAUGUCCUCGCACUACUGCUCGAUUUCAUCCUUGAGGAGCUGCGGGUACCGGUACAGGCACACCGCCACCGGUGGAGUGCUUGGCAAGAGGUGGAUCCUGUGGUCAUGGCGCCGUGGUGGUGGCAGACCACGGGGCACCUAAAAAAUGUCGUGGUACGACUGCAGCAGCUCCUCCAGCACCGCACGGGGGUCCGCAAUGGUGUGGGCGGCCACACCCUAGUUGUUCAUGCCGGUCGAGUGAUGAGAACGGCCGUUGUACCAGAAGAACAUUGCUAGGGCGCCGAAACCCCAGACGAUGGGCCCCAGCUCUGGAGCCACUGGACGCCAAAGACCAGAUUGAAGCCGCCCAAGUCGAGUGCGAAGCAGUCGAUGGAGAAGGCCUCGCCGCCAAUGGUGACUGGAGUAGCAAGGCAGACACCCGAGCUGCGGACCCGGUCGCCAUUGGCCACCAUGACGCUGAGGCCGGUGUGUGGCGUGACGGUGAGACCCAGGCGCUGCGCAACCACAGAGUGCACGAAUGUGUGGGUGGAGCCCGUGUCCACCAACGCCCGAAGCUAGACACCGCCCACUGUGACCUGCAAUAGCAAAGAAUCCACAGAGUUGAGGCUGGUUAGCACGGAGAGGGAGAUCUCCAAGUCGUUGAUCUCUCUGAGUGGGUCCUCCUCGCCCUCCGCCAGGUCCAUGAGGAAGACACCGCCCUUGGAGGCGCACUUAUGAACUUUGCUACAAGGCUCAGGGCAAAAGUAGCAAUGCCCAUUCCGCCUUUUCUCCUCCAUCUCGGCCACCGAGAGAUGGCAAAAGCGAGGAUGGGGGCCCUCUAUCUUGUUGUGUGAUGCAGGGGCACUGGACACACCAGUGCUGGCCGACACGGUGACACGGCGGGUUGAUGGUUUAGGUGCAGCAGAGCUAUUGACCAUCGAAGCCUCCGCAUGGCGCUGCUCUUAUGCCCGUGCGAGACUCAUGGCCUUCUGAAGAUUGGUGGGGUACUGCAUCUCGACAUUGUGGGCCAGUGGCUAGCCAACCCACCCGUGUACAGGUCGAUCACCGUCCAUGGUGUGAGGCUAUCGCAACAUGCGAGUAGGGCGAGGAACCGCCACGAGUAGUCCUCCACUGAGCCUGUGCGGACCAAGGCCUUGAUCUCGGCAAUGGAGUUGGUGUGGAUCAGCGGCCCGAAGCAAAGGUUGACGAAGUCAACGAAGUGCGGCCACGACACCAUGCCGAAGUCACGCUCCAUCUGGGUACCAUUCAGUAGUGGUGCCGUCGAGGUGCAGGGACGCCAUCCACACCUUCUCAUCCUCUGGAACACAGUGUCCACGGAAGAAACUAUCGCACUUGUUGAGCCAAGUCAGAGGAUCAGACUCGCCGUUGAAGGUGGGAAAGGGGAUUUUGGGCGGCCUGUGCUGCUCUCGGUGGUGAUCGAUGAAUCCACCUCCACCACGGUCGUAGUCGUGGCCACCUCGUCCAUAGCCACGGUCGCCACGACCAGCGUAGCCGAAGUCGCGGUCAUCGCGUCCACCGCGCGAGUCGUAGCCGCGUCCGCUCCAAUCGUAGCAGUCUCGGUCGUCGUGGUAGUCGCAAUACUAUAGGGGGCCUGAUCCCGUGAGUCAGCCCCACGGGCGAAGCGACCCCACUCGCGAAGUGCCCGCUCGCGGUACUCGUUCCACGCACGAUCGCGCUCGAGAUCGUAUGCGUCGGCGUCCGUGUCCUGACGGUGUGUGUCGUCUCCGCCAUCCUGAUCCUCUGCUACACCAACGCCUUUACUAGAAUCAGGCUUGUCGGUCUCAAUGCGAGACAUUCGCUAGUCGUGGGAGUUGAGGCGGUUGGUGAUGGUGGUGAGCUGGGCGAACAUGCAAUCAAAUUUCGCAUCUAGCCGCGCCUCCAUGGCUGCAGGAUCGACAGGAGUGCCGGACAUGGUUGUCGAUGCACCCAGAUGGGUCUCCGAUACCAAAUUGAUACGGCGUUGCCGCCAUGGGGUACGUAGGGGAGAACGGAUGAGUAGAUGAGAUUGAGAAUUGGAACACAGAGUGUAUCGGGGAAACUGAGCGGAGGGUUCGUCGCCGGUGGCCACGGCUGAAGCGCCUGUGGACCUCGUCGAAGGGAAACCCGCCCGCUCUUGGGAGGUUCUAUUUCCUUCGAUACGGAUUACAUCCUUUCUAAGCCACCUUUAUAGGUUAGGUGCUUUCCCUAACAAACCAAAACAGAGAUCCUAAAAUCCCUCCCAACUUAUUGACUUCUAAAACUAACUAGAGGCACCUUAGCCACUAUUGGCUGCGGCACACCUGCCCCUGCGCCGGUACUGCCGGCCUACAAAGGAGUCCACAACAUGGACACACAGCUCUAGGUGAAAUGUGUGAAGUUCUUGGUGGGGGGCCAAUUGGUGGGUCAUAUUUUUUUUAUGUUAAACGUCAGAUCAAUGUAGAAACUUCGCUGCACCAAAAGACUAACUAUUUAUCUAUAUAAUAAUUCUUUUUUACAGCUGAUGAGAUUAAAGAGCUGUCGGAAGAAUAUGAAAACAAUUAAUUCUUCUAUUGAAGCAAAUCUUGUAAAAGAUUUUGACAAAGUAAGAAUGCAGUUGUUUUUGUAAUGUUCUUUCAGUGUUAUUAUUUGUCUCUCUUUCCAGUUUCUGAUUUUAAUUUUCAUGACUGCUAGCUGUAGCUAUGUAUACGUUUGCUUUUACUUAUCAAAUUCAUUAGAUUUACCAACCUUGGCAGAUUAUGAACUUCUAGAACAAGUUCAUCACAAGUACUUGGCCCAAGGUUGUUCUGAAUUGAAUCGGUGAUUAUGAGUUGCUUGCAUACUUGUAUGUCCUGAUAAGCUCACAUAAGACUUCUUGUAUGAUGUGACGAGUACAGUCUAAAUUUUGGAAGAAAGAAAUUUGCCUUUUUGGUUUGUUAUAGUUAGAAAAUGAUAUUUGUGCAUAGCUACUAAAUAGUAAUGGAAACUUUCUAUGAACUAACUAUCGUUCAACAAUCAACACUACUACACUAUUUUUUACAUGGAGGGAAAAAAAAUUAUCCGAGGCGGUUUUUGCAACCACCUUGGAGGUAAGGUCACGGUUAAUGUGACCAUUAACCGAGGCGGUUCCAUGCCCGCAACGGUUAAUCCGAAAAACAAAAAAAACCAGGGCCUGGAUCUAGGCCUCGCUCCAUGCCGGACCCGACCCGGCCACUACCGCCUGCAUGACGCUACUGUCGUUGCGACCGUGCUCACCGCCAUGAGGGUUGACGAAGAGCUCUUCUCGCCCAAAUCCGGCAUCGGCUUGCUCAUCGCCGCAGGAACUGCCACCAUCAACGGGGAGCUCCUCCCGUCUGGAUCCAUUAUCGAGGGGCGCCACCGCCCUAGAUCCUACACCAGGAGCCCACGAUGUGGUGAAAGAUGCCAGAGGUGGUGAUGGACGUCGGAGGUGGUGGAGGAGAGGGAGGGACGUGCACGUGCCGCCGCACCUGGAUCAAGCCGAGGAAGGCCUGGAUUCGUGAUGGUGGGGCCAGAUCUGAGGUGGUGGGGCUGGAUCCACCACACCGAAGUGCCCCGUGGCGCCGAGCACGCCCUUGGCCCUGUAGUUGUACAUAGCCUAGAUCCGCACCACCCAUGCGCGCUGCCCUAGAUCCGCGCGGCCCACGCACGCUUUGCCCUGGGCCGCCGACCGCCCGCACCCGUGCUGACCUCACACUGCAUCGAGGUAAAGGGUGGGAGGGAGAAGGGGCUGGUCGAAGGAGAAGUUGGGAGCAUCGGGUGGAGGCACCGUUGGAGAGAGAAGAGGGUGAGAGAAGUGGAGGUGAAGAAAACCCUAAGUCCUGCAUAUAUAGUAGCCCGAUAAGGUAGAAUGGGCCACAGAUUUCAUGGGCUUGGCUAGUCCCGAGCCUAUUAAUGGAGGCGGACUUUAUAAAUGGUCCGCCUCAGAAAAUAGGCUAAUUUCUAGAGACGGGCUCUAUUAUAAUAACCGCCUCUGUAAAUGGAUUUUGCGAGGUGGUUAAAAAAACUGCCUCGAUUAAUCAAAAGUGACUGCCAUCAAGGCAUUAGCUGAGGCGGUUUUCGGCGUUGUCCGCCUCCGGAAACAAUUUCAAAACGUCUCGCAAAAGAUUUUUUGUAGUAGUGCAAUUUUUGCAGAAAGAAUUAUGCCCUUUUGCAAUUUUGGUUUGUUAGUUAGCAGAUGAUACUUGUGCUACCAUAUACCCCUCUAGUCCACGAGCAGAUGGCUAGAGGGGUAUAUGAUAGCUGGCAUUAUUUAUUCUCUUUCGAGAAAAGAAUUUUAGAACCUAUAUAAUAUAUAUAUAUAUGUCCAAUUAUAUAUUUGCUUGUAUGGCAAUUAGUGGAGUUGCAACGUAAUUGUUCAAAAAGAAAAAUAUCAGAAUAUAAUUUGAGAGACUACCAUUUGUGAAAUAUUUUUUUUUUCUAUAGGGAGGAAUACCAUUCUUCUUUUAUGUUUUUGAAGAUAUUUAAAUCAUUAUCACUAAAAAGGAUUUCCCACAAAUCAUACAGCAUUCUGAUAUGUUCAGGGGUAACCAUUUUUAGUUGUUUUAUAUACUUUAUUUAGUUAUAAUUUGCAUAUAUCUGAAUGUUGUUGUAGUCUUAGUCCAGCGCCUUCUGGCCACGAGGUCCUCGUACCAGCUGCUAAAGCCGAGCCACCUGGAGCCGCCGAUGGGGUGGGUGCUUUGCUCAUUGUUGAAGUACUCCCACCACACCCCAGUUGUGGUCUUGAAGCCAACGAGGUAUAGGUUGUCAACGCGCAUGUCGACUGUGAGGAAGCUAGUCGAGUUGUGGAGGACGACAUGGAACCACAGCCUGGGACCGUUUGAUCACAUUUUCCCAUACUAUGUGGACGAAGUUGUCGUAGUCAGCUCGAUGAAAGAAUCCCUGAUCUCAGGUGUUUCCAGAUUGUAGAUUGUGAGUGUUGAUUGAUUGUGUAUUGUCUGUGAUAUAGGCAUCUAUAUGUAGUAGGAGAAAUAGGUACCUAUGUAAAUUUCAGAAACAUAAUCAGCCUAGUGUGAUCUCAAGCAUUAUGUUAUUGAUGCCAUUCUUUUUUUUGCAUAAAUUCCUAAUCAAUGCUCAAACCAAUUAGGCCUGGAGAGUUUUGUAGCAUAUGUUUUUAGAAACAUAAAGAUUUCUUUCUGCCGAUAUAAUAUAUUAUUUUAGCCAUAUUACAAAAAGUUCUAUAAAGUACAGUUUGUGAGCCUACAAUGCAGGCUCUCUAUGACUGUAUUAAUUUCAUAAACUUCUUUUUUUGAUUAAAUUUCACUUUAGUAUUGAUAUUUAAUUUUUAUAGUAUUAUUUUUUAUUGUGCGAUUUGUAUAUUUUUAAUAUAAAAUAUUAUAUAUCGCGUAACGAAGCAUGCAUGGUUAUCAGGUUCGUCAAAAAAAAAAAUCGUCACCCUGUGCAAGGUACGUACGGGCAUAGAUAGAUUGCAAACCAGAUUUUUUGAGAUUAUAUUAUUUUUGGCUGAUGUUGGAUCAGAGAUGGUCGCGAUGCCUAUACCUAACGCGCCAAUACUGGCCUUCCUAAUAAAUCCAGAAAUUACAAAAUCGUCGCCGCUUACAUUGGCAGGGGAAAUGGAUCGCAAGAAAUGAAUAGGAAUUCGGAAACCCAAUUGGAUUCAACCUUCUAUCUACACGCACACAUAUGUAAUGGCUAGGAAUUCGGAAAUCCAGUUGGAGCCGUCAGUCCGUCACCGUAUUCCCUUCAACCUUCUAUCCCGACUAGGAUUCAGCCAACGGAGCAGCCACACGGUAUCCACAUAGGUAAAGCAAAUCAAGGUGUACGCAGACGCCGAACAGUCUGAAAUCUUGAAGCAUCCAGAACAGUUUUACCCUAUAUAUAAACAGGCUAGAGCCGGUCAGCAGUAGAUACUCGCGACUUCCACGAUAAAUGGCGAACCACGAGCAUCUUCUGGAAUCGUAAGUCUCUAGAUCUCUACCUCUCCCUCUGUUAAUUGCUUGGAACUUGGAAGUCAUCCCUUAGUUUCUUCUUUAAUUUGCUCAUGCACACGCCAGUGCCCUAGAAAUUAACAAAAUCCUUUCCAUAUUUUUACAAUGGAAUCAACAUGUUUAUGCCUGGUUCUGGACCCAAAUAUAAUCUCUAGGGUUUAGUUUCAGUCUUAUAGACUUUUUUUUUGAGGAAAGCCAUUAGGCGCACUUUAUUGAUUUUGCAAGACAGUUACAUCUUUCACCAAGGCUCUUAGCAGAAAACUAGGGGGUUCAUUGAUCCAAUUACAUGUAAGCUUCUCAUGGAGCGCUAUUCAAGCUAAUUCAUGGGCUACACCAUUUGCUUUCCGUCUACAAUGUUCUAAUGAAAUAGAAACAAAAUCAAGCCACAUCAGUUCACACUGCUCAUAAAUUGGACCACUGAUGGUAGCUGUGAAUCCCCCUUGUCGCAUUGUCUCCACUACCUCCAAGCAAUCAGAUUAAAUUCUUAUUCUAUUGCAUCCCAUUGUCUGAGCUAGUACCAAUUCUUCUCUAAGUGCAGUUACUUCAGCAGUAAUAGCAUCAGACAUGAACUCAAGAUAGCUUAAGGAACCCGUUGAGUCCCUUAUAAUCGCACCUGUUUCUUCCGAUUCGAGUUCAGAUGUAUAACUUGCAUCUACAUUCAGUAGUAAUUCACUUUCAGGUGGUCUCCUCCAACAUUCUUCUUUCUUAAUGCAAUGCAUAUCCAAAUAAGCACUAUAUAUAUCUUCGUUUGAGUUCCCAGGUGAAUUUUGGGAAAGAGAAAAAGAACGUGUUACGACUUACAAUUUUACAGUUUGUAGUUUUUAGUAUUUUUCUUCUGUCACACGGUUUGGUGUAGAGUGUUCACUGUUCGAUCAGCGAGACUUUGGGAGUUUGGAGUACAUGCUGUUUCGAUCCCUCAGUAUUAGACCUAUACUAUAAUCAUGUUUUUGACAUUGGCUUGUCUUUGCAGGCAGAUGAUUAUUGAUUUACUUUUCAACAAAAUUAUAAUAAAUAAGAUGCACGAGAAAUUACUUUUUUAAAUGAGUGUGGUAAUUAACUUUCAACAGUGCCCUCUAUUUAGCCAUAUAGGAAAAACAAAAACUCCAUCAACAAUACUUUAAUAUCUUGCCUAUAGCUAUACAGCAAAUCUGAAGAGAGGGCAAGGGGCACGACAAAAACCAUGCCACAUCUUAACCCUUGAAAUAAGAGAGAAAAAUAGCCAGCAUUGUUGAGAUUGGCUGGGUUCUUUAGUUUUUGCUGCUAUUUCAUUUGUUCUAAGUAUAUUCCCUUUCGUGUAAGAUUCCGUCUGUGGGCUCGAAAUUAGAAUGCCAUGCCUCUGCUGAAAUAGUAGUAUCCAUACUGCUUGAUAUUUUGUUUGCUUCGCUGAAGUUACUAUAAAUAGAACUGGUUAAUUCUCGUCUUGUUUUACUGCAAUUGAAAUAAUCUGUGCUGGCACUGUACUGUUUCAGCACAAACGAGAGUCUUGAAGGCCAGAGCAGUGCUGAAUCCACACUGUCCCUGCAGGAACUCAACGAUGCUUUGAUUGGGAAGCCAGAGCAGUGCUGUCCUUCUGAAGUUGCAGCCCCACGUAUCGGUACAAGGGGGAGAUAUGCAAGGUAAGGCUGAUAGCCGCUUUUUUGUGUUUUGAAUUUUGAUAUGAAUGUACCUUGCUUGUCCCUUUCCAUUUUGCUUUCAAGUUCUUGUACUCUCGAAUGGAAGAUGCAAACGUGACCAACCCUGUGGUCUGCAGUUUAUUGCACUUCAAAUAUAAAUAAUCUGCCUGAUUUCAAGCUUCUCAUAAAAAGAAGGGCAAAGACCAUAAAUUUGAAUGAAGUAAAAUAGGCAUCCAUACCUCAGAUUCAUUCAUAUGUUCUUGUUAACUAAGAGCGGUCACAGCUCCAUUGUACGGAAAUAAGGUAUGAAACAUAUGGUGGAUCAUAUAUCACAAUUCACAAAGAAGCACAAAUGUGAACAUCAUCAUUCUUCUGCGUGAACUUUUGAUCAUUAUGUGUUGUUAUAUAUGAGAAUUGAUGAACUUUGAUCAUUAUGUACUGACAUAUGGGAAUUGAUACCCAUUUGUUUUACAACAUAGGAGUAAAGCGGGAUGGGCUUCCAAGGAACGGAGUACUCCUGAAGGUUACAACCGGGAGGCACACGCUUGGCAGUUUGAAUCCCCUUUCUCGCAAGGGAUGAGCGCUAGCAGUAUAAUGGAUGCAUAUGUAGAUGCAUUUCCAGCUCCUGCUGCUGUCCGUCCACCAAAGAAGAAGAAGUCACCCGAGGAAAUGAAAGCGAUCAGAGAACAAAAAAUCGUGCAGAGUGAAAGAGACUCGGUGCACCAUGUUGAGACAGCCUUGAGUAAAUACAACAGAGCAAACAACACCACGGUAAUGUCACUGUCUCUUUUGUCUCUCUCUGUACCAAAUAGUUACCUGCGGUUUGAACCUUAGAUUUUUUUUUAAAAAAAAAUGCCCUUUUGUGCUAUUUUCAGUUUGAGCUGGACGAGAUAACAGUGAAGUGCCUGUUUUUUGAGUUUGGACGGCCUUGCUAUCAUUAUAACUUCACAGCUAAGCCUGAGAAACAACAUUCUGCUGAUGCCUAUGCUAAGCUUUUCUUCUCGGAGAUUAAUUGCCCUCUUCAUAGUGAGGAUGAUGUAUUGCUGUGUUGUAUACUUGGGGAGAAAGAUGCAGGUAAUGGUUUAAUAUCUAGCUUCAUUAAUAAUUUUCUGAAUCUUCCUAACAUUUUGGAUUUACUCUUGUGCUGUGAUACCAUUUCAUGUCACAGUUGCACACGACUUCUCUUGAGAUUAUUACAAUAGGGCGAUUAUUUUCAUCCUGUCCAUAUAUAGUAAGCAACAUCGGUUUCUUUAAAUAAUGGCUCAUAGAUGCAUUGUUACAUACUCCAUGUCAUGAUGCGCAACAACCCGAACUAUCUGAUGGAACAAUUAAGAAAAUUGGUACUUUUGGGAUAAAUUCUUCCCCGUUCCAGCUUGAAGUUUUUUUUGUGUGCAGCAUAAAACUUGUAUUGCAUUACUUGGGUUACCUAGAUAAUACUAGAUAUAUUAGUGUAGUUAGACAACUACUGUUUUUUCCCUUUCGAUCUUCAAUGUUCAUUUUGUUUAUUUGACACUAGCCAUGUUACAAUUUUAGGUCAUUGCCAUGCCUGCGAGGAUUAUCGACCUACGAUGGUUCACCCAUCAAGUCGUGCAUACGGUGGUGGUAAUACUACUGCUAUCGAUUAUCCUGAUGAGGACAGCUCAAGCUCAGAUUGUGACUAUUAUUAGCAUCUCGCUUGAAAUCCAAGAACAGCGCCUAGAUCAUUUGGCCAUGGUUCACCUUUUGCUGUAAAGGGUUUAGCAUCUCUGGGAGAUAUAUAUAUAUAUUUUGAGUGAUAUUUCGAAAUCUGGACCCUGCUUGUAAUACAAUCGCAGGCAUCCAAUUUUUUUUCGUCUUUCACUUUUGCCUUUGUGAUUACAAUAAACGUACAUGUCCGAUUUUCUGAUCUGACGGAAAAUUAAUAAGCCAUUGGCCAUCUUUGUAUUUCACUACAUACUCACGUUUGGAGGAAACUAGGGCUAGGGUAUUACUCCGUUCACAAAGAUGAGACACCUAAGUACCUGUAAUAAACUAAAACUACAACGUCUUAAACUGGUUACUGGUGCCACACAUGCUACAAGCUAAAGUCGAUGACCUCGGCAAACUGUAGGCUACAACCAAACACAUCUCGCCCCAUGCAUCGCGGCAGAGCUAGCGGGUGCACAUGACCAAGGAUCUGGGAUUGGGCCCGAAUCGACUGAAUUUCAGCGAAAUUCGCCCAAUUCGGCCCAGCCCGAAAUAAAACUAAACGGGCCAAAUAUUUCAGCCCAUUUUUUUAACACAAUUAUUACUCUCCGGACCUGAAUUAUACUAGUAUAAUACUCGUGCUAACGAUCAGUAAAAAAUAGUAGCCACUUGCCGCCGACGCCGGCCGUGACGACGAGCCGGAGCUGCAACGGUCCCACCGGCGCGCGCGAGGUGCACCACGUCACGGCGCCGCGCCUGCGCACACGCACCAUGGACCGCCACGACGGCGCCGACGCGUCCACCGCUGCGUGCGCGAUCUCGACGGCCGCGAUGUCCGUCUGACCGCCCUGGUUGACAAUGGAGAUGCAAGGGGGGAGCGGCGACGCGGGGAGUGAGGCUGGCGACUCUUCCUUCGCCGUCGUUUGACAAGCGACUCUCCGUCUGAUCCCGGUGCCUUCGACCAACAAGUAAGUCAGUCGGCUGCUCUCCUCCUUCCUUGGCUGGUCAUGGCUCUCCCUGUGUUGCCAAACCUUUCCUACAACCCUACCAUUCAGACUCUUGCUGAAGUGUCCCGCCUCUUUGGCACUCCGGUCUAUUGCGCUUCCUCUGAUGACUCCUCCUUUGCUCUCGUUGUUGCCUUUGGACGGUGUAAGUAUAAGCUUUGCUCCGUUGGAGUCAUCCUUCAACCCUCACAACGCCGGUCGCCACCUCCGGCACCGCCGUCCAGACGCAACUCCGCUAGCGAUGGAACCUGGAUCCGGCUCGCGUCGCUCCUGGGCCGACAUGGCCUACGCUGAAGAGGCUGCGAGGGAUGCUGCUAGAUCUGCCUACCCCGAGCUGCCGCCGCUCACGGCCGCUGCUCACGCCUCCCUGGUGCUGCGCACAACCUCCCUCGACUUAGAUGCGACGCCGUUCUCUUCGCCUGGGGCAGGCUACGGGGACCGGCUCCACUUCACCGACUCUGAGGCCUCCUUUGGAGACUCAGAUGCGUCGCCUUUGCAAGGUAAUGUUGGUGCUCCUGUACCCGUUCUGCGGCGGCGGUGGCGUCGUAUAUGUCGUCAUAGGCCCUUUCAGGGGUCUCUCGCUGCCCCACCCCCGUCGCCUGCACCUGUCGCCCAUCCAUCUGUGCUGGCCACCCACCCGCCCCAAAUGACAGGUCAGCUAGAUGCGGAUGGCUUCCGUGAGGUGGUCAGUCGCCGGCACUGGCGGCGAAUGGUCGUUCAACGCCGCCCGGUGCCCGCGAACCUGGUGGGCAAAUGCUUCAACUGCCUAUCGGAGAGCCAUGUCAAGGCAGACUGCACUUCGCCGCCUCGCUGCUUUCACUGCCUCGGUGAGGGGCACCAGGAGCGUUCCUACCCUGCGCUUGGUCGGGACACCGUCAAGCGGGGACGCUCCCCGGCCAUGGGUAUCGAGCGGCGGGGUAGGGGAGGCCGACGUCGUCGCUCUCGCGAGUCAGCGGCGGCCACUGUUUCAGGUCGUUCUGCCUCCACUGGUCGGUCACCGUCGGUCCCGCCGGUCUGUGCCCCCUACUCCGGAACCAGCCCCUGCUGCUUCUGUCCCUCCGGAUGCUGCGGCCACCUACUCGAGGGAAGCGAAUUCGCCGGUCAUCGCUGAUGCACCGGCCCGGUCGUCUUGCGAGAACGAGGUGCCGCUGCCUUCGGCGGUGGGAACUGUUCUUGGCAUUGAGCCGGCUGCGGAGGAUGUCGCCGGUCCUUCCAGAUCUGGGAGGGGCAAAGGUCGUGCUCGCCUCCAUGGGGCUGAGGAGCCGACGGCUUCGCCGCGGACGCGUGCACGGUCACCGCUGCGUCAGCUGGUGGUGGUUCCCCGCACACCGGCACUUCAAGCGGUAGAGGAUGCUCUGUCCAUGGCCCUGCUUGCGCUGGUGCUGGGCACUAGGCCGCCGGUGACCCCGGCCUUGCUUCUUCAACAUUUGUAUGACCAUUAUGGAUUCUUGGAGGAUCGGGUCAUGGUGCGGCGAACAAGACCAGAUGACUUCAUCAUGCGGUUCUCCAACCAGGAUGACCUACAGCGCGUCCUCGACAACUAGAGGCCGGAGGGGGCAGCAUUUACCAUGCGAUGGCGGCGUUGGUCCCGGCUGAUCCUUGGAUCGGCUGGCGCAUUCCGCUACCGAUGCCUAGUCGGGAUAAAGGGUCUACCGUCGCAUGCCCGCUCGACUGAGGUGGUCCAAUGCAUCCUUUGUUCUGCUGAAGCCAGGGCGGAAAUUGCCAACCCGAAGGCUAUGGCGGAUCCUGAUGAUGAGUGUGAACUGUUCGUUGCUAGCUGGUGCGCUCAUCCUGACCUUGUUCCGGAUGAAAUUAUCAUGGCGGUGCCAGAGCCGGAGGAGGAUCAUGAUGGUGGAUCUCCGCUAUACCUCCGACCCCAUGAGAUCAUUCAUGAUGAAGUACCGGCCUUGCGAUACCUGAUACGGCUGAGGUUCAUUGAGUAUCAAGAUUGGUAUACGCCGCCGCCAUCGUCCGAUGAUGAAAUGGACUACGGAGACGACGAUUCUGACAGCGACGACAGCAAUUUCAACAGCUACUACCCUAGAUUCUGUGAUGGAGGUAGCGGCGGUGGCCGCCGUCGGCCGCGUACAACCAGAUUCGGCCGGUCGGAUGAGCCGAGGCUUGGGCCGGGCUCCGGGCCCGCCUGUCGCCCACGUGAUUCAUCGUAUGCCAUCGUUGUGGGGAAGUGGGAGGGCCCUGUCGUGUCGCCUAGGGGCGCUCUACUCUAUGCCAGUGGUGCUGCCAGGCGCGUCACAGAGUUCACGCGUGUCGCGGCGCUAGGGGGCCAGCCAUUUGACCCUGACUGCCCGCCACGGUGCUCACCAUCUCCUGUCAAGACUAGGGCCUUGGACCUGAUGCUCGUGGAGACAAGCCUGUGCACGCCACAAAAGGCGAUUAGUGCCUGUGAAGUGCAGGCCGAAAAAAACUCCUUUCAUUGCUGGCCUGGGGUUGGCUAGGAGACACUACGCAGUGGUCGCAGGCUCAUCCAGACGGCCAUCGACGACUACUUUGAGCUUCUCGUAGGCCGUUUGGCGCGUAUCAAGUGUACGUCGGGGGUCGACCUUGACCUGUCCUUCUACAGGGACAUGAACCAGGAGCCGGUCCAUGGUGCACCACGCCUUUUGGGUGAUGAGGUCGAUUUGUGCAUGUUUGGUCCUGAAGGCUCCUCUGGACCAAAUUCUCCAAUGCACGGGGACGUGAUCUACGGUCAUCUUUCGUCUCCGCCCACCGAGGUCGCCUUUGAAGAUGAGCCUGUGAUUCCAACGUCACGUUCUCAGGAGGCACGGCUGGAGGCAGACGCUGAUCCACCGAACAAAGUAGAUGCUUUCAUCGCCGCCUUCAAGAAGCCGUUGCAGCAGCGUAUCCUGAUGUCAAUGCCAAAGGCGCAUGUCACCAGAUUGGAGCAGGCUCAUCUCAGAACAGACGCUGAGCUUGUGCCCAAGCGAAGUGCAAGACUAGCCGCCAAGAGCAAGAACCGACUGCCAAAGCCUGAAGCCCAAGCAAGGAAAGUGAUGAUGAAGAAGGCAGGGAUACAAGUCAACACGGAACUCGAAGAUGCGGCGAGCUUUGAGGAAUUCCAUGAAGCUUUCAAACUACCAUUGUCUCCAUUCACCAGAGAGGCCAUGGAGGUGCUCCUGCAUGGCAAUUCGCCGCAGGCUACACGCCGUGCUCAUGCUGUCUAAGCAGGCAGCGGAUGUCGCUGUUUAAUCAAACCAUGAUAAAUCAUAAAAUGUUUAUUUGGAACGUCCGCGGUCUUAACUCGCGGGCACGUCACGAUGCAGUGCGCGAGUUUGUGACUUGGGAGCGAGUCUCCUUAAUCUGUCAAGUUGAGACAAAACUCACUGCGCUGCAGCCUUGUAUCCUCAAUGAUAUAAUGGGAAGAGCGUUUGAUUAUGUCUCUUUGGCUUCUGAGGGUGCCUCCGGAGGCAUCAUUGUGGCCUGGCGGCAGAAUGCCUGGACAGCUUCUGCUCAUAUCUGUCGUCAUUUUUCAGUGUCUGUCAACCUGAAGGCAGUGGACUCGUCUUCCUCUUCAUGGACGCUUGCUGUCGUCUAUGGGCCGGUGGACGAUCAGCUCAAACGAGACUUCCUUGGUGAGCUCAGGAUGAUACAUGCACAGAGCUUACAGGCGCUUCUGGUCUGUGGGGAUUUCAAUCUUAUUUAUCAAGCUGCGGACAAGAACAAUGAUCGGCUAAACCUUAGAACUAUGCGUCGCCUCAGGCGUGCAAUUGAUGACUUGGUGCUGGAAGAGCUCUAUCUUCACGGGAGGCUUUACACGUGGAGCAAUGAACGCCGACAUCCGACCAUGGAGCGCAUCGAUCGAGCAUUUGAAACUGUACCGUGGUUAGAGAUGUACACGACGCACCAUCUCAGGACACUUUCAUCGGACAGUUCCGAUCACGCGUCGUUGCUGCUGCAGCUAUGCAUGGAGCCCUGUGCACGAUCAAGGUUCCGGUUUGAGCCCUUCUGGGUGCGCAUGGAUGGCUUCCUGGAGACUAUCGCUCAGUCAUGGGAAUGCCAAGUGCCCAAUGUCGAUGCUUGCCGCCUGCUUGACAUAAAGUUCAGACGAACAGCAAAGGCGCUGCAAAGUUGGAGCAUGCUGAAGGUGGGCAGUAUACGCUCGCAGCUAUUUAUGACCAGGGAGAUCAUUGCCCAGCUAGACAAAGCACAAGAAUCUAGAGCUCUAGCUAUGGACGAGCUGGCCUGGCGCCGUGAACUCAAAUGUCGCAGCCUAGGAUUAGCGUCCUUGGCUCGCACCAUUGCCCGCCAUUGGUCGCGCAUUAGAUACCUGGAAGACGGAGACGCAAACACAAAAUUUUUCCAUCUCUAGGCCUGCCAUAGAAACAGGAAGAGCUACAUACCGGCACUGCUUUAUGAAGGAGCAUGGGUUUCAUCGGAGGAAGACAAGGAAGAAGCGGUUUACAGCCACUACAAAAGGAUCUUGGGGACCCCUUAUCAACGUUAGCACUCGCUGCAAUUUGUUGAUCUGCUGCCGACAAUUGACCUAACAGGUAUUGAUGCAUGCUUCUCAGAGGAGGAGAUUUGGGCAGCAGUGAAGGACCUACCGUCCGACCGUGCUCCUGGACCUGAUGGGUUCAACGGUAUCUUCUACAAAGUAGCCUGGGGGAUAAUCAAGCAAGACAUUGUUAAUGCUUUCAAUGUUGUAUGGUCCCUGGAUGGUAGAAGUUUCUACCACCUCAACUGUGCUCUCAUGAUCCUGAUACGGAAGGAGCAGCCAAAUUCUUUAAGUGACUACAGGCCCAUCAGUUUGAUUCACAGUUUCAGUAAAUUUUCACCAAAUGUCUAGCGAGAUGGCUCGCGCCGCGACUGCAUGAGAUUGUGUCACCUAACCAAUGUUCCUUCAUAAAAGGACGCUCAAUCCAUGAUAAUUUCAGGGCUGUGCAGUUGACUUCUCGUUGGCUAAAUGCUAAGAAGGUUGCUGCUGUGCUGUUGAAGCUGGAUAUCGCGAAGGCUUUUGACUCAGUUUCAUGGCCAUUCUUGUUAGAAGUGCUCCAACACAUUGGCUUCCCCAGGAGAUGGACUGACUGGAUUUCCUUACUGCUUUCAAGUUCUAGCACUAAGAUCAUCAUGAAUGGAAGGCCAGGGAAUAGGAUAACGCUUGCAAGGGGUCUUAGGCAGGGGACCCGAUUUCUCCGAUGCUCUUUGUUAUUGUGAUGGAAAGCCUGAACUCUUUAUUCAAAGAAGCUGAUCGUCGCGGAUCUCCGUGCGUCAUUAUACGCUGAUGACGUGGUGCUCCUGGUUGCGCCUACGCAGACUGAUCUUGCGUGUGUGCAGCAGGUGCUGCUUCUCUUUGCUGGUGCAUCAGGACUGAUUACCAACAUUAACAAAUGCGUUUCUCCCCUAUCAGCUGCUCUGAGGAUCAGUUGGCAAUAGUGCAGCAGGCGUUUCCAUGCACCGUCACCCCCUUCCCAUGCAAAUACUUGGGUAUUCCUUUAUCCCUCAGAAAGUUAAGAAGAUGUGAGGAGCAAGUUCUAGUGGACAGAGUAGCAGCAAGAAUUCCUACAUGGAAAUCAGGUCUCCUCAAUCAUGCAGGAAGGACUGUCCUUGCCAAAGUGACUUUAUCUGCAAUCCCUGUCCACAUUAGUAUUGCCUGCUGCUUGUCAAAUUUGGCAAUCGCACAGAUUGACAAGCGACGCAGGGCCUUCCUAUGGGCUGGGGCUGAGUCGGUAGUUGCAGGGCACUGCAAGGUGGCCUGGCCAACUGUUUGUAGGUGUUGACACCGUUUUUGGACAAGUAUCUUUGGACGCGUAUCUAGAGUUAAUGAGGUGUAGAUCGGUAGGCAGAAAAGUGGUGACUAGUCUACAGAAGAGUUGCCGAUGAGGGUUGGUGCCGAAGAGAAAACGAUGGGAUUUGGCCAAGUCUAGGAGUGGUGAUAGAUUCGUGCCGAUGACUAGUGCUGAUGGUUGCCGAUGGCUAUGAGAGGUGGUUUGCCGAUGGUCAUGGAGAAGGGCGCAGGGGUUGUCGAUCGACUCAUGGUGGUGUAUCGAUCGGUUGUGGAAGAUGAUUUAAUGUUUUCCAUAGUUAUUAGAGUUUGUUUUGUAUACGGAUUCUGUUUAAUUUAGAAUUCGAGUCCUGGUCGUGUCUGAUUGUAACCCUUUUUUGGGCAGGGUAUAAAUAUAAGACCCCGUAGCGAUGUAAGAGACACAAUCAAUCAAACAUAAGUUUUUACACAUAUUCUAGCAUCUACUUUUUCGACGACUUCAUCACCCUACAUAUUUUUCCUUUUACUUACGAGUUCUUAGGGAUUCUUUGAGUCAACCUCGAUGAGUUCUUGAGUUCCGCAUGAAUACCUCUUAGCCGUGACAUCUGGGUGCAUCGCUGUUGUCAGGACCAAAGUGUUCGAGUUACCACCUUUGUCAAUUGUAAGGUCAAAUCGGUUGGCACGCCUUAACAUCAAAUCGGGUAUUAGCCCUUUGUGUUUGCAGAUCUACUUUUGCAUCAACACAUCUUUUGGCACGCCCGGUGGGAUAGAGAUUCAACAUCAAGAUCAACAUGUCGAACACCGAUUUCGACUUGAAGAACGUCAUCCCCGUGACAGAAGCCAAUCUCAGAGAUGAACAGAAGCAAGCUAUGGCAAAAGCUAUGGAGGACUACAAGCAGCUAUGCUUAAAAUCCUUCAGUAUCAACAGGAGUGGCGAGGUGAUCCAAAAGGAAGCAUUGCUGAUGCCUCGGCAAAUCACUUUUGAAGCCAAUCCUGGUAAACUACAAGAGAUGGUUGACAAUGCUAUUAAUCAUGUUCUAAUCAAUCAAUCUAGUGUGUUGUCCAAUACAGUUUUCAAUGCUGUGGCUAGAACUUUCAAAGAAGGACAAGUACCGCCAUCUUAUGUGGGCCCAGCCUAUCAUGAGCCAAGGGCAUCAUCGGUUACAGCUCUAUCGGCUACUACGGCCGUUGCGGGUACAAAAGUUACUUCUCCUCCAAGCACAUUAGGGAUAACUAAUGCGCAAUCUACACUGAUGACGACCAAUCCAUCAACAUCAGAGGGACAAGUCAAACAUGCUACAGAUUUAUUGGCAUCAGCAAUGUCAGGGUCUGUUCCUCCCAAUUGGUGGGGAUAUGGUAUGCCCCUAGAGUUUAUGGCAAAUAGCUCUGGGACGUCUCAAGCGGCUAACAUGACAGGCAAGGCUCCUAUGGCAUCGGCACCCCAGGCUCGCCGAUGACUCAGAAUCCCCAGUAUUCUACAACUACUACUGCAAGACCUUUUACUGGGAAUUCUCAAAUGCCAACGUUCCAGAUGCCUAACGCAUCGGAAGAUUCAAUGCCGACGCAGCAAAGGUUUACAACACAGCCAGGGUAUGCCAAUUCAAUGAUAAUGCCCAAUUAUCAGCCAUCGGCAGGACCUACACCGAUGAAUGUCAAUAAUGGAUGGACAGGGCAGUUUGUCUUUCCACAAAUACCUCAGCAGAAUCAUCAGGCUAUGGGAUUUCAACAGGACCAGUGCAACCUAGAUUUCAGAAUCAAGGGUUGAUCAAUCAGCCGAUGAAUCUUGGUCAGCAAGUUGGCGGCCAACAUGCGGUGGCAAAUCCUAUGUUCCCUGGAGAUCGUGCACCGCAGAGACACGUGGAAGCUUAUCAGCAUAUGUCAGAUCCACAACCAGCUCAUCGGCAAGAUGCCGAUGCUUACUGGGCUGAUAAGAUAGCUGAGGUGAUGAGAGACCAAUUUGGGAUAAAACCCAAAGUCAACACAUACUCUUAUCGGACACCGUAUCCUCCUGCAUAUGACCUAAUUCCACUUCCAAAUCGGUACAAGGUGCCGGAAUUCACCAAGUUUUUGGGACAGGAUGAUACAUCAACCAUGGAGCAUGUUAACAGGUUCAUCAUCUAGUGUGGGGAAGCUGCUAACAGAGAUGAGUUAAGGGUUCGUCUAUUUUCAUCAUCUUUGUCUGGAUCGGCCUUUACUUGGUUUAUUUCAUUACCUCCAAACUCAGUAAUCAACUGGGCCGAUCUAGAAAAAUAGUUCCAUAAAUACUUCUUUUCUGGAGUACAUGAGAAGAAGAUUACCGAUUUAGUCAGGCUAAGGCAGCGCAACGAUGAAUCGGUUGAAAGCUUUGUACAAAGGUUGCGAGAUGUUAAGAAUAAAUGUUAUAGUCUGGUUCUAGAUGAUUGGCAGCUUGCCGAUUUGGCUUUUCAAGGAUUGUUGCCACACAUUAAAGACAAGUAUGCUUCUCAAGAGUUUGAAAGUCUGAGCCAUUUAGUGCAGAGGAUUUCAGACCAAGAUAUCAGAGCUUUUGAACCUAAGAGAGCAUGAAACAAAAAGGUGUCAUUUGUCGAUGAGGCAACAACCUCAAACUCUGAUGAAGAACCAGUCAUCGGCUUGGCAGAGUGGGUAAAGAAUAAGAAGCCGAUGUCUUGCCCUUUUGAGCAUAAAGAACGAGAAAAGUUUGCAUUUGAUAUCACCAAGGCCGAUAGGAUAUUUGAUUUUCUGCUUCAGGAGGGGCAAAUUAAGUUAUCACCCAAUCAUGUGAUUCCAUCGGCAGAGGAAUUAAAGAAGAUUAAGUACUGCAAGUGGCAUAAUGCAACAUCCCACAGUACAAAUGAGUGCAAGGUUUUCAGGCAACAGCUACAAUCGGCUAUAGAGUCUGGGAGAAUUAAGUUCAAUAGCUCCAAAGCUCAAAAACUGAUGAAGAUCGAUCAACAUCCUUUCCCUACAAAUAUGUUGGAUGCUAAGGGAAAAACCAAAGUAUUGACUGGCAGCUAAAAGAAGCGCAUCGGUGGAUCUCAACAUCAAAUUACUGCCGAUGAUGCCAAAGGCAAGGGUUUGAUCCAAGAAGGAACCAGCUCAGGAAGGCCUCCCCGAUCUGGCAUUGUGAUCACUCAUAGAAGGCACCGAGAAACCUGGCAGCAGCAUGAAGAUCGGUAUCGGCGCCAACAAGGGUAUCGUCGUCGGGAAGAAGAAAUACACCGAUAAGAGUGGAAUCGGCAUAAAGAUCAUUGGAAUUGCCCGUUCUUCAUCCACUGUUGGGAACAAAACAUCAAGCUACCAACUGUUAGAGACUGCCCUGAGUGUAAUGGCUAUAAUCAGUAUGAUAGACCAAAUCGGCAGUAUCAGAACAAUGAUCGGCGUUUUGGUGGGCCAAUUAGAGAAAGGACAUCGGUUCAUGAUCGACUGGGGGGCAGACUCAGUGUGCACGAUAGGCUUGGUGAACGUAUUGGCUAUUUUCCAAGAAGCCAAGAAGAGCUUGAGGAGAUGGCAGAUGCACGAGUUCCUGAUGAAUUCAUAUUCUGUAGGGAUGCCAAUACAUAUCGAGUAGAAUCAAGGGAAAAUCGUCACCAGUCGGUGAAGCAGACACAACUUCCUCCAUGGUGUCCAGAGGGGUUGACAAGGACACAGAAAAGAAGGCUGCAGCAGGAGCGACAAGAAGAACUGAGUAAAGGAGAGAAUUUUGCUAAGACUGGAGAUCGGCAGCAGUCAGAUCCUAAAGGAAAAGGUCCAUCGGCAGACGUUAAUAUGGUGUUUACGUUGCCGAUGGAAUUCCUUGCACCUUUUAGUGAUGAUGAGGAGGAAAAUUUUCUCGAACAGAUAGCUCAGUUGGCUCUAGAUCCGAUGACGGCUACUUUUGAAAAGCCCGCCGAUAAUGAGAGACAACACCUUAAAGCUCUGUUCGUCAAAGGUAGGGUUGAUGGACAGCCGAUGACCAAGAUACUUGUUGAUGUUGGGCUGCUAUCAAUAUUAUGCCGUAUGCAGUUUAUCGGAAACUUGGAAAAGGAGAUCAGGAUUUGACCAAGACCGAUAUGAUGUUAAAGGAUUUUGAAGGAAAUGUGACUUCAGUCAAGGGAUUUAGGGUUUAGGGUUUAGGGUUUAUGGUGUUGAGUUGACCAUCGGCAGCAAAACCUUGCCGACAACUUUCUUCGUCAUCAGUGGAAAGGGUGCUUAUAAUCUACUAUUGGGGAGAGAUUGGAUCCAUGCCAAUUGUUGCAUCCCAUCUACGAUGCACCAAUGUUUGGUUCAGUGGGUAGGUGACAAGAUUGAAAUUGUCCCAGGAGAUUCUUCAUAUGUCAUCGCAUCGGUAGAGGCAGAUACUUAUGAAAGGACCAGAUGCAUUUCAGGGGAGAUUUGGGAAAAGGAUUUUCUCCAAGUUGCCAAUUAUGAAAUUCCAACGAUCCAAGCAGUCGGUUCUGAUGAGGAGACUUAAUGGAUAGGUUUGCCGAUGAUGGAAAAUUAGGCCAGGGGUUUACAUCGGCCGAUGAUUUAGUAGAAGUAGAUAUAGGUAAUGGUGAUAAGCUAAGGCCUACUUUUAUUAGUGCUAAGUUAGAUUCCGAGUGUAAGCAGUAGUUAACCAAUUUGUUAAAGGAAUACAAAGAUUGCUUUGCUUGGGAUUAUACCGAGAUACCUGGUUUAGACCGAUCUAUUGUUGAACAUCGGUUACCUAUCAAAUCUAGAUUUCGGCCGCAUCAGCAGCCAGCUCGCUGAUGUAAUCCUAAUAUUCUUCCUGAUAUUAAGGCCGAAACAACUAAAAUUAUUGAAGCUAAAUUUAUUCGACAAUGUCGAUAUGCCGAGUGAAUUUCCAAUGUUGUUCCAGUUUACAAGAAGAAUGGGAAGCUUCAUGUCUGCAUUGACUUUAGGAAUCUUAACAAGGCUAUGCCGAUGGAUGGUUAUCCAAUGCCAGUUGCCGAUUUACUAGUUGAUGCUGCAGCCAGACAUCGGAUCAUUAGCUUUAUGGACGGCAAUGCAGGAUAUAAUCAAAUAUUCAUGGCCAAACAAGAUAUUCCAAAGACUGCAUUUAGAUGUCCUGGUCAUGUUGGGUUAUUCGAAUGGAUAGUCAUGACCUUUGGCUUGAAAAAUGCUGGUGCUACUUAUUAGAGGGCUAUGAAUUUUAUCUUUCAUGAAUUCAUCAGCAAGCGUUUGGAAAUCUAUAUUGAUGACGUGGUGGUUAAGUCUGGAGAUUUUGCAAAGCAUCUUGCCAUUCUUCGAAAGGUGUUGGAGUGCACAAGGAAACAUGGUUUAAAGAUGAAUCAUAAUAAGUGUGCAUUUGGUGUAUCGGUAGGACAAUUUCUUGAUUUCAUGGUGCAUCAGAAAAGAAUUGAAAUUAGUAGGAGGUCUAUUGAUGCUAUCAGCAAAACAGUUGCUCCCACCAACAAAACUGAACUCCAAUCUCUGAUCGGCAAGAUAAAUUUUAUCAGGUGAUUUAUAUCUAACUUGUAUGGUAAGAUUCGUGCUUUUAGUCCUUUACUUAAGUUGAAAGCCGAUCAAGAGUUUGUGUGGGGAAGAGAGCAACAGUCAGCAUUGGAUGAAAUCAAGAAUUAUUUGACAAAUCCUCCAGUUCUGAUUCCAUCUCAGCAAGGAAAACCUUUCAAAUUGUAUUUAUCUGACAAUGGGAUGGUCAUUGGUUCGGCUCUAAUUCAAGAAUUUGAAGGGAAGGAACGUGUGAUUUAUUAUUUAAGUAGAAGACUAGUUGAUGCUGAGACAAGGUAUUCGACAAUUGAAAAAAUAUGUUUAUGCUUAUACUUUUCAUGUAUUAAGUUGAGAUACUAUUUGCUAUCAGCCGAAUGCACCGUUAUAUGCAAAGAUGAUGUAGUCCGGUACAUGCUAUCUAUGCCAAUUAUGAGUGGUAGAAUCGGCAAAUGGAUUUUGGCGCUGCCGGAAUUUGAUCUACGUUACGAAUCGGCUAAGGCGGUUAAAGGGUAUAUUAUGGCCGAUUUUGUGACUCAGCAUUGUGGUGAAGUAGGGACUUUGGAGAUUGUUCCUUGGAUGCUCUUCUUUGAUGGAUCCACGUGUGACCGGGGGGCAGGAAUUGGUAUAGUAUUAAUUUCUCCUCGAGGAAAGAAGUAUGAGUUCUCUUUACCGAUUGUUGCCACGUCAACGAAUAAUCAAGCUGAAUAUCAGGCUCUGAUCAAAGGGUUGGAAUUGCUAAAAGAGGUUCAUGCCGAUGAUGUUGAGAUCUUCGGCGAUUCUAUGCUUGUUAUAAAUCAAUUGGCUGGGAUUUAUGAAUGCCGAAGCGAGGUCUUGAUAACCUAUUAUGAAAAGAGUAUGCAACUGUUAAGGGAAUUCAAGAAUUUCCGAUUGGAGCACGUUCCUCGAUUACAUAAUAAAGAGGCUAAUCGGUUAGCUCAACAUGCCUCGGGGUAUCAACCUAUCUUAAAUAUGUUAUCGGCAAUCAGUACCGAUGAUUGGAGAAAAGAAAUCAUUGAUUACUUAAAGGAUCCAUCUAAAAAGGUUGAGAGGUGUGUCAGGUUUCAAGCUACUGAGUAUGUACUCCUUGGAGAAGAGUUAUAUUAUCGGACGAUAGAUGAAGUUCUACUCAAAUGCUUGGGUGAUGAUGGGGCUAAAAACUUAAUGGGUGAGAUCCAUGAAGGAGUAUGUGGAGCACAUCAAUCGGCUUUUAAAAUGAAAUGGAUGAUUAGGAGAAACGGAUAUUAUUGGCCAACUAUACUUGAGGAUUGCUUUAAAUAUUUCAAAGGUUUUCAAGGAUGUCAGAGGUUUGGUAAUAUUCAAAGGGCAUCCGCAUCGGCCAUGAAUCCUAUUAUUAAGCCUUGGCUGUUCCGGGGGUGGGCUAUUGAUCUAAUCAGCCAGAUCUAUCCGCCAUCAAGCAAGGGGCAUAAGUUCAUCUUAGUUGCCACUGACUAUUUUACUAAGUGGGUUGAAGCUAUUCCUUUGAAGAAAGUAACAUCGGCUAACAUGAUUGAUUUUGUGAAAGAGCAUAGUGUUUACCGAUUUGGUAUUCCUCAAACAAUCACUACCGAUCAAGGUACUAUGUUCACAUCGGGGGAGUUUGAUGAAUUUGCAAUCGGUAUGGGGUUAAAGUGUUGAAUUCUUCUCCUUAUUAUGGUCAAGCCAAUGGACAAGCUGAAGCAUCUAACAAAUGAAUUAUUAAGCUCAUCAAACGAAAGAUUGAAGAAAAUCCUAGAAGAUGACAUACAUUGUUGAAUGAAGCUUUGUGGUCAUAUCGAAUGACAUGUCAUGGAUCGACCAAAGUUUCACCUUAUCAGUUAGUAUAUGGACACGAUGUAGUGCUACCGUUGGAAAUGAAGACUGGAUCUAGGAGGAUAUCUUUUCAAAAUCAACUGGCUGCCGAUGACUAUGCUACUUUGAUGAGAGAUGAGUUAGACGACUUGGCAGGGCAUCGGCUGAAAGCUUUGAUGAGUAUAGAAGAAAAUAAAAAGAGAGUUGCUAGGUGGUAUGAUAAAAAGGUGAAAGCUAAGGAGUUUUCCAAUGGAGAUUUGGAAUGGAAAUUAAUUUUACGAAUUGGGACUAAAUGUUCAAAGUUUGGCAAAUGGUCUCAUAAUUGGGGGGGUCCUUAUCGGAUAAAUCGGUCUGCUCCUGGUAAUGCUUAUUUUGGAGACUCUCAAAGGAGUUGAAUUUCCCAGAGCAUUGAAUGGAAAAUAUCUAAAGAGGUAUUACCCAAGCAUCUGGGUCGAUGCAUAAAAUUUUAAGUGCCGAUAACACUCCUAUCGGCUGGGUAAAAUUUAUCUGGGGCUGUGCAUAAUGUUUUAAAAGGUGCCAAUAACAGUCCUAUCGGCUAGACUGGAAUGAUGAGAAGUCUCUAAGAGCAGGACGAAACAAGCCGCCGAUGAAGAGCUUACAGAUUAAGCAAAGCUUGAAUGGCCGAUAUGGCGCGUAGGCGAAUCUGGUCAGCUUCUUCUAUCUCUCGGAUGUCUUCAUCGGCAGAACCCUCUACUGGCUUCAGCUUCUUCUUCAUCUGCAAUGCCUUACGGGCAUGGAUGUUCCGUUCUUGUUGGAGAGUUUUGAUCAUCUCAGGCAGCUGGCUUUCUUCUUGCUGAGCUUGAGUUAAGGCUUCUUCCACUUGUUUGAGCUCGGCUAGCAGGGUUUCUUUCUUGCCGAUAGAUCAGAAAUCUUCUCUUUCAGCGUUUCCUCUGAAGACUGCAGAAUGCCGAUGCUCUUGUGUUUCUCAUCGGCAAGGCGCUUUACUUGCAUUACUUCCUCUAUGAAUUGGACGUGAGCAGCUCUAUCGGCAAGACAUUGGGUGGCUUUCUGAUACUGAAGCUGGCGGCUUUCCAAGUGUGCAGCUUGAAACAAGAUUUCUUCUGCAUCGGCUGGGAUCUGGCCCCAAAGGGCUUUAAAUAGAGCUUUGGCUGGAUCGGAGUCAUCAACCAACUGAGCAGUAUCUUGAUGCAGCAGGGCCAACAGGUCUUCCAGCUUGAUUUUGAUUUCUGCCAAUGAGACCCCUACUGCUUGGGAGGAGCUCGCUUCUUCACCUUCAUCAUCAGAAAUAUCAAUAGCAAAGGAGAAUAAGCUGUCUAGAGAGUCUUGUUCCUAAAAAGGGAGCAGAGAUAAGUUGUCUGGUAGUCGGAUGUUGAAAAUAAAAAAAUGGAGACCAGGGACUUACUUGUUUCAGUUUCGCGCUUUUGAUGAAGGGAUGCGGUCGGUGCUAUAGGUUGAUCGGCUGGAGUUGUCGAUGGAACGAUAUCAACUGAGAAAUAACAAGGGCAAUAAUUUAAAAGGAAGAAAAUAUAUCCAUCGGUGAUAAUUUUUAUGGUCAGUACUUUACCUUGAGUUGGUGCGGUGCUUGUUUGUUCUGGAGGAAUAACCGAUGAUAUGAUCAGAUCCGCUGGAUCGGCAGUCUGCUCAAGUACAUAGGCUGGUGCUUCUUGUGGUUGAGGUGCUGGUUGAGGAGGAGACGACGCUUGCUGUGUCUCAAUUUCUGGUGAAGAGGGGGACAAUUCCACAUGAAUCGGCGACACUGGACGAGGGGGAGAAGAUGGUGCUAUUUUCUGACGCUUUGGUUGUGAUUUGGUACUCUUGGGACCUUUCCUCUUGACUUGGCCAGGCUGGGGGGCAUCGGCACUUGUUUGAGCACUUCUGGUUCUUGCCGAUUUGCCAGUCUGCUGAUGCAAUAACAAAAGUUUCGUGAGUACAAAUGUAACAGAAUAUUGAUGAAAUUUUGUUGAACAGUGAAAGUUACCAAUGAAGUUCCCAUAGCAGCCGAUGUAUCCUAAAAAGAUUUUGUAAGUAUAGAAUGGAAUCGGUAUAAAUUGAGGAAAUAAAAAAUCUACCUUGAAAGCUUGUGCCGAGGUAGCAGCGGCAACCGUUGGAGACGUCUUUGACCGCCUGGUGGUUAUCUUCUUAAAACGCACAUUCCGGUGCAUUAGAGCUGCCAGGCUUGGUGCGUUGUUGCCGAUCAGAGAAAUUGGACCUGACGGGAGGAGUUCAAUCGGCUUUCCACUUCUGCUGACUGUUGGUGGCAAGUUGUCGACCUGUUUGAAAAAGAGAAAGUGAGUUACUGAUAAGGGUAAAAGUAACAAAAGAAUUGAGGUAUCGGUUGGGAACUUACAUUGUUUUUGGGAACCUUAUACUUGCGGUCGAUCAUGCCGCGGUAUGUCACAGCCGAUGUGCAGAAUAGGUGUUCCUUCCACUCUUCCCACCACUGCUUGUACAUCUGAGUGAUGAAAAGGGCUGGGAUCCAUGCCGAUAAAUCAAUGUCCAACGUAUCGGCAUUUCGCUGAAGCUGAGCUAUUCUUAUCCACUCAAGACCGCUGGUUAUAGUCUCCGUUGGCUUCACCACAUCGGCAUAACAGAGUCCAAUCGGUAGCUGUCCAAAAGCCAGUUGACGAGCCAGUGCCGAUGGGUUAUAGAAUUCAUAGGUGGGGUUGGAAGUCUUCCCACUGCCAAAGAAAUUCACUAGUAUGGUUUUUGGAGUAAUAAUUGCCAUCAUCAGGUCAUGGUCCUUAUUGAGGGCGUCAUCAAAAGGGUGCAAAGUGAGCGGGAGUCUGGUUUCUGUGUCCUCAUAAGGCAUCCAUGCCCGCUGAUCUUUGGCACGACCCUCAUAGAGAGUUUGGAAGAAUCGGCUGACCUGGUCUUCGUUGCCACCAGUACCAGGUAAAACUAUGGUAGCCUCACCAUAGUUCAAAGAUGGGCGAGUUGCCGAUUCUUCAUCAGCCAAUUCAUGAUCUUCGGCGAUAUCUCUGGGAAAGCGUUGUGCGAAGAGGUCAAAUCCAAGGCGUUUGUGCAUGUGAACACUGAGCCACAUGUUGAUGAACCACCAAGGUCCUCCUAAAUUGCCGAUGGGUUGGCCUAACAAAAGCUUCUCGGCUACUUGAUGAAGGAGACGAUAAACAGAGCCUAACAAGUAUCGGCCAAGGGGAAAAUGACCACCGCUGGCUAGUUUCUCUGCUGCUGAUAGAUAAACAGAAGUUGGUCCUGCCGAUCGGCCGCAAAAUGCAAAUUUAUCUAGCCACAUAUUCAGAAAGAUAGCGUGUUCCCUUUGCCCAACUGGUCCUGUUUUUCGGUACUUCUGAAUGUACCCUGACCAGCCGCUGAUGCUACGAGUUUCCACCUUACGUUCAGGCUUACUAUCGAACAGGUGACUAUCAUCGGCAGUUGUGAUUUCCAGACCAGUGAGCAUAAGUACAUUGGCAAGGGUAGGAGAAGCAGGGCCAUGGCCGAAUACGAAAGCAUUAAGGGUGUCUGACCAGAAGUACGAAGCUGCUAUCAAUAGUGAUUCGUUUCUUUCCAUAUCGGCAGUGGAUAGCCCAAUGCACUGGUCUAGUUUGCGCUCACCCCAUUGAACCUCAUUCGAGUUGCCGAUUCUCAAGAACCAAUCUUUCCACCCCUUGGUAGAACUGUGCCAGGAACGAAAAGUGUCUUUCCACAGAUCUAAAGAGAAGUUCUCAGCUCUAAAGGGGAUCCUAUUUGUCUCUGCAUUUAUCAAAUCGGAAGGAUCUAGGUUUCCCAAUGGACCAAGGCAUUGGAAGUGGGGUUGAUCGGUGGGAAUAACAAUUUUCUCGGCUAACUCCUAUAGGUUUGAAGGUUGAAAAGACAGGGAAAAGAAAGAGAGAAAAUACCAAGUAAAUAAUUGUGUGAAAGAUCAAGAAUAUGGUAAAAAGAAGAAAGGGGAUGUUGAGUUGACCUCAGGGACGACGAAGUUGAUGGCCAUUUCUUCCCGAAAGGAGGAAAGGAUCGAAGACUCAGAAGAUUGUUGGAGGAGAUCCUUGCCGGAGUUCUUGAAGUUCUCGAACAGUGCCGCCGCCAGGAAGGUGGGUUUGAGGCUGUAGAAUGACAAGAUGGAGGAAGUGUGGGGGUAUAAACCCCUAUACCCUUACGGCUAGACUUCGGCCAGGAGGCUUGGCCCAUUACGAAACAAGUUCGAGGCUUGAUCCGAUCGCUUGGAGUUUCGUGCAAGGAAACAAGAUGUGGAGAUCAAGCAGGAUUCUAGUCGGUUAGAAUAGGAAUUGAUAUCGAGCUAUCUUUGGCAAUUGUAACCGACUAGGAUUAGUUUCUAGAUCUGUAACCCUGCCCUCCGGACUAUAUAAGGAGGGGCAAGGGACCCCCCAUGGGACAUGUUAUUCUCUCAAUCCAAUACAAUCAGACGCAGGACGUAGGUAUUACGCCCACACGGCGGCUGAACCUGGAUAAAAAGCUUGUUCGUGUCUUGCGUCACCAUCGAGUUCGUAGUUUGCGCACCGUCUACUGAUAAACUACUACCGUGGGUAUACCCCAAGGUAGACUGCCAACAAGCUUUCGUCGACAGUGGCGCGCCAGGUAGGGGGUGUGCGUACAGCUUUUUUUGGCGAACAAGAUGGUCAUCGUUCCAGCUUCCGCGGCCGUGCCUAAAGGCCUCACGUUCACCGUCAGCCAGAUUACGUGGACAACUCGCGGCGGUGGCCUCAUGACCACGAUUUCAGAAGAAACCCAGAUCCAAUCUGGGAUGACUAUAGCAUCGGCUCCGACCACGCGGACACUGGCACCGAGCACCCGACCACAGCUUCCGCACUACAAGGGAAAGAAGAUCGAUGGCUCGGACCUUCUCCGAGCCCUUGACCGCGCUGAUCUCAAGCUUCUCGAAGCUUCCCGACUAGUAGAUGGGAUCUCGCGUCAGCCUGAUCAAGCCGCGCCAACAGAUUUUUUCAACUCCUACCGGCCAACUCGUGUCAUCACACACGAACGGCUGGGAACGUCUCUGACGAUAACCUCCAGCCCCUCAGGACGGUCCGUCAAACUCGAGGCUAAUCCAGAACAAGAUUAUCCUUACGGUCUGAAUAACUCGGCCGUUCUCUACUCGCGGCACAUCCAAUCCCUUUUUGACGAGGCUGGUUGGUUGCCAAAAUGGAGCGGUCGACCAGCUCGUCACUACGUCAACAUGGUGACGAUCCGAGAACUACGGGACGGCCAGGCUUCCAGCACAAACUCCAGCACUGGGUCCGUUCCCACUGAAGUCAUAAACUCCGAGGACGAGGACUACGACCUGGAUUUACCACCAUAUCCUCCGGGUUUCUCUCGCUUUCCGGUCUUUCCACCCCGGCGAGGAGACCUCGUCUUCAAUGUCUGCGCCGACGAGCCGGUCGUUGAUGGAGAAACAGAUGAGCAGAGGCAGCUCCGCGAGCAGCGCAAUGCCGACCGCGCCCGACGACGCGCGGACGAGGAGUGCCAACUCCCGCCGCAUAAUCUCACCGACGCUUUCGACAUGGUCGGGGAUCAGCCAGGAAGUAAAUCAGCACAGGGAUCUUCGAUACAACAUCCCUCCCAAAGACGCCCGGGACCGCAUCAACAGGCGCGCCACAGAGAGAGCAGUUCACGAAAACCUGCGUCGUAUUGAGUACGAUGCAACGCACGGCCCCCCGGGCCUGAGACAGUUCUCCUCACACCUCCGCCAGGUCGUGUGGCCCCGAAACUUCAAGCUCGAGAAGCUCAAGAAAUACGACGGCAAGGAAAACCCAGAAAACUGGAUCACUAUCUAUGAGAUCGCAGUUCAUUCAGCAGCAGGAGACGAGCACGUCAUGGCUAACUACUUCCCGGUCAUCCUCGAUCAGGCCGGUCAUCAAUGGCUCCUGGGCCUGCCCGAGGACUCUUUUGACUCUUGGGAAGAACUCCGCCAAGCGUUCAUCGACAACUUCAUCACUACCUGCGAGUAGCCCGGGAACAAGUACGACCUCGAGAGGAUAAAGGACAGGAAAAACGAGCCUCUGCGCGACUACAUCCGACGGUUCUCGGAUAUGUGCCUCAAAAUCCUGAAAAUUUCCCACGACGAGGCCAUAUCUGCUUUCAUCAAAGGGCUACGCUUCCACGAAGCACUGAGGAACAAGCUACUACGCAAAAGGCCAACGACGAUGGCUGAACUCCUUGCCACGGCCAAAAAUUAUGCCGACGCCGACGAUGCAGAAAAACUCAUCUGGGACGACACAAGAGGUCCCGACCAGCUUCCUCGACGAGACGACAGUCGUGGUCGUUUCGACAACAGGAAUCAUCGUCGCCCCGACGGCCGCGAUCACAGAGAAGGUUGGGAUAGGCGGCGUGACAAUCGUGAUGACUUCAGAGGCAAGCGCCCUCGUGACCACGACCAAGAGGUGAAUACGGUCAAGCGUCCCAACGGGCGGCGAGACUACCAGGAAGACUACAACAAGACAUUGAAGGGACCAUGCCAACUACAUCCAAAAUCCAACCACACGAUGGAGGAAUGUUGUGUCCUCAAAAGCAUCUACACGCAGCGGGCUGCUCAAGACGACCCCGCCAAGAAAAACGGGAAACAGGACGGGCGCGAUCACGAAGACGAGGACGAGGACCAGGAUAGGGACCCACGACACCAGUAUGUCAGUCCACCCGACGUGGUCCACUCCAUCUUCAGGGGCAAGGUCUCCAUCGAGUCUAAGCGAGAAAGAAAGCUCUUAAAGAGAGCCUGCCUCUACAUAGACAGCACGGACGGCCUGAUCGCCGACCUGAAAUUCCCUCCCUGGUCGCACAGGGAGAUCUCCUUCAGCAGGAAGGAUCAGUGGGCCGCCAUCCCGAAACCAGGACGCUUCCCUCUAAUAUUGGAUCCCUGCAUCAACAGCAUCAGAUUUGAGCGCGUACUCGUCGACGGGGGAAGCUCCAUUGACAUCCUCUUCCGCAAUAGCUUGCCUGCUCUCAAGAUAACCCUGGCACAGCUAAAGCCCUACGACGCUCAAUUCUGGGGAGUCUUACCAGGUCAAAGUUCAGUACCCCUCGGACAGAUAACGCUGCCUGUCUAGUUCGAAACAUCCGACCACUUUCGAAUAGAGUUCGUCAACUUUGUGGUCGCCGACUUUGAUGGAACUUACCACGCUAUACUGGGCUAACCAUCGCUGACAAAGUUCAUGGCAGUUCCACAUUACUCAUACCUGGUCCUCAAAAUGCCUACAGAAAAGGGCGUCCUAACUGUUCGAGGCAAUGUCUACACCGCAUACACCUGCGAGGAGGAGAGCUUCAAGAUCACCGAAGCAAUUGAUCUUUCAAUCCGCAUGGUAGAAACUGUAGCCCAAGUCGCACAGCUGUUGGGUAUUUUAAACGCAAACAGAAAAAUCCGCAAGCGCACGGAUACCGAUGUAGCCUUCACCCAGGAGUAUUCCAGAGUAUCGAUUUUCCACAGAGAACGUGAGUGUACUAAUUAAGAUCCAAGAUCGCCCAAGGAUAACUAUAUAAUUAUUUUUGGUGGGAAGAGAGGAAGUUUCCUGAGAGUUCUCUAGUUGAUCUAAGAAUCAAGAAUUACUUCAAAAUUAUCUAUAUCGGGACAUCAGAGCACUAACCACAGAAAGAGAUGAGAAGGGGGCUAGGAAGGUCUGACUACGGUCCUACAAACACCGAUCCGAAUGUGGUGGAAUACGUCGACCGUUAGGGCUGUCACUACCCUAAGGCUACCACAACAAUCCGCAGGAUUGGGUGCAAUUCCAGGUAAUCGCAAGACUAAACACCACAUCUAAUCUAUUAAUUACUACUCUAGUGUUAUAAAGACUAGAGCACUUGAUGCAAGCAGGAAUCCAAUAAAUAACUUGAAUGUAAAUAAAAGUAAUUAAAGAACUCAGGAAUUAUGAAUUGAAGAACCUGGAGAAUGAUGAAGAACGAACCAGUUGCUGCAAAAGUACAAUGUUGAGGAAGAUCCGACAGAUCUGGCUCCUCCUCCGCUCUCCUCUUCUCUCUCCCUAUUUUCUAGAUUACAACUAGAACUAACUAGAACUAGAACUAGAGGAACUAGAACUAGAACUAGAUGAACUAGAACUAGAUCUAGAUGAACUAGAGGUAGAACUAGAGGGAUCCUCUCUACUUGGAUGAAGAAUUAAAAUCCUAGCUUUGAUUCUGUAGAAGAGGUAUGCUCUCCAGGGGCCAGAGGGCCUUGCUUAUAUAGUCUUUUCAGAUGAAUCUGGGCCGUCGGAUCAAACCGACAUUAAUCACAUGGUUUCCCUUGGUCCCUUAGGUCGGUGGAGCACGAUCUGCGAAGUUGAAGCUGAUUAGUUACUGUAGCUUGGCGGGCACCCAAGGGACUUGGGCGGGCGCCCUGCUCCCGGGCCCGAUCGGCCUCCCGUUCGUUCCCGUGGCUUCUAGAGUCUUCUAGAUGAUAGAAAAUUGUGCGGCACGUUAAUAUCUCUAUGUAAACCCGACGUGUGGGCUUUUCUUCCGUAUUUCCUGAUAACCCCCUGCAGAAAUAGACAAACACCAAAACUCGUGGAAUUCUGUCAGAUAAAACCCUAAGUCGAGGUGUUGGCUGCAUAUAAGUCUUUUUCCAUGAUUAGUUGAUGGUUAAAUGUGAGCAUUAAGGACCAUCAACAAGCUCCCCCAAUCUUAACCUUUGCUCGUCCCUGAGCAAAGAUGAACUCAAGAAUUUCUGCAGUGGUUUCAAUAAAUGCGUUCAAACAAGAUCUCAUCUCUGGGUUAGGGUAAACUGUUAAGAUUUAAAACUUACUUGUUUUACCUUUUACCAUGGCACUUGUAACCGUCACCUCUGUCUUGAGCAGUUAAAAGAUAGAACGGUCUAGUCAAGCACCAUGUCUCUUGUUCUUCGAUUAACUAUAGCUCUGGAGUUUUUGCAGAUUUUCAAAUAAAACUCAGAGAUUCCUUGUAUAACUGUCUCUAGUCUCUCUUUUGUGGUAUUUCUAGAUCCUUACCAAGGCAGUAAUGGUGUAUGUCUUCUCUCAAAGUAUGUGGUAUUUUUGGUAUGAGGCAUACUGGCAUUGCCUUCUCUCUCACCCUACUCUAAUAAGGUUUUGAUAUCUGGAGCUCAUAGGUGGGAGACAGCUAAUACAUACUUAUAAGACAUUUAUUGCAUAGUCAAACCAUGGAUCCAGAAGAACAAGUCAAUAAGCCAAAUCAAGACGUGCAUGUGUGGCGAAUGAAUGGUGCAUGGUAAUGAUGGUGAUAACAAUGGUAAAAGUCUAAUUCUACUUGUGCUCUUUUGAUGGGAUACAUACCUUUCUUGCUCUUUUGAAACUUUUUGAGGAGAAUGAGAUGCUCUAUAUUUUUGUUUUUCUUUUCUCUCAGGUGGGUAUCUUGUACCCCUAAUUCUACUGUCGGACACUUGUCCAUUUUUACCUCUCGUCUCACUUUUUCUUUUCUUUCGAGGUUCCGGGCACUUGCCCCUUUUUAUUUCCUCGUAUCUUUUUUUCUUCUUUUUUUAGAGCACUCAUCUCUUGAAAUAAUGUAGCAAGUGGCAGUAACCAAGAUAACUUGAGCAUUUAUUUCACAGGGGAAAACAGAAAUGUUUUUGGCUAUUCUCUCCCGGAUUAGGAGUAGAAUAUUUUUAGGUGAUUCUGGAGAUGGAAAUGGAUGGAUAUAUGUGGAUGCGUACUUCCGGAGUAGAAGCAGCAUGUAUGAGUGAACGUGCAAGUGAAUCUUGAUUUUAACCACAUGACAAGCUCCUAAGGGUCUACACAGCUUGACCAUACUCAAUGCUCAUAAGCAGUAAAAAGUAAGUGUGUGGUUCAUAGUCUAGCAAGCAUGUAUAUAUGGCUGUGAUAGGAAUUUAAACUCUCAUCAUACAGGAACUCAUCAUGCAACAUUUUAAAGAUUUUCAAAGAUAAAAUUCUCCAGAAUUCUAGCAUCUCUAGGAAUAGAUAAACAGCAGCUCAACCUUCCCAUAUCGUAUCCGUUAACGACUUAGACUUUAGAUCAAGUAUUCUCCCCACAAGUUCAGGUUUAGAGCAAAUCUUAAUUCAUAACAGUCAAGCCUAAACUUGAGAGAGAUUUCAAUUCUGAGAACUAGUCAUGGCAGGGCAACUAUUCAUCAUUUCCAUGUGAGAGCUUAUCAUGAGGGUUCAUAGCAAACUUUAUUUAUUUAUUUAUUUAGCAAACUCAGCAGAGAUAUAUAUAUAAUCACAAAAUCUUUAUUUGGGUUUUUAUGAUUAUGCAUCUUUUUAUUAUUUGAGUAAAAUAUAAACAUGAGUAGAAUACUUAGCUGGAUAAAUGGGGGUGCUCUCCCCCAGCUGGAUUUUGACGUAAUUUCUUCUGAUGUAGCUAGCAGGUGGCGGAGGUGUAUUUGAAUGUCGGCAACACCCUGACAGCGAUUAGGAUUUCCUCCGUCUGCUAGUCUUCUUUGAUCCUUUAAUUCUAUGGAGCUCAAUUAGACAACAAAGCUUUGUGGAACUGGUUAAGUGUUAGCAUAAAUAUCUAGCCUUUAUCAUGUUGAGCCUCCUCGAUAAAUGUUACUCUCUUUAGUAGGAUCACAAUCUUAUUUUUAUAUUUUCAUUUUUAUAGGACAGGAAUAUAUUUAUUUUAUUUUUACGCCACCAUAGUGAAUGUACUUAUGGGUUUUAUGCCAUGACCAUACUCACAUGGGGCUUACUGUUUUUUAACAUUUUUAUUUUCUUUUGAAGAUGAUAUGAACCUGAUUAACUAAGCAAACUAUUUUAAAUAAUUGAAAGGAAAAGAGAUAACUACCAAGUUUACCUCUUGGCAAGGCGUUCGGUGUUUUUAAGUCCUCCGAAUGGGACUCUCCGUUUUCUCAGUCGUAUGGCGUAGUCGGUGGUUCCGGUGGAGCCUGCUCUUCAUGUAUAACUAUCUUUUUUCUCCACACCUGACUCGAUGCUACGGUCUCCCCAGGACAGUUCUGUUCAAGUUAUAUGUCUUCAGACCUUACAACUUCUCCAUCAUAGUCUACCCAUCCGUCCUUGAUGAUUUUGCCUUCUCUGGUUGCGGUUGCGCCGUCUCCUUCUUGUCCCGACCUGCUUAGAGUCUUCAACUAUAUAGUUAGGGUCAGUAAAAUAGUGGCGUACCUUCUCAGAGGUGAAGUGCAUGUGAACUUCUCGGGUUCCAAUGUAGAUGAUUGCUUUAACGGUGCUGAGGAACGGUCUCCUAAGGAUGAUGGAGGAUCAUACUUGUCUUCUCCCAUGUCAAUAACCUUAAAAUUAUCUGGAGCUGAAUGUAUGUUGGUUGUAGGGACAUGGUUCCAUGCAGGAGCUGAUAAGUGACUGCGGCCAUUAUGUUGACGUCAGAUCCGGUGUCGUAGAGUGUCUUCUGAAAGGAAUAUCCGUUGAUUGUGCACUCGAUGCUUGGAACACCAGGGUCGUCCUUCUUGAUCAAGAAAGGCGACUUGAGUUGACGAUCUUGACCUCCUUGAACAGCAGUGACCAUCUUAGCUGACUCGGUCCACAUUUGCUUGUUCCUGUUCCUCCUGUUGGUCCUCUUCCUUGGUUCAUGUCGGGAUUGCUCUGAGAUUUGUGUAGUCUUGUUCUUGAAGGAAAACAUCUCCUUCCUUCCCUUGAGGUAGAAACUGAUCUUGGCAGCACUAGCGUAGAUGACAGCUCCUGGUAUUUAGGAAUGGCCUCCCUUGGGUAUAAUGUUGACGCUGGAGCCAAAGUCGCAGAGUGCUUCUAGGAAAGUCCACCAUGCCUAUGGAGAUCGAGAUGACGGGGCGUCCUGGGUUGUCUCUCUUGACCGGCAGAAGGUUAGUAAUUACUUCCACAACGGGGUUACUCCAGUAGUUACGUCCUUAAGCGUCUCAGGGCAGUGAUUGCCUGAGUGUCCAUUAUCUCCAGUGUGUUUGAGCUCGUAAAUCUAGGUUCUUCACUUGGUGGAGUCUAGAAGUUGUAAAAGUCCUUCAUAGUUUGCUCGAAGUGUACCUGCUCAUAGAGACAAGGCAGAGAUCAAGUGCAUGGUCCCUGUUGGUGGAAAACACCAACAGAACCAAAAGUGUAUUUGUUCUCUCUAACCUUAAGCAUAGUGAGCAAGACAAAGUUGAUGAAUAAUAAGAUCAUGAGUGUAGCAUUUAAAACAUUUGUCAGAGAUCGCUCAACCUAAUGGAAAGAUAAUCUAUCUAUAUUUAUGUUGUUUUUUUUAUAAAAUAUAUCUUCCAAAGAUUGAGUGUGCAACAUUUUAGUUCAUAUGAUUAGGAGUGUCGGAUCACAACGGUAGAAGGACUAAACAUAUUGAAUCGAUUGGGUUGGUUAAUCUAAAGUUGUAAAUCAUACAUGUUUGUCUCUUUUAUUCAUGUGAACGCCAUAAAUAAGGAGAAGCUUAUAAAAGUGAUAGUCAAGUACCUUAAGAUGUUACCUUACUUGAAGAGUGAUGGUACAGUAUCACCUUGUGGAAGCUUUCCUCUCUUAGCGGUUGUGCAUCGUGUUUGUGGCACCCUCCAUGGAUCAUCUCUUGUGAGCUAUGCCUUCCUUGGGUAAAUUGUUAAACUUCAUGUGCCUCUCUCUUCGUCUCCAAUGUGAGUUUAUCUCAGGACUUCCCAGGUUGAUAUUGAAAGUUUUUCCUGUAGAGGUUAGUCCAACAAAAUAUACCAAUGUCUACACAAGCAGUUUUUAGUUCAAUAACCAAACUAGACUCCAUGUCUAAUUAUAUUAAGGAAGGCUGUUUAACCUAAGCACCAUGCUUAGUUUAAAACCAAUAGAAGUAUGUACAGUACUUCCAAACUAACACUUACUAGGAUAAACAAAGGUAGCGUGAUGGCUUUUAUAGAGAUCUACUCAAGUGGAGAUGAAGUAGUGUGAUUACUAUUUAACAACUUGAGCAUGUCUCAAAGGUAGGGACAACCAACAUAGCAACAUGGCAAAUAAUGUUUUUAUAUAAAGUACUCCCCCAAGCUUGAAUUUUGCAAAAUUCAAGUUUGGAUGAAUUUAAUUCAAUGUUGUAUGAUGAUUGGUUGUACAUACCUUGUGCUUGUCAUUCAUCCGAUCUUCUUGCUCCAAUCCUGGAAAGGUUAGUGACAAGAAUACCCGAAGGAAUUUUUUUUACAAUUAUCCUUAUAUGCUCAAUACACAAGGUAAUGUUGCAAAGAAUUAAAAGCUCAUGUUACGAUCUGAUCAGUGCUUGUUUUAGGACACUAAGCUUGUCCUUGGGAAACCAUCAAUUUAUGUCGGCGAAGUGGUUCCCCCUCCAACGCUAACCUAUAUCAAGAUCAACUCAACGAGAUCUGCAAAAUUUAUUAUAGACAUAUGCAUCGACAACCGCCCUUUUAAAGUUUUUAUAAAUAGAAAGGAAGUGGGGGUUGGAGAUCUCGAAUGUGGUGAUGUUGGAGAGACCAAUGGAUUGUGAAGAUGUUGCAUAUGAGCAUGGAGUAAAUGAAGUGGCUAUGAAAUAAAUUCCAUGCUCAUUAAUGCUUAGAGUGAAAUCCAUGUGGUAUGGUGAAAAUGAUAAGGUGAGUGUGGUAAAAAAGGAAAAGAAAAAGGAUACACGGACGACUUGGUUCGAAACUAGCACAGCUACCGUUCCCCGGCAACGGCGCCAGAAAGCUUGUUGGGUAUUUUAAACGCAAACAGAAAAAUCCGCAAGCGCACGCAUACCGAUGUAGCCUUCACCCGGGAGUAUUCCAGAGUAUCGAUUUUCCACGGAGAAUGUGAGUGUACUAAUUAAGAUCCAAGAUCGCCCAAGGAUAACUAUAUAAUUAUUUUUGGUGGGAAGAGAGGACGUUUCCUGAGAGUUCUAUAGUUGAUCUAAGAAUCAAGAAUUACUUCAAAAUUAUCUAUAUCGGGACAUCAGAGCACUAACCACAGAAAGAGAUGAGAAGGGAGCUAGGAAGGUCUGACUAUGGUCCUACAAACACCGAUCCGAACGAGGUGGAAUACGUCGACCGUUAGGGCUGUCACUACCUUAACGCUACCACAACAAUCCGCAGGAUUGGGUGCAAUUCCAGGUAAUCGCAAGACUAAACACCACAUCUAAUCUAUUAAUUACUACUCUAGCGUUAUAAAGACUAGAGCACUUGAUGCAAGCGGGAAUCCAAUAAAUAACUUGAAUGUAAAUAAAAGUAAUUAAAGAACUCAGGAAUUAUGAAUUGAAGAACCUGGACAACAAUGAAGAACGAACGAGUUGCUGCAAAAGUACAAUGUUGAGGAAGAUCCGACAGAUCCGGCUCCUCCUCCGCUCUCCUCUUCUCUCUCCCUAUUUUCUAGAUUACAACUAGAACUAGAACUAGAGGGACUAGAACUAGAACUAGAUGAACUAGAUCUAGAUGAACUAGAGGUAGAACUAGAAGAACUAGAGGGAUCCUCUCUACUUGGAUGAAGAAUUGAAACCCUAGCUUUGAUUCUGUAGAAGAGGUAUGCUCUCUAGGGGCUAGGGAGCCUUGCUUAUAUAGUCUUUUCAGAUGAAUCUGGGCCGUAGGAUCAAACCGACAUUAAUCGCACGGUUUUCCUUGGUCCCUUAGGUCGGUGGAGCACGAUCCGCGAAGUUGAAGCUGAUUGGUUACUGUAGCUGGGCGGGCACCCAAGGGAGGCCUUGCUUAUAUAGUCUUUUCAGAUGAAUCUGGCCAUCAGAUCAAAACCGACAUUAAUCGCAUGGUUUUCCUUGGUCCCUUAGGUCGAUGGAGCAUGAUCCGCGAAGUUGAAGCUGAUUGGUUACUGUAGCUGGACGGGCACCCAAGGGACUUGGGCGGGCGCCCUACCCCCGGGCCCGAUCGGCCUCCAGUUCGUUCCCGUGGCUUCUAGAGUCUUCUAGAUGAUAGAAAAUUGCGUGGCACGUUAAUAUCUCUAUGUAAACUUGACGUGUGGGCCUUUCUUCCGUAUUUCCUGAUAACCCCCUGCAGAAAUAGACAAACACCAAAACUCGUGGAAUUCUGUCAGAUAAAACCCUAAGUCUAGGUGUUGGCUGCAUAUAAGUCUUUUUCCAUGAUUAGUUGAUGGUUAAAUGUGAGCAUUAAGGACCGUCAACAACAGCUCCCUCCUUACUACCUCCGACUACCCGAGUAGGAGACCGCUAGAAAGAAUUCAAAGUCCAAGGAAUACAAGGAAGUACAGCUUGUCGACGGCAGCCCCGAGAAGACGGCCCUCAUCGGGGCCAAUCUGGACCCUAAAUAGGAAGACGCGCUCGUCAGGUUUCUAAGGGACAACGUGAGCGUUUUCGCAUGGAAACCCGCAGACAUGCCCGGCGUCCCACGAAACCUGAUCGAGCACUCCUUAAAUGUCUCGAAGACCGCAAGACCCAUCAAGCAAAAGCUGCGACGGUUCGCUCGUGACAAAAAGGAGGCUAUUAGGACAGAAAUAACACGGCUUCAAGCAGCCGGAUUUAUAAAAGAAGUGUAUCAUCCCGAUUGGCUCGCCAAUCCGGUUCUUGUACGCAAAAAGAAUAAUGAAUGGAGAAUGUGUGUUGAUUACACUGACCUCAAUAAACACUGUCCUAAAGAUCCUUUUGGUCUCCCUCGCAUCGACGAGGUGGUCGACUCAACGGCAGGAUGUGAACUCCUCUCUUUUCUAGACUGCUACUCUGGUUAUCACCAGAUCUCGCUAAAGGAAGAUGACCAGAUUAAAACGUCUUUCAUUACUCCUUUCGGCGCAUACUGCUACACGACCAUGUCCUUCGGACUCAAAAACGCCGGCGCCACUUAUCAACGGGCCAUCCAGCAAUGCCUCCAUGACGAGAUUUGUGAUGACCUCGUCGAGGCUUAUGUAGACGAUGUCGUCGUCAAAACAAGGGAUGCAAGCACCCUAAUCGACGACUUAGACUGAACAUUUAAGGCACUAAACAAAUACAAGUGGAAGCUUAACCCCAAAAAGUGCAUCUUUGGGGUUCCUUCUGGUCUACUACUCGGCAACGUCGUCAGCCGCGACGGCAUACGACCGAAUCCUUCAAAAGUAAAAGCAGUGCUCGACAUGCCACCACCUAAGAAUGUCAAGGAUAUUCAGAAGCUCACCGGGUGUAUGGCCGCUCUCAGCCGCUUCAUCUCAAGACUAGGAGAAAAAGGCCUCCCUUUCUUCAAACUCUUGAAGGCGUCGGAAAAAUUCUCCUGGACAGAGGAAGCUGACGCUGCGUUCACCCAGCUCAAAACUUUCCUCACCUCACCGCCUGUUCUCACAGCGCCUCAGCCCAAUGAAGACCUACUCCUUUACAUUGCAGCAACCGACAGGGUCGUCUCCACGGCAAUAGUGCUCGAGCGAGACGAGCCAGGUCACGUCUACAAGGUCCAGAGACCCGUUUAUUUCAUAAGCAAAGUCUUAAACGAGUCAAAGGCGAGAUUCGCACAAAUACAGAAGCUCAUAUAUGCCAUUCUAAUAACGUCGAGGAAGCUAAAGCACUACUUCGACGGCCAUCGGCUCUUGGUAACCACCAGUUUCCCUCUUGGGGAUAUUCUACGCAAUAAAGAUGCCAAUGGCAGAAUUGUAAAAUGGGCAAUGGAAUUAUGCCCAUUCUCCCUGGAUUUCCAGAGCCGCACCACAGUCAAGUCUCAGGCCCUAGUCGAUUUCAUCGCGGAGUGGACGGAUCUCAACGAGCCUCCCGUUUCCGACGCCUCCAACCACUAGUGAAUGUUCUUCGACGGGUCCUUGAACAUCAACGGCGCCGGCGCUGGGAUACUUUUCGUGUCGCCUAACAAGGACAAACUACGCUACGUCCUUAGGAUCCUCUUUCCGGCGUCAAACAACAUCGCUGAGUAUGAAGCAUGCCUGCAUGGCAUACGACUAGCCGUCGAGUUGGGAGUCAAACGCCUCUACGUCCAUGGCGACUCCGCUAUAGUUAUCAACCAGCUCAACAAGGAAUGGGAUGCAACCCACGAGAAGAUGGACCUCUACUGCAAGGAAAUCCGCAAAUGGGAAUCCAACUUCUAUGGCAUAGAGUACAUCCACGUGGUCCGGGAUAAGAACCAGGCAGCGGAUGCGCUGUCGAAGUUAGGGUCAUCUCGGGCCCAGAUCCCGCGAGGUGUUUUCGUCCAGGACAUCCAUGAGCCAAGUGUAGGCACAGACCUGGUCAAAAAGCAACCUAAUGAGGCAAUGCUCAUAGGCGACGCUACUCCGACAACCAGCAGCCGUGAUUGGCGCACCCCGUUCAUCAGGUAUAUAUCGGACGGGUCGAGCUUUUAGGAUAAAACGGAGAACGAGCGCCUCAUUCGACGAUCAAAGAAUUACAUACUGGUGGACGGCAAACUUAUGCGAAAAAAUGCAAGUUCUGAAGUGUUGCUCAAAUGCAUAUCCCAAGAUGAUGGCAUCAAGCUCUUGGACGACAUACACGCCGGAUCCUGCGGCAACCACGCGGCCUCCAGAACACUGGUCGGGAAGGCUUUCUGAGCAGGUUUUUACUAGCCAACCGUGGUCGCCGACGCAGAAAAACUGGUCCGACAUUGUGAAGGAUGCCAGUUCUUCGCCAAGAGGACCCACAUACCUGCUCACGAGAUUCAAACUAUUCCGUCAUCCUGGCCUUUCGCCUGCUGGGGCCUCGACAUGAUCGGGCCAUUUAAACUGGCUCCCGGCAACUUCAAGUUCGUCUUCGUGUUAAUCGACAAAUUCUCGAAGUGGAUCGAAUACAUGCCACUGGUCAAAGCAACCUCCGAGAAAGCUGUCGAGUUCCUCAAUCAAAUCAUACAUAGAUUCGGGAUCCCCAAUAGUAUAAUCACCGACCUGGGCACUCAGUUCACUGGCACUACGUUCUGGCACUUCUGCGAUGACAGAGGCAUAGUCGUAAAAUACGUGUCAGUAGCUCACCCACGAGCAAAUGGUCAAGUAGAACGCGCGAACGGGAUUAUUAUUGAUGCCCUAAAGAAAAGGUUGUACACCGAGAACGACAGAGCGCCUGGGCGAUGGAUGAAAGAGUUACCGGCUGUGGUCUGGGGCCUCCGAACACAGGCCAGUCACAAUACAGGCGUAUCACCCUACUUCAUGGUUUAUGGCUCCGAGGCAGUGCUCUCGUCUGAUGUAACCUUCAGAUCUCCAAGAGUUGAAAACUUCGACCAAUCAACGGCUGACAACGCUAGAGAGCUCGAGAUCAACUGCAUGGAGGAAAAGCGUCUAAUUUCAUGUCUUCGAACAGCAAAGUAUCUCGAAGCCAUGAGGUGAUACUACAACAGGAACGUCAAAGACCGUUCUUUCGUGGUCGGAGAUCUGGUACUCAAGUGGAAAACAAGCCAGAAAGGAAUGCACAAGUUAUCCACGCCUUGGGAAGGACCCUUUGUGGUCGCCGAAGUCACACGUCCUACAUCCUACAGACUGGCGUAUCCAGAUGGAACACGCGUGCCUAAUUCCUGGCACAUAGACAAACUGCGCCGUUUUUAUCCAUAAGUUCCGGUACCCUUUGCUUGUAAGUUUCUUAUAAUUAGCAAUAAUAAAAGUUUUCCUUUUUCGCUAUACAUUGUUUACACGUAGAGCUUCCGACGAGCACAAUAAUCUUCCUCUGCGGCGAAGAUUCUUAACGACUAUCAAUCAAACACAGUGAUACAUCACUCAGAUAACAUUAUAGCGCUCAAAAUCAUGGUCAUGACAAAAUCAAACUUUAUUACAAACUUUACAUAUAGAGUUUACAAUAAACACCCCGCCGGGCGGUUACUAGUCUACUCCUACAGACUAUCCUACAGGCCUACUGCUCGAGCUGAUCACCCGCCUGGCCUUGCUGCCCAGAAGGACGGGUCGGGGCCACCGGCGCCUGGCUGGUCAAGACCGUAGGCGUCGACCGCCCAUUUCCGGCAAUGGACGCACCCGACAACUCCCUGGCCGAUCUGUCCGACCCAGGCUAGUCGGGGGGAGUAGCCGUCCCGCAUAGGUUGAUGUCGCCGAUCACCAUCGAGGACAAGUCAAGGAGGCCCGCUAGAAGGUCGUCUGCCUCCUGCGGGCCAACUUCCUUGGGGUACCCCCUCUCCAGCCUGGACAGGUCGACCAGGGGAUAGUGGGCACGCACCAUGCUAAGGACAUGCGCGCCGGCGAACUCCCCGGCAUCCUUGACGAACUGCUGGAGCCAGUCCCACGCCCGUUGCGCCUUCUCGACUGGCGUCAGUCUCGGCGCGCGGGGCUGGUCCUCAGGAAGCUCGGGGCUGAUCAAGUCCAGAAACGGGGCUACUCCUUUCCAAAGCCUAAUGCAGUUGGUCUUCCAGGAGUCCCGAUCCUUGACCAGAUCGUCUAGAUGCUUCUUGGUAUUCACCUUGAGCACUACAAACCAAGCAGGAGAUCAGUUCAAGAACAAGGAAAGGAACGUUGAGCAACCAAAUAAAAAAGGGGGUGGCAUGGUUAUUACCAGACAGCUCCCGGUCCCUGUGGCUUAGCUCGUCGCCUGCUCGGCGCCCAGCCUCCAGCGCCCCGGCAAGCUCUUGACCGAGCUGCUCCUUCUCUUGCCGGAGGCGCGCAACCUCAUCCUCCAAGUGUACAAGAACAAUCCCCUAGUCAACAAAACUAACCACACGGCUACAUACAGCUGCUCGGAGUACGCGACUGACCUGUCCUUUGCCGAUACUGGUCGGCUAAACGCCGAGUGAGGUCGAGACAGCGCUCUUCCUGAGCGCCACCAUCUCCCCAACUUCCGACCGAAGCCGAUCCACCUCCGCCGACAGGGCCUUGUUCUCGACCACAAUGCCCUCAAUUUGGUCGAAGCACCUCUUCCGGUACUUCACCAUUUUCAUCGCGCCCUGCAAAGAAGAACACAUGCCGAACACAGGAACAUAGCGCAUAAGCGUCAAGAAGCACAGAGAACCACUUACCUUAACCUCGUCUACGAGACGUUUCGCCGCACGCUCCACCCUUGCGGCCUCCUCCGUCUCCGCGAGCUCCUCAUGACCGAUGAAGUGGUCCCCGCAUUGACGCCACACGUAGACGUGCUGGCGACCAUCACGGGGAUGACCUUGGAUCUCCUCCACGUCGUCGUCAGAGGCCGUCCGGGUCUCCUCAUCCGCCGCACUACCACCGGCUGCGGUUGCUGUCAUCAUUGGCCCCUGGACCAGGCCAGGGGAGGCUACAGGCGACGAGGCCCCUCCUCGGGGCGGUGUUGGGACUCCCCUUUCUUCGACUGAAGGAGUCGGGGCUCUGCUCUCCUCCUCCGCAACGUUGCUCCGGGGAGGCGUCCUCGCAGCCUCUUCGUCCCUUGUCGGGGCGCUCGCCGUGGCAUUCGCCGGGGCCGGACGCUCCUCGAUGCUAGUAGCAGCGGCUGUCGCCGCGGGCUGCUCCGUGGUCUGCGGCGCGGUGUCCCCAGCGACAGCAACGGGCUCGGGCACCCUCUGGCGAGCAACGUGGCCCGGAUCGACGUCCGACGCUGUGCUAACAAUAAGACGACAUUUAAACAAUGUCAAAACACAGCAACAAAACGAAAAACAUCGCAGCACGAAAGUAAGAAUGAAAACUUAUAGGUCAGAGCGCCGGUGUGUUGUGGUGAACCUCCUCCUGGUCCUACCAGUCGGUACCUGCGCCCCCGUCUCUACGACGCGCGUCGGCUCGACGUGCGGUGCAGGCGGGUCGCUAGUCACCCGACUAGUGGUGGCCGGCGCAACAUCCGGACGACUGCGCGGCCUCUAGACCAGAGAAGGCGCGGCCUCCUCCUCCUCCUCCUCGUCGUCAGUAAUCCGGACGAGCCGACGGCGCUUUGGCGCCUGACUGCUCUCCGCUGGCAACGCUUCCGCAGGGGAGGGGUCCGUCGCCAGUGGCCUUUUCCCUGCCACUCUGUCUUCGGUGGUCGGGGCCGGAUGGCUCUGCUCCUCCUCACUGCUGGUGUAUCGAGCACACCGAGCAGCGUCGUCUUCUGACGGGUCUACCCUAGCGGGGUCCUCCAUGCCAGGUGCCAGUGAUAUGUACACCGCGCACCGGUCAACGUCUCCAAUCUGCAUCAAAAACAAAAGACAAAUCAACAACUAGGAGAGCAAGCACUCAGAAAGCAAAAUCAGUUCGUAACAUUACCUUGGGAGCUGGUCGCCCCAGCUUGAAGGCCGGCACCCGAUCACCACUACGGACGAAGCUGCCGUCUGCAAAGUUGAACAACUCGUUCAACAGUUGUUGCACUUCCGCCUUCUCCAAAACCUCAGGAUUCAUCCUGGUCGGGUCCUGGCUCCCAGCGUACUCGUACGCCGAGUGCACCCUCUUCUGGCAGGGCAUCACCCGACGACAGAUGAAGUUGCCGACCACUCCUAGCCCGUCCAAACGCGACCAGUCGAUCAGCUUCAUCAGGUCCGCCACUUGAUCGGCGAACUUUGGGCGGUCGGUCCAACUGACCCUCUUUUCAGGAAUGUACCCCACGUCGCAGAAUGUGGAGCUGCCCGGCUCUUCCCUGAUGUAGAACCACUUCUUGUACCAUUCGGUUAGAGAAGUGUUCCACAGGCAGUUGAGAUACCGGUUCUUCAUUCUAUCAUGAAGAUUGAUGUAUACUCCACCUGCAAUCUUGGAGCCUCCAACCGCUCCCUUCUUUCUCAAGCAGAAAAGAUAACGGAAAAGAUCGAAGUGCGGCUCUAUUCCAACAUAGGCCUCGCACAGAUGGAUGAAAGUGGAAAUAAGAAGAAUUGAGUUCGGGUGCAGAUUGCAGAUCCCGAUCUCAUAAUAUAGAAGAAGCCCCUGGAGAAAAGGAUGGACGGGAACCCCAAAACCCCUCUUGAAAAAAAUCUUCGAAAACCACGAUCUCACCGGCACGGGGAUCGGGGUAGCUCUCCCCUUCUGGCGCCCUCCAGCCGCCGAGCUCUUGGCUGUGCAGUAGCCCCAUGCCGACGAGGUCGUUGAGGGACCUCACGCUGCUUCGGGACUUCUUCCACUCCUUAGCCAUCAGAUCGGCCCUCUUUUUGGAGUCGCUCUUCGCCAUUGACGCUGUGGGAAUGACUGCGAGUUGGGUGGACUGAUGGUGAUUGCAGAAGGCAAGAGUGGAAGCUUGAAGGCAAUGGCAGGGUAAGCAAUACGGGGGCGAUGUCAAGUUUUUAUAAGCAACAACUCCACCCCUCCCACUUCCUGCAUUCUUGGGAAGUGGGCGGGUCCAACGGCGGACGCGGCGCUUCGUUUUUCAACAAUUAUCGGCAGUUAAUACGGUGGCCUUUUCGUAUAAUUGAUGGUUUCCUUCUCUCGAACUACGCAAAGAGCGGCUGCACAGUUGCCGGGCGCACCUUUUCACGCAAUCAUCUGACAACGCGUCAGGAGGUGUCGUCACAUCACUCAUUUAUGUGGUAAGAUGCUUUCUUUUUCAAAAUAACGGACAAAAAUUGGUGGAGGAUUAACGUUCCUGGGGACUGCACCGACCACCGAGCACUGUAUGCUUGGGGACCGGUCGUCCAGUCUGCCAGCUUGGAAAUCUGGGGACUGCACCGACCACCGAGCACUGUAUGCUUGGGGACCGGUCGUCCAGUCUGCCAGCUUGGAAAUCUGGGGACUGCACCGACCACCGAGCACUCAAUGCUCGGGGACUGGUCGUCCAGUCCGCCAGCUUGGAAAUCUAGGGACUGCACCGACCACCGAGCACUCAAUGCUCGGGGACUGGUCGUCCAGUCCGCCAGCUUGGAAAUCUGGGGACUACACCGACCACCGAGCACUCAAUGCUCGGGGACUGGUCGUCCAGUCCGCCAGCUUGGAAAUCUAGGGAUUGCAUCGACCACCGAGCACUCAAUGCUCGGGGACUGGUCGUCCAGUCCGCCAGCUUGGAGAUUUGGGGGCUGCACCGACCACCAAGCACCAUACGCUCGGGGACUGGUCGACCAGCCUGCCAGUUUGGAAGACUUAAGGACUAUACUAGCCACCAAGGAAAUAUCUGCUCGGGACUAGUUGAUAAGUCUAUCCGAUGGCGAACGAGCAUGAGAUGCUCGGGGACUGGAUAAUUUUAAUUUUUAAGACCUUGCUACAAGGCUCAUACUUUGCCUUCCAGCAAGCUCGGGGACUACAUCGGUACGAUGCAUCUGGCGAUGCAUCUCAGUUUCAGAAUUUCUCUGAGGACUUUUCUUCAGAGCCUGGCACCACGUGUCUACGCCACCUACUACUAGGCUCGGGGACUAAGUGGGCACACUUCACCUUGCGGUGAAUAUGCUCGCUUCCUUGAAGACUAUACUUUUCAGAAAAGUAAAGUGGGCACACUUCAUCAGAAAAGAAAUCUUUUUUGGUUUAGAGCACCAUGCAUUCUUCAAACAACCUACUUCUUCGGUGUUAAUACUGGUCAACUGUCUUUUGGGUUGGUCAAAAUAUCAUUACAACCGUUCAGGCGAUUUUCCUGCCUAUUGAAGAUGUCAAGUUUCACUGGUCGACGAAGCUCAAGACUGCGUGUUACUUCACAAUACAUGGUGCUCGGGGACUAGCUGUGGGGGUAUAAACCCCUAUACCCUUACGGCUAGACUUGGGCCAGGAGGCUUGGCCCAUUACGAAACAAGUUCGAGGCUUGAUCCGAUCGCUUGGAGUUUCGUGCAAGGAAACAAGACGUGGAGAUCAAGCAGGAUUCUAGUCGGUUAGAAUAGGAAUUGAUAUCGAGCUAUCUAUGGCAAUUGUAACCGACUAGGAUUAGUUUCCAGAUCUGUAACCCUGCCGUCCGGACUAUAUAAGGAGGGGCAAGGGACCCCCCUUGGGACAUGUUAUUCUCUCAAUCCAAUACAAUCAGACGCAGGACGUAGGUAUUACGCCCACACGGCGGCCGAACCUAGAUAAAAAGCUUGUCCGUGUCUUGCGUCACCAUCGAGUUCGUAGUUUGCGCACCGUCUACCGAUAAACUACUACCGUGGGUAUACCCCAAGGUAGACUGUCGACUAGCUUUUGUCGACAGGAAGAGUACCAGAGAAGGAAGUAUUUAUAGGACAAAGAGGGCAGGGGCAAAUCUGACUUAUCUCUUCGCCGUAUCCGUGAAAUCCGAGGGUGUUCAGGUGGAUAUGGCAACUGUUCGCACGGUAAUCAAGGGAUUACGCAGGUGAUUUGACAGCAAGUGGUCAUGAUUUUGGAGAUAUCUUACUGUGCAAGAUCUCCUGGUCGAUUCAUCGUGGUCGGUUCAUCGGCAGUCUUCUCCAACGGAAAUAUUGCCGAUGAACGUAUUCGGUUCGAGAAGUUGAGAGAUUCGAGGAGCAUGUUGGAGAACCGGGCUAAGGUUGUUUGGAUUUGGUAAUUAAUUACUGACAGAAAGGGGUAAUUGCGGAAAGGCAUCAUUAUUGAAGAGAAUUUUGAAGCAUUAAUGAUUUUAUACACCGAAAUUGGGGGGCAUGUGUUGACACCGUUUUUGGACACGUAUCUUUAGACGCGUAUCUGGAGUUAAUGAGGUGUAGAUCGGCAGGCAGAAAAGUGGUGACUAGUCUACAGAAGAGUUGCCGAUGUGGGUUGGUGCCAAAGAGAAAACGACAGGAUAUGGCCAAGUCCAGGAGUGGUGAUAGAUUUGUGCCGAUGACUGGUGCUGAUGGUUGCUGAUGGCUAUGAGAGGUGGUUUGCCGAUGGUCAUGGAGAAGGGCGCAGGGAUUGUCGAUCGACUCAUGGUGGUGUAUCGAUCGGUUGUGGAAGAUGAUUUAAUGCUUUCCAUAGUUAUUAGAGUUUGCUUUGUAUACAGAUUCUGUUUAAUAUAGAAUUCGAGUCCUGGUCGUGUCUCAUUGUAACCCUUUUGGGCAGGGUAGAAAUAUAAGACCCAUAGUGAUGUAAGAGACACAAUCAAUCAAACAUAAGUUUUUACACAUAUUAUAGCAUCUACUUUUUCGACGACUUCGUCACCCUGCAUAUUUUUCCUUUUACUUACGAGUUCUUAGGGAUUCUUCGAGUCAACCUCGACAAGUUCUUGAGUUUCGCGUGAAUACCUCUUGGCCGUGACAUCCGGGCGCAUCGCUGUUGUCAGGACCAAAGUGUUCGAGUUACCACCUUUGUCGAUUGUAAGGUCAAAUCGGCUGGCAUGCCUUAACAUCAAAUCGGGUAUUAGCCCUUUGUGUUUAUAGAUCUACUUUUGCAUCAACAGUAGGCCGACUGAUCUUGGAGGCUUGGGUAUUCUGGACCUCAGAUUCGUUGGCUUUGCUCUACGCCUGCGCUGGGAAUGGUUGAGAAGGUCUGACCCAGGGAGAUGUUGGGCUGAUCUUCCCUAUCGCCGAAGCAAGCCGGUUGCGGCGAUGUCAGCUAUCAGCACGUCAGUGAUCAUUGGUGAUGGCGUGUCUGCGUUGCUAUGUACAGAUCAUUGGGCACCCGUUGGCCCCUUAUGCAUGUUCGCUCCAGACCUUUUUGCUGCAAUCAGCCGUGCAGGAAAGUGGAGAUCUAUCAAAGAUGGGCUCGCGAUGAAUCAUUGGGCAAGGCAUAUCAAGAGAGUUUCUUCAUGUCUGGCACAAGCUACAGGAUGUGGUGCUUCAACUGCUCCAAGUCGAUCGAUUUGUUUGGAAAUGGUCUUCAGACGGAAAGUAUUCCGCUUCUUCGGCUUACCGGGCAUUUUUCAAUGGUUCAACUGCUUUGCUUGGGGCGAGGGAGAUUUGGCAAGGCAAGGUGCCGCCGAAGGUGAAAUUCUUCUUCUGGCUGGUCCUGCAUCGAAGGCUAUGGACAGCGGAACGUCAAAAAAGACAUGGCCUACAGGACAACAAUGAUUGUGCAUUAUGUGGACAAGCAUCUGAAUGUAUCGAACAUCUCUUCCUAGGCUGCGUUUUCACAAGGGAGCUGUGGUUCAAGUUACUGGCACCGGCUGGUCUCCAAGAACUCAUUCCCUUGUCCGAGGAGCGGAUCGGUGCUUGGUGGAUGCAGCAAAGGUGUCAGCUUCAUUAUCAAUCCAGGCCGGUCUUCGAUUGUCUUCUGCUGUUGCUCUAUUGGUGCGUCUGGAAGGAGAGGAACAUGCGCACUUUCGACAACAAGUUGUCAUCAGUUCCAGAGGUUACCCGAGCGGCUGCUGUUGAGGCCGAUGAGUGGGUUCAGGCGGGGUUCUCCAGCAUCUCGGUGCUUGCUAGCUCCUGGUCGCAAAUUUUGCCUAUUUUGUAAUAAGCCCAGCUUUGUUCCAGUAGCUAGGUCUGUUUCUUUUUCUGGCUACUGCCAAUGGUCUCUCGCCACUGGCCGAGCCUCGUUGUAGUUUUUGAACUUUCCACUACCUCUUAAUGAAACACGAGCCGGUUGGCCUCGUUCACGAAAAAAAGAGUCAUCCUUCAAGCAACCAUUGGAGGCCCUGCUCCCUUUCUCCGUGUUUCGCAGCUUGCUGACCGGACUUUCAAGUUCGUUGUUGCCUCGAAGGACAUUGGAUUUUACAUCGUCAACCUGCGUUCCUUUUCCUGUGAACAAUACUUCCUCUCCUUCCACCUUUGGGGCAAUGGCGGCCCUAACUGGAAAAGGGAGUUUGCUUUAUUCUUGCAAGAAGAAGACAGGUCUUGGUGCUCUUCUUCUAAACGGCGCCUUCAUCAAAGGCCUUCUCACCUUGGCUCUGCCCUGUUUCAACCUGGCAGGUCCUAUGCAGCUUUCGUUCAUUCUUCUGACGCUGCCCGACCUGCUGCCAGGUGACAUUAUUUUGAUCUUAAUUCACUGCCUUCGGUAGCUGCCAAGGCCCAGGCUCCGCUCACGGGCACCAACACGAUCCCCCUUCCUGCCAAGCGUUCGGUCUUUCGUCGUCUUCAACCUCCGAUCGCUGAUCCGGCCUCUGGCGCCGUGCUUCAAUGCACUAUCAAUGGUGUUCCGACCACCGGAUCUCCUUCUGAUCGCCUUGGGGACAGGCGCUUGCUUCCGUCCUGCUCCCGGUGUCGCCGUCAACAACGCCAACUUCUUCGCCAACGUCAUCAAUAGUGCCACCUCUUUCAACGAGAUGCUUUGGAAGGCCAUCGGCCAGGUAUGUCGUAUCGAUCAGUUGUCUGGUUGUUGUUCCGAACUUCAGAGUUCAGAUCUACCUGGUUUAUUCCUAGCUAAUCGACAUCUCAUUCGUUCUCGUCAAUGGCAACGCAUCCAUGAAUGCAUGCAUGCAGGUGGUGUUGACGGAGGCCCACGCCAUGUACAACCUCGGCAAGGGCGGGCUGACGUACUAGUGCCCCAACAUCAACGUGGUGCAUGACCAGUGGUGGGGUCGCGCGCUGGAGACCCCCGGCGAGGACCCCUACGUGGUGGGCCGGUACACCGUCAACUUCAUGCGUGGCAUGCAGGACGUGCCGGGCCACGACGGCGGCGACCCGUUCUUGCGCCCCAUCAAGACGUCCACAUGCUGCAAGCACUAGGCGGCGUAUGACCUGGACAACUGGCGCAGCCACACGCGGUUCGACUACGACGCCCGCGUGAUGGAGCGUGACAUGGCGGAGACCUUCCUCUGCCCCUUCGAGAUGUGCGUCUGGGAGGGCGACGCCAGCAGCGUCAUGUGCUCCUUCAACCUCGUCAAUGGGGUCCCUGCCUGCACCGAUGCGCGCCUCCUGUCGCAGACCGUCCGCGGUGACUGGGGACUCUACGGCUACAUCGUCUCCGACUGCGACGCCGUGUAGGUCCUCACCGAGGACGUCAGGUGGCUCAACCUCACCGGCGCCGAGGCCAGUGCCGCCGCCAUCAGGGCCGGCCUUGACCUCGACUGCGACCAGAGCUGGACGGUGUGCGAGGACGACGGCAAGAUGAUGGGCGACUUCCUCAGCAACUUCAUCCUGGCCGCUGUCGCGCAGGGCAAGAUCCGCGAUGUUGGUCCAAAUCAGAUCACAAUCACGUGGAUAUGAGCGUGGCUUGUAAGGAUCGACGGCUCGUCGUCCUUUGAUCGCUCAACGCCGGCAAUGUCCGGCGGCGCGGUGACCGCGCGCUAGGGCUCGUGAACAAAACAGGAAAGCGAGACUCGGAAGAUUUGUUUAGCUGCCAAACCGUAGCCUUGCCAGAUGCAACUUCUUAUCUAUUUAUAUGGCUCGAUCAAGAUCCCCGCCACUGAUUUGUUGCUGCGAGAUACCCCCUUAUUUUUGGAACGUCCUCGCGACAAGCCCGGCAAACAAUCGGUGGCGGGAUGAGCCUCCUGGUGCAGUCACGACGUAGGGUGUGCAAAUCUCCACCGCUGCCCGCGAUUCUACGCUUACAUAAACAUGUUCAUGCACCUAAGCAACAAACUAAUGCAGCUAACAUGGAUACAUAGUCCUGACACGAUUACAAGAGCUCCUGCUCCAACAUGGCUAACCUAUGCAACUAAUCCAAAACAAGAAGAAUGCAAGAACACAGAGAUGGUGACAGCAACUGCCCGGAGAACACCAGGGAGACAGUGCCCUUUUUCACUCUCGAUAAUGAGUACACACUGAUACAAAAGUGUUCUCAGGCGCUAACCACACCUUUUCAUGCCCACUACAUAACCCUGUAGCUAAUGACUCUCUGUUUCACACAGAAACUGACACACACACACGAUACAAGUUGCUACUCUGCAACUAACUCAACACACACACACACACACUCUGGGCACGGUCACCACGACAACUGCUGCUCCACUCGUGCGCUCUCCAAAUUCAAACUCAUCCAGCCUCAGCUUCCCGCGUCAGCUUGACUCCAGCUUCAUCAGCUUUAGGAUUACACCAACAAUCUCUCCCCUAAUCCUGUAGCACACUGAGGUCACAAACUCCCAGUAGGUGUCUCAUGACAGCAAGCUUGCCAACAGGUAGAGGCUUCGUCAGAGCAUCUGUUUUCUGUCCCUCAGUGCAAACUCUCUUCACUGCUAUCUGCCCUCUCUCCACACACUCCCGGAUAAAGUGAUAUUUGAUAUCUAUAUGCUUGCUUCUACCAUGAAAGACUGGAUUCUUCAUCAAGGCUAUUGCAGAGUUAUUAUCAAUAAAUAAUGUCACUUUCUUUGGCUCCCUAGGAGUGAUUUCAGACAUCAAACUUCUCAACCACAGUGCCUGCACUACUGCAAGUGCUGCUGCCAUAAAUUCUGCCUCACAUGAGGACAAUGCAACAGUCUUUUGUUUCUGUGAGCACCAAGUGAUCAGGCUUUCCCCAAGGUAGAACGCCAUUCCAGCAGUACUCCUUCUCCCCACCAGAUCACCACCCACAUCACUGUCAGUAUAACCUACUAACAUUUCUUCAGAUCCUCCUUGAGUGUACACCAAACCAAAGUCAACUGUACCCUUCAAGUACCUGAGAAUCUACUUGACUGCAUUCAUGUGUAGCACUGUGGGUUUCUCCAUAAAUCUGCUGGCAAUCCCCACUGAAUAUGCCAGAUCAGGUCUUGUGUGCAACAAGUACCUUAAACUCCCAAUCACCUUUUUGUAUUGUGUGGCAUCCACUGGUUGUCCACCUUUAUCAAUAUGCAGCCUUGCCCCUGGAUCCAUAGGGAACUUAGUUGCAUUGCACUGCCCCAUGCCAAACUGAUCAAGUAUCUUCUUUGCAUAACAAGUUUGCUUAACAGUAGUAAAAUCUUUGUACUGGCUCACCUCUAUUCCCAGAUAAUAAGACAGUAGACCGAGAUCAGACAUUUCAAACUCACUUGUUAUUUGCUUCUUGAAUUCAUUGAUCCCUGCUGGGUCAGCUCCAGUAACAACCAGAUCAUCGACAUAAACUCCAAGGAUGAUUGCAUUCUUCCCCUCACCUCUGAUGUAAACAGCUUGCUCACUUGCACAUCUUCUGAACUUGAGCUUUUUCAGGCUUUUAUCCAGCCUAACAUUCCAUGCUCUGGGGGCCUGUCUCAAGCCAUACAAGGCUUUGCUCAGCUUUAGUACAUACUAUUCUCUCCCCUUCUCCACAUACCCUUCAGGUUGUGACACAUAAACUUCAUCCUCAAGCUCACCAUGCAAAAAUGCUGAUUUAACAUCAAGAUGAUGCACUUGCCAACCUCUGUUGGCAGCCAAUGCUAGGAUAAGCCUCACUGUGUCCAAUCUUGCAACUGGGGCAAAAACUUCAUCAAAGUCAACUCCCUUUUUCUGAACAUACCCCUUUGCAACUAGCCUGGCCUUGUGUUUCACUACUUCACAAUCUGAAUUUUUCUUCAGUUUAUAAACCCAUUUCAAUCCUAUGGGCUUGUGACCAACUGGUAGCUUGCACAAGUUCCAGGUUUUAUUUUUCUCAAUGGACUGAAUUUCUUUAUCCAUAGCAUCCACCCAUUCUGCAUAACCUGCAGCUUCAGCAUAAUUUGUUGGUUCUUCCAUUUCAACCAACAAUGCUUCUCCAUCUGAAUCAUACAUCAAUUCUAUUUCUGAAGUAUUUUGAUAGAUAUCUGAUAAGUUUCUAUACCUCUCUUCUUGCUCUUCAGAACUCUCUCCGAUUGAUGCACAGAUGUCAGUCAAUGAGCCCUCCUGCUCAAACUGUGGCUGCACCACUGGUGUUGAAGGACUUCCUGAAAACAGGCUUGUUGUUGGAUUUCUGUCAUUACUGGCAGCUGAGUUCUGCAAACUGUUUCCAUUUGCAGACUGAUUCCCAGGUGACUGUGACUCUUCUGGCAUAUCACCUUCACUAUUGAGAGUCCCAUGUGACUGAUCCUCUCCACCUCCUGCAUCUGCAUUUGGUUCCUGAUCAUUCACAAUUACUCCACCCUCAACAAUAUCACGGCCUUCAUUGUCAUCAUCCAACACCUAAAAUUCCCACUCUUCUUCACCCUCAUCUUGUGCAGUCCACUUCCACUUGAUAUUUUCUUCAAAAAAUACAUCCCUGCUCACAACAAUCCUGUUGUGGUGGGGAUCAAAUAAUUUGUGAGCCUUGCACCCUUCAUCUGUUUCCAGGUACAUCAUUUUGUGGCUCCUGUCCUCUAGUUUCUUUAGGUGAGGCCCUGCUGUCCUCACAUGAGCUGUGCAUCCAAACACCCUUAGGUGUCCAAGAUGUGGUUUUCUUUUGUUCCAUGCUUCAUAAGGGGUGGAAUCUCCCAUUCUCUUUGUCGGCAGACGAUUCAGUAAAUAAACUGAAUGUCUGACAGCCUCUCCCCAAAGCUUAGCAGGAACUCCCAUGCUUUUCAUCAAGGACCUAGUCAUCUCCAUUACUGUCCUAUUUCUCCUCUCUACAACCCCGUUCUGCUGUGGCAAAUAUGGAGCAGUAAAAUGUCUCUUGAUGCCUGCACUCUCACACACCUCUCUGAAUGCACCUGACAGAAACUCUCCUCCCCUAUCAGACCUGACACACUUGAUCUUGAGCCCUAUUUGAUUCUCGGAUUCAGACUUGAAUUUUACAAACAUCUCACAAGCUUGAUCCUUUGAUUUCAAAACAUACACAACCAUCCAACACGUGCAGUCAUCAACUACUAACAUAAAGUACUUAUUACCUGCUGCUGUGGAUGGAGUGAUGGGGCCACACAGGUCAAUGUGCAAUAGUUCCAAAGGUUGUGUUGCCCUCCACUGAACUAUCCGAGGAAAUGGCACACGAGCGCUUCCCUGCUAGACACGCAUGACACAACUCCUCUGGGUGAAUAAUCUCUGGCACACCGCCCACCAUGGAUUUGCUCACCAUCUGCUUGAUUGAUCUAAAGUUGACAUGUCCUAGCCGCCCAUGCCAAAGCCAAGCCUCCUCACUGACACUUGUCAACAGACACACUGGUGUUGUUGGAUUCAGAUCAAUUUUGUACAGACGAUUCUGAGAUCGCUUCACCUUCAUGACCAAGGUUGAUGUGGUCUUGUCAUGCACCUCUAGAACAUCGUCAUCCAGCUCGAUCUGAUGUCCUGUCUCCGUCAAUUGACCCAAGCUAACAAGGUUGCUCCGGAGUCUUGGGAUAUAAUAGACAUCCGGGAGCGCCCACUGAUCGCCUGUUCUGCACCUGAACAAGAUCGUUCCUUUCCCUCUGAUCUCCACAGAUGAGCCGUCCCCAAAUCUCACCUUCCCGGUGACACCUUCAUCCAGCUCAGUGAACUUUUGCAAAUCCCCCGUCAUAUGAUUACUAGCACCAUUAUCAAGAUACCAGUAGUUACCAGUCUGCACUCCACCCCCGGUCUGAUGGAGUUCAGGAAAGACUCUAGCUUCUGUCAGAUCGAUCGCUCGCCGCUUUCCAUCUGACUUCACCUCCUCUGAGACGGUGAGCAUGAGCGCUUGAGGUUGCCCAACACCCUCUGUCUUCGCCCGAGGUGCCUCCUCUCCCUUCUGCUCCGGCAACGGGCACCGAUUAGCAUAGUGCCCGUAAUUUCUACAGCGGAAACACUAAAUGUGGCUUUUCUCCUUGCCACGACCAGCGCCUUCCCUGCCUCCUGACGCAUCUCCGCGUUCGCCACCACCACGGCCUCUCCCCCUUCCACGGCCUCCUCCAUCCUACGUCUUUCCUCUUCUCGAAGAAUCUCCAGCGCCGGACUUCUUGUACCGUGCUUCCCAUUCUGCCUGCGUGAGCAGCAGCUGAUUGCCUUCAACCUUCGGACUCACUGCUCCCUGCUGUGUCCGCUCCUCAAAAGCUUUCAGCCGCCCCACAGCUUCAUCAAACGCCAGUAGUUUGAGGUCGAAGAACUGUUCGAUCCCGGCCACCACGUUGAGGUAACGCUUAGGCACGGUGUCGAACAUCUUCUUCACCAUCGCCGUGUCCUCCAUCGAUCCACCAAGGUUGCUGUAUCUUACUGACAUCGCCGUCAGUCUCCCAGCGAAUUGAUCGAUAGUCUCCUCCUCCUUCAUCUUCAUGGCGUCGAAUUCGGCCUUUAGUGUUUGCAGACGAGCAUCUUUGACUCUUUCUGCGCCCACAAACCGCGCCUUCAAGGAAUCCCAUACUUCUUUCCCUGUCUUCUUCUUCGCGACUUGCAUCAACAGGUCAUCGGACAAACACUGGAACAGGUUUGCCCGCACCUUCCUGUCUUUGCCAGUCGCCUUCUCCGUCAUCGCACCCACCAAAUUCCCCUCUGGCGGUUCCACCACCUCCCACCACUCCUGCUCCUCCAUGAUUGCUUGCACCCUGAUGCUCCAGCUGAUAUAAUUCGACGCCGUCAGCAUCGGGAACAGCUGGUGAUGACGGUUGCCGAUUCCCCGACUCCCAUAACCAUCCUCCGGCACUAUGGAUCUGCUUGUGGUGUUGCAACCGUGUGAAGGACAGCUUUGAUACCAGAUGUUGGUCCAAAUCAGAUCACAAUCACACGGAUAUGAGCGUGGCUAACCAAUGCAACUGAUCCAAAACAAGAAGAAUGCAAGAACACAGAAAUGGCGACAGCAACUGCCCGGAGAACGCCCGGGAGACAGUGCCCUUUUUCACUCUCGUAACAACGAGUACACACUAAUACAAAAGUGUUCUCAGGCGCUAACCACACCAUUUCACGCCCACUACAUAACCCUGUAGCUAAUGACUCUCUGCUUCACACAGAAACUGACACACGCACACAAUACAAGUUGUUACUCUGCAACUGACUCAAAACGCACACACUCUGGGCGCGGUCACCACGGCAACCGCUGCUCCACUCGUGCGCUCUCCAAAUUCAAACUCGUCCAGCCUCAGCUUCCCGCGUCAGCUUGACUCCAGCUUCAUCAGCUUCAGGAUUACACCAACACGCGAGUCCGACAUCGACAACGCGCUCAGGAACCAGUUCAUGACGUUCAUGCGGGUCGGCUACUUCGACGACGACAUCCCGCUGUACGCGUCGCUCAACGAGACGGACAUCUGCACCGCCGAGCACCAGAGCCUCGCCCUCGACGGCGCAAGGCAGGGCAUCGUGCUCCUCAAGAACCACGACAACCUGCUGCCGUUGGAUGCCAACAAGAUCCAUGCCGUCGCCAUGCACGGCCCACACGUCAUGGCGCCGGAAAGAGUCAUAUGGAUGCAGGCUACACAGGCAAGUAGUAGCUUGAUCGAGUAGCCAAUUAAUAGCCAUUCCAUGCAUGCAUCCACUAGUAGCAAAAGCACUUGAUAGAUGUUGCAGAGAUGAAAAAUGUUACUCCAGUUGCUGACGCCCUAGAACGAACUCCAUGCAUAUGUGCAGGGCCACCGUGCCGGUACGUGACGCCACGCGAGGGCAUCAGCAAGCACGUCAAGAUCUCCCACCAAGCCAAGACGACCAUCUACGUCGGCGGCAUCAACCUGCACAUCGAGAUGCCUUGAACCGAGAUCUUGGGGUGACAACGCGUAGUGCAGAAGCCACGUGUGGUGUGUUUUCCCCUUCCUCUCCUAGCUGACUCCUCUACUUCCCUCCACUAGUAGAAAGAGGCUCAUAGCUGGCACCCCCUUUUUAUACCGCAUGUGGUUCCAGUUACGACGCGCCUGUGGUAUAAAUCGGGCGGUGUCAGAGAUUUUCGGCCGCCUGUGGAAACGUUUAUCACAGGCGGUUGACUUAAGCAACCGCCUGUGUUAUCUCUGUAUAAAUACCCCUUCUUCCUCCCCGAUCAGAACACAGUAUCUCGCACCCACCUUUCAUUGGGGGCGAUUUUGGAGUUCCAGAUUUCUCAAAAUACAAGGGGGGAGGUUUUGAUCUUCAUUUCUAGGAAGGAGGUUGCUAAAAGAGGUUAAUUUAUGUCCCUAUUGCCUCAAUUUGCUCAUUCUAGCUCAAUUUGAGCCACUUUUUGGAUCUAGGGUUUCACCAUGAGUGAGAGAGAAGAAUAGCUAGCUUUUUGUCCUGAUUUGUUGAUAUGGUUAGAUGGGGUUGUUUAAUAUGGUUGGAUAAUGUCUCUCAACAUGUUUGCUUCUCAAUUUAGCUAGUUUUUACAAGAUUAAACCAAUGGUGUGUUCUUGUAUAUUUAUGUAGAGAGAUAAUUGUUGAUUUUUUUUAAUUAUAUAAUAGUUAGGUUUUUAUUGUCACCUUCCACAUCAUCUAUCUAUUUAUAAUGAAUGUUGUAUUUGUAUAGUUAUGCUAUACUUAAGUUUUCUAAUUUAUGUCUCUCUCUCUUUAUAAAUUUUUCAAUUUAUUUAUCAACAUGUAUGUAUGUUUUAUGAGUGAGAGAGAAGAAUAGCUAGCUUCUUGUCUUUAUUUGUUGAUAUGGUUAGAUGGGGUUGCUUAAUAUGGUUGGAUAAUGCCUCUCAACAUGUUUGCUUCUCAAUUUAGCUAGUUUUUACAAGAUUAAACCAAUGGUGUGUUCUUUGUAUAUUUAUGUAGAGAGAUAAUUGUGGAUUUUUUUUAAUUACAUGGUAGUUAGGUUUUUUAUUAUCACCUUCCACAUCAUCUAUCUAUUUAUAAUGAAUGAUGUAUUUAUAUAGUUAUGCUAUACUUAGAUUAUUUUUUAAUUAUGUAACUUAGGUUUUUUCCUUUAAUCUCAUGCUUAACCAUAAACCCUAGCUAAUAAACCCUAGAUAAAUCCUUUGUAAACCCUUAGAUCAUAUGAAUGGUGUUUUACAGGUAGUGAUGGAGAGGUCAUUUUGGAUGUAUAAUUUAUCAAGACUAGAUCCAUCAUACAUAACUGAGGUCCAGAGGUUUAUUGAUGCUGCUCAAAACCAUGCUUCAAGAACAAGAAAGACGCACAUACAUUGUCCAUGCAUGGAUUGUAGAAAUCUUGUUGUACUGAUGACAUUCAACAAAUCCUUACUCAUCUGGUCCGUCGAGGAUUUAUGAAAGAUUACUUGAUUUGGACAAAGCAUGGAGAGGGUAGCUCUGCGCCUUAUACAACUGGAAUUGUUGACGGGUUUGAGUUCGUACACGAGACACAACAACCUAAUACCGAUGGUCUAGCCACUGAAUAUGUUGUGCCAAAUGUUCCUGAUUAUGGUUUUAUUGGAGGAAAUGAAGAUGGCACCGAAACUAACAUGGCUGCGGAAGAUGCAGAAUUUCUAGAGGCAAUGUUGUGUCAUCAUGCGGAAGAUCCAUCAGUGUUCUUCAUGAAAGGUAUGGAGGCCGUAAUGAAGGCAGCAGAAGAGCCUGUGUAUGAUGAGUCCAAGGGUUGCACCAAAGAGUUCACGACGCUGCGGUCUGUGCUAAAAUUGUUGAUGUGCAAAGCUAGAUAUGGUCUUUCUGAUGCUGACUUUGAUGCGUUCUUAAGCAUUAUCGCAGACAUGCUUCCUAAGGAUAACAAAGUGCCUACUAACACAUAUUAUGCAAAGAAGCUAAUCAGCCCACUCACAAUGGGUGUUGAGAAGAUCCACGCUUGUAGAAAUCAUUGUAUCCUAUAUCGAGGCGAUGAUUAUAGAGACUUGGACAGCUGUCCCAAGUGUGGUGCAAGUAGGUACAAGACAAAUAAAGACUACAUAGAGGAAGAGUGUGUUGCCUCUGUGCCUAAGGGCAAAAAACGAAAGAAGGCCCAACAAAAGACCCAGAAGAGUAGUUCAAAACCCACCGGCAAAGAAAAGGAAGAAGUAGACUAUUAUGCGCAGAAAAAGAUUCCUGCUUUGGUGAUGUGGUACCUUCCUGUGAUCGAUCGAUUGAGGUGCUUGUUUGCUGACCCAGAGGAUGCCCAACUUAUGAGCUGGCAUGCUUCUGAUGAGCACAAUGACGAUGGGAAGCUUCGGCACCCAGCCGAUGGCCAGCAGUGGAAAGAUUUCAAUGAAAACCACAAGGACUUUGCUAAUGAACCAAGGAAUGUUAGAUUCACACUGAGUACUGACGGAAUGAAUCCAUUUGCUGAGAGGAGCAGCAAGCACAGCACAUGGCCAAUGAUCCUCACCAUCUACAACCUCCCUCCAUGGUUGAUGCAGAAGCGAAAGUACCUUUUACUGACCAUCCUUAUCUCUGGACCUACACAACCUGGAGUUGAUAUGGAUGUUUUCUUGGAGCCCUUAAUGCAAGACAUGAAGAUACUAUGGGAAACAGGUGUUCAAAUAUUCGACGAGUACCGCAAAGAAUCAUUCACACUGAGAGCAAUUAUCUUUGUUACGAUCGAUAACUACCCAGCUCUCUUUACAUUAUCAGGGCAGUUCAAGGGAAAGUUAGGUUGUGUGGUAUGCAUAGAUGACACCACUUACAUGUCCCUAACUGCAUCUAAGAAGAUAGUGUACAUGAGGCACAGACGCUUCUUAUCAAAAGGACACAGGUACCGGCUGAAAAAGAUGGAUAAGUACUUUGACAAUAAUAGUGAACUACAGACUACUGCUCCAUCAGGUAACAGUAAAGGCCAAAGAGUUUUCAGCAUAGUCAGCAAACUCAAAUUUGUUUUUGGGAAGAAGACAAAAGAUGGAAAACCAAGAAAGAAUGUCAAGCCAGCUCCAGGGGCUACAUUCAAGAAGAAGUCAAUUUUCUUCGAGUAUUUGGAAUACUGGCCAGAGUUAGAUGUCCGCCACGCGAUCGAUGGUAUGCACGUUCAGAAGAACGUGUUUGAAAGCGUAAUUGGCACCUUGUUGGACAUGAAGGGCAAGACAAAGGAAGGAUUAAAUUCACGCUUGGACAUGGUACAGUUAGGCAUAAAAAAAGAACUUCACCCUGUUAGGCUAGAAAAUGGGAAGUACCACCUCUCGGCAACAAGCUACAACCUCAACAAUGAAGAGAAACAUGAGAUGUGUGUGUGGUUGAAGAAAUUGAAAGUCCCAUCUGGAUUCUGCUCUAGCAUACGUAGUAUUGUGUCAAUGAAAGACCUUACACUCACCAACUACAACUCACAUGAUUGUCAUGUCAUAUUGACUACUUUUCUCCCUAUUGCCAUUAGGGCUAUAAACCCAGUGUAGAUAAAGGUUGCAGUUACACGGUUGUGCUACUUCUUCAACAGGAUCUCACAGAAGGUGAUUGAACGUGAUGAGUUGGCGUCUCUUAAGGAAUUCGCAGUGGAGAUAGUUUCACAGUUUGAGAUGUGUUCCCCCCAGCAUUCUUUGAUGUGAUGGUUCACCUUGUAGUGCACUUGGUUUCACAAAUAGAGGCAUUGGGUUCCAUGUAUUUGCAUGAGAUGUGGACGUAUGAACGCUUCAUGUCAAUACUAAAUGGCUAUGUAUCAACUUGUGCUCGUCCAGAGGCGUCUAUGGUAGAGGGGUACUUAACCGAAGAGGCCAUUGAGUCCGAAGGUCCAUUCUGCAAUAGGGUACUAAAAGACCAGGUUGCAAUAGGUUUGCCUCCGUUACGACACGAGGGUAGGCUGAAUGGAAGAGGUAGGAUGGGAAAGAAAUCACACGUCCCAAAAGAUUACAAUUCAGUCCUCGAAGCACAUCACAGCGUCCAGCAUCAGCUCUCGAUAAUGGAGCCUUUGAUCAAUCUAGACAUUGAAGAGCUUCAAAAAACAUAAUCAUGGGCACACAGAUGAAUGGAUAAUGAAGGAACAUAAGAAUCAGUUCACCUCAUGGCUAAGGGAGCAGGACAUUCCAGAUGGGGAAACACUCGAGGAUCGCACCAUCAAGGUCUUGGCAUCUGGGCCAUCACGCCAUGUCACGACUUGGCAAACCUAUGACAUUAGUGGCUUCAUGUUCUGUACCAAGUCCAAAGACCAAAAGAGCAUGGCACAAAAUAGUGGUGUUCAAUGCGACGCCUUAGACUCUGAAACUGGUGAGGAAACAACUUACUUUGGCUUCGUUGAGGACAUAUGGGAACUAGACUAUGGUACAUUUCAGAUCCCUGUAUUUCGGUAUCAAUGGGUUGAAGACAAACAUGUCACAGUGGACAACUAUGGGAUUAGAGUUCUAGAUCUAAGCAAGGUAGGCUACAAAGAUGAUCCAUGGAUAAUGGCUAACCGUGCUGCACAGGUCUUCUAUGCUGAGCAGGUCCUCUCUCCUAAUGAUAAGAAGAAAAUUACGGACCAUCCAAAGCACAUAGUUUUCUCUGGAAAGCAACAAGCCAUCGGAGUUGAUGGUGUAUCUGACUUGGAUGAAUUUAACCAGUUCAGUGACAUAUCUCUCUUUGUAGACGACCAUCCAGUAAAGAUAAGGAAUGUUGAGUGAAGCAUUCCACAGAGCUCGUUGCCCUGGGUGCGUCACGAUGGACAAGGAAGAACAGUAGCUGCCUAGAUUUUAUUUGUCAUUUGCCAUGUAAUCUAUUUAUGAUAAAAUGUGUACCUUAUGCUAUGUGCCCUUUUCUAUUUCUACAUGUAAGGGUUACUAGUGCCAUUGAUGUCGUAUUGGUCUCAAACUUUUACUAAGGGUUACUAGUGCCAUUUAUGUUCAAUCGACCAAGUUUGGGAUUUUUUUGAUGUGGUUUGUUACUUUAUCCGGUUUAAUUGAAUUUCCGUGUGACGUCACCCACUAAUUAGCGCUUGAACUAAGUCUACCCCUGAAAUGACUCCAAAUGGUGCCAAACUUCUCCACAGGGUCUUAUAUACCAUAGGAAAUAAAACUUCCUUGUGGUUGGUGGAAAAACCUAGUGGGAUCUAGGUGUAGUCCACCAUUUUUUAUCUUAUUUAGCACAAAGAAAAAUAUAAUAAUAGCUUGCAUGACCAGAAAAUCCUAAGAUCUUGUGUGGGGUUAUCAUUUGAGUGUAGAAGCUUGCCAAAAAAAUUUCAAGACAUUUGGAGAUAGGCAUAACAUACAUGCUUCACAAACCUAUAAGAGUCAUUCCACCGAACUAUGCUCAUACAUAUGGGUUGCUCACAUUUAUAUUGUCAACGAUAAAUUGCACAAAGGAAUAUAUUUUUCAUAGCAUUUACACACUACAAUAAAGCUAACAAAAUUGGAUUUAUAUAUUUUUCUGGUACUCCUAGAAUUAUUUAUGUAUUAAACAAGAUAUGAGGCACAUAUUCAAUUUAAAUCAUUUUAAAUAAAGCUGCAUACAAAAGAACCUCAAACAUGAAAUUUCAUAUUUUUAACAUGUGUCUCUAGUCAAGAGGAACACAACAAAAUUUUUUCACUAAUUUAGGACAAAUAUUUUUGAAAAUAUGAUUUUUUGAAUCAUUUAAAUAAUUUCUAAAAAUAUAUAUAAGGAAAACUUUAAAUAAACUGAAAAUCUAUUUGUACAGGCGGUUGGCUAAGCAAACCGCCUGUACAAAUGCAUUAGUACAGGCGGUUGGCUUAGUCAACCGCCUGUGGAAACCAUUUCUACAGGCAGUUGACUAAGCCAACCGUCUGUACUAAUGCCCGCCUAUAUAACCCUAGGUCUUCUCCGCUCGAAAAUUCUCUAAGUCUGGCGCCCUGUUCAUUCAAACUAAACCGACACGCUGCCGAAAUUUUCCAUCGCCAUCGCCGCCGUUGUUGCCGACCUUGACGUCGUCGCGCGGUGACCGUCUCCUCCGCCCUCGACGCCGACGCCGCCCCGCGGUGAGAGCCUCUCCUGCUCGCGCUCUCUCUCUCUCUCCCCCUGCGCAUCCUCGACGUGGCGGCGGUGGUGGGGGGGGCGCGAUGGUGGCGCUGCCCGGACGGGAAAGGGGGGCGGCCGCAGUGGUGGUGGUGGAAGGGGAAGGGAUGGUCGCGGUGGCGAUGGUGGAAGAGGAUGGGGCUAGUGCGGGGUGUGCGGUGGUGGAAAGGGCGGUGCGGUGGCGGCGGCGGCUGGAGGUAGGAGAUGACCCCGACAGGUGGGGCCCACCUGCCAGAGAGAGAGAAGGGAGAGGGAGUGACGGCCUACUGGGCCUGUUGGGCUGGGAUUUUUUUUUCUUUAACAAUUUUUUAUGAAAAAAUUGAAUAAAACCGUAAAAAACAGCAGAAAAUUAUAAAAAUCAGAAAAAAUAAAAAUAAAAUCAGAGAAUAUUAUUAUGUCUUUUACAUGUGAUUGUAUUCAUAGUUAUUAUUUUAUAAAUACUUGUUAUUAUUUCCCGUUGCAUAUGUAUUAGUGUGUAUAUGUAAAUUUAAUUUUAUCUUUUUGUUAUAAUCUCUUUGUAAAUCAUUUAAUAUAUGUGUGUAUGAUAUAUUAGUGUAUAUGUUAGUGUAUGAUAUAUUAUGUAUAUAUUAGUGUAUGAUAUAUUAGUAUAUAUAUUAGUGUAUGUAAAUUUAAUCUGUUUAUAUAUGUAGUAGUGUAUAUGUAAAUCAUUUAAUAUAUUAGUGUAUGAUAUAUUAUGUAUAUAUUAGUGUAUGAUAUAUUAGUGUAUGUAAAUUUAAUCUGUUUAUAUAUGUAGUAGUGUAUAUGUAAAUCAUUUAAUAUAUUAGUGUAUGAUAUAUUAUGUAUAUAUUAGCGUAUGAUAUAUUAGUGUAUAUAUUAGUGUAUGUAAAUCAUUUAAUUUUAUGCAUAAAUUACAUAGAUUUCUGCAAUGAGUUCUCCGCAUAAGGACGAAGCACUGCAGUCCCAACCCACGGAGCAAGUAGAAGGGUCAACUGACCCUAUGGAACAAGCUCGUGAGGUCAUGAAACAAGUAGAAACGGGCGAAGCAUCAGGUUCGUCCUAUGAACAAGAAGCUAGCGACGACAUGGAGCCUCUAGAAGUGAGGAAGACUCAUCGUGAAUUGGCACGUGACCCCGAUUACAAUCCAGAAGCCGAUGAGGUAAAUUAGAGACAUUCACGAUUUUAUGUAAUUAAAUGAUUUCUAUUCAUAGUUCCUACAUAUAAACACGCCCAUGAUUCACAUGUCUAUACUGAGGAGGCAAUGUCUCAGUUUAGAGAGAUGAUGUCUCAGGAGGAAGUGGCACACGAAGACGCACCGGAACCGACGACAGCAUCGACGAGCCCUGAGAGGCCAUGUCAGUAUAGGAAAAGGAAGCGACAAGGUUCGAAACGAGGCGAGAGAGGGUUGAACCAAUUUCCAGAUGACACAUAUGCCAUCACAGAUGUGAGCCCUACCGGACAGCCCCUAGCUCCAGAGGAGGCCCUACCCAAAUAUAGGAACGCAAUUGGUUUCUGCGUGAGGGACUUUCUUGAUAUCACAGUUAAGAACUGGGCCGGUGUGUCGAAUAAUCACAAGAUCAAAAUUUGGGAUAAGAUUAAGACCAGGUUCCAGUUUCCUAGGAAUGUGCCAGAAGAUUUACUGAAGGCAUAUACAAUGAAGCAAUAUGCGGUUAGUUUCCGAAAUUGGAGGUCGGAGAUGAAUGUCAAGUAUGCAAAGACAGGGAUGGAUCCGACAUCCAAAUACAAUAUUACUAAAGGGUAGUGGGCUGUUUUUCUAGAGCAGAGGAAUGACUCUAACUUCUUAGCUCGGAGCGAAGCCAACUCCCAGCUCGCAAAGAGGAACAAGUACCACCACCAUCUAGGCACAGGUGGUUACCAGCACCAAGUUCCUAAAUGGAGGCAAGAAGAGGCUGCGAAGCAGGCAGUAGGGUUGCCAGUGUUGUCCGAGCAAGUCGGUGGAAGGUCCGCGAAUUGGAUCCGUGCUCGGAAACCAAAGGAAACCGAGACGGAUGUGUCCUUUGAAGACCCAAUGCUUGAUGAAGCAAUGAAGAGCAUCUUUGCUGUGGCAGGCAUGCAGCAGGAAGGCAAGUUUACGCCACGAAGGGAGAGGGACAUCCUUAGUGUUGGCCUCGGUAACCCCGAGCAUCCUGGCCGUGUUCGAGGCAUCUCAUCCAAAGAAGGAUGGAAGGAUGGAUUCGGCCCUCAAUGGGCAAAUGAGUAUAAGAAACGUGAUCGGUACAAGGAACAAAUGGCAAAUUAUUUUCAGGAAGAGGCUAAGAAAGACUUCCAAGAGAUGAUGGGGAAGUUGCUAGAAAAUCCUCCUCCUGAGUUGAUGCAGAAACAAGUGAGUGCCAUGUCAAAUGCAGCUACCCAAAUGAGCACUCAAGCUCCCCAAAUGCAGCUAGUCCUAGUGGUGUCGCAACCGUUGGUGGCAUCAAGUGAAACAAUCAUUCCAAGCAGUGUCGCAUCUACGGCAAAUAAGGAUCACUAUCCAGUUGACGACAUUGUUAGUUCUACACCUUGCUCCCUUGUCAUAAGAUAUGGGAUUAACAAUCAUCGUACAAGGGAAGUAGCCACGGGCAAAGCGAUCCCAGGAGGACCUAAAUACCAUGGUGCUGACAUCCCUAAAGACUACUGCAGAGUAGAGGUAUCAACCGUGGUCCAAGGAUAUGAGGACGAGAUUCUAGACAUCCCUGGUCCCGAGAACAUUGUGAAACUGGGACAGGUGAUAAACAAUUUCAACCUAUGGCCUCGGAGGGACGUGCAACUAAGGGAGCCGCCACCACCCUCUCAAGAGAUGCCACUAACCCAAAAGUCAUCAGCUCAUGUCGAUCCUCUUCCUAACCCACCGCCUUCACCUCCCCAGUCUCUUCCUGACCCACCAGAAUCACCUCUCCAUGUUUUCCCUAUCCAUCAACCAUCUCCUCUCCAUGAUCUUUCUACCCCACAGUCAACACAAUCUCCACCACCAUUCAAUUCCACCCCUUCCCCACAACUCAAAGAUCGAGAACCAAUAAGUGAGCCACCAAAGGUGCCAAAGAAGAAAGUAUUUCCGAUACCUAAGUUGAUUUCACCAUUCGAGCCGAAGAAAAAAUCAGCUGGGCAAGUGAGAUUUUUGUCAGGCAUUGCUUCGAAACACACAAUACAAGAGCAUGAGAUUUCUGAGCUAGCAAAGUCAAAGGUGCCGGCGCCUAAGGUCAUAACUCCUGUCAAUUUCAAGGUGCCAACUGCAGAAGACUACAAGACUAUCCCCAAAAAGUACGUGUGGGGAAAGCCUCUACUCGGUCGGACCAAACUUAUGAAGAAACCAAGUGGUAUAAAAAGGUUUCAUGACUGGUACAUGAGAGCCUCUUCUGCUAGCAUCGACACCAUAAGCAUGUGCAUACCACAAAUAGCAUUUCUUAGCCAGAGUACUGACAAAUGCAUGCUUACAUUUGAUGACAUGUGGGCACUGAUGAACCACGAGACGCUAGAUGUACAGAUCGUAACGACAUUUGCAUUGUAAGUGUUACAUAGUUACACACAUUGUAGUUGCAUCAAUUUUCAAUAUCUGACAUGCUUCUGUCUUGCAGAAUGUUAUAUGAUCAACACGAUAUGUAUUUUGGUUCGGACCUAAAUUAUUGUGCCGAAGAAAGGAAUGCCUAUGUCUGCCCAAUAGAUAUAGCCAAAGAUCGGCACACAUUCCGGAUCGGGAAUGACAGCACAGAGGUACAGGGUUUGGAAGGUGCAGAACGGGAUGAGAAACUCUGAAAGUUGAAACUUGAUUUUGAAGCCAAAUACACCUUCUACAUUGGACAUUCACUAAUAAAGUUUCAAGACAGGAAAGCGGUGGUGGCCCCGUACCACUUUGGGUAAGUGUGAGUUUACAAAUAUCUAUCUAAAUUAUUCCAAUGCAUAAAUGCAUCAUGGAUUUAAUUCGAGCAGGAGGCACUGGAUAUGCUUCAUCAUUUAUCCCAAGGAGGGAAGGGUGUUGGUACUAGACUCCGCAGAUUACGCGAAAGAAAGCUAUGCUCCAUUCAUCAAACUGCUAGAGUUGUAAGUCAAGCUAUGCAUGCAUACUUAAGCAUAGUGAGAAUUUGACAAUAACAUGGUGAUUCUAUUUGAGAUCAUAGGGCAUACAGGUUCUAUAAGAUAAAUCAUGGAAAGUGCGAGUCCAAGAGACUAGGGCAACCAUUGGAGGUUAUACAUAACUGGCCGGUACGUAUAAAAAUUUACUAUUAUGAAUACAAAUCAUACACAUACGACUACAGUUGUAACUAUAAUUAAAUAACCACUCUCCUGUUAUACAGUACAUGAAGCAACCACCGUUAUCUGUCCUCUGUGGCUACUACGUGUGCGAGAACAUGAGAGAAAACGGACGAUAUGCAAGGAACCUUGACAAGGUAAUAUAAGUAAUAGUCUAUUAAAGUUGGAAGUCAUAAAAUAUAUAAUGUUUAUAAACUUUCUUUGCGGUAUAUAAGCAAGGGACGGCGGAGCGCAUGGACGAACGUGCUUUAGACAACAUAGUUGAGGACAUCUACUUGUUCAUCAUGAAGCAUGUCAUUCCACGUGAAGGCCAAUAUCAUGAUGAUGAAAGCCAAUUAUCCAGGCCAGAGUUCCGAGUGCUAACAGAGAUUAGUAAGCUCAAACUUACUGAAGAGGGUUAUUAGAGGACAGAAACAAACUUUGAUGUAUAUAUAUAUGAUGUGUGAUGAUGGAUAUACUCUUGUAAUUAACUUUAUGUCUUUGAGCACCAAACUUUGAUGUAUACAAAUGUAUGUAUGAGAUGAAGUAUUUAAAUUACAUGUUGCUAUGUUAGAAGACCAACCAAUAUCAAUAUAUUUAAAUAUUAACAAUAAAAUAAUAAAUAGAUAAAUAGAUAAAUUAAAAAAUAAAUAAAUAAUGCAUAUUUUAAUAGGUUUAUACUGGCGGCUCUCAAGUGACCGCCUGUGGAAAUGGACGAUUUCUACUGGCCUCCAGCGCAGGCGGAUCCAGAAAAUACAAGUAGAAAUAUGUUACCAACCGCCUGUAUAGUGUGUCAAUGUACUAGUGCUCUCCGCAUCGGAUAGAUCUCGCCGCCGUCGCCCUGCCGCUCGCUAGCCCCUUCCCUCUCGGUCCCGGCGUUCUCGCCGCACCGGGUAGGGAAAGGGACCCCCACCCUCAUGUAUAACUUCUAGGAGUCCCGCGAUGGGUUCUCCCCUAAUGGUCGUCUUCGCCACCGCCGUCGUCGUUGCUGCUGCAGCAGCUCCCGUCGCCGCCGACGAGGCUCCUACCAUGGUACGUCUAAAUAAAAUAAACUCGCCCCUCCACAGCACGGCUCCUCCCUUCUCCACCCACUCCCCGCCUACCUCGCGCCGCCUCCUAGAUCCGUGCUCCUUCGACUCGCAUCUUCCGCAUCUCGCCUCCGCCUCCACCUCUACUUUGCAGCCAUCGUUCCUGCUGAUCCAGACAGCCCUUUUUGCGGCGUUGCCGCGACGACUUCGUCUCCACCUGGGACCCGACUUGGAGCUUCAUCCUCUACCUCCGGCGACGGCAACAACUUUAUCCUUCGGUCGCUCGGCGCAUGAUUCCUCUCUGGCUCCGUCGCCCCACCUUCAACCGACGCUUGGCGCGGCCUUCCAUCUGGGUGUAUAUGCCUUCGGCACCUCUACGACACCCCGCCGGCGAAUCCGCCGUCGUCAACGCCUCCGAUGUAGCUGUUGUUCUUAUCCGGUAUCUGGACCCUAUUGUAAUUCGGUCUCCCUUGGAGGACCUCUGUGUAAAAUGGCUGCUUAAUAUAUAAUAUAUGCAGUUGUGAAAAAAAAAGAGAUGGAGGGCAACGACAGGGAGGACCUUCAUCCUGGUGCUACUGUCGGGCGGCGGCCUCGACGUGUCCUUUGCGCACAACCACCCCAAGAUCGGCGCCAUCCUCUGGGCUAGGUACCCGGCGGCGAAGGCGGCAUCGCCAUUGCUGAAGUGAUAUUCGGAAGAUACAAUCCUGGUAAAUAGUAAUUAAAUCCACGCGUUCAUCUUUUGGUUUUCUUAUUUGUUUGUUUAUUGAACGUUCUUUAUGGUUACCAAUCCUUCAUUUCAUGAUUUUGUGUACAUACAUGCAUGAACAGGAGGACGGCUGCCUCUGACAUGGUACAAGAACAAGUACAUCGAGCAGAUCUCCAUGACGUGCAUGGAGCUCCGGCCGGUGGCGAAGCAGUGGCGGACGCAGGAAUUGAAGAUUGGGUGUACAUGGUGUACAUAGAUACACAUACAGAACCAAACCAUUAUAGCAUAUGUAAAACUAAAUGUCCAUCAAUUUAAAGCAAACAGUACUUAAGUACUAGGUACAUUAGUAUAAUUAAUUAGUUAAUACAUAGUAUUUGUGAAGUCUCAACUAAUAAAGAAACAUUACAAAUUUAAUUGUGUCAUGGUGUGUUCUCUGUGCGGCUGUCGUGCCGCCUACUGGUGCAGACUUUGCGCCAAUGCCAUUGAAAUCAAACCGUAGGUGGCCGAGCGGCGCAGGUGGGGAACAAAAUUUUUUGAUCGAUUGGGAAAGGUGAGUUCAAGUAGGCAGGGCAAGUGCUUGAGGCACCGUCACAGACGAGCAGAGGGCAUCACUCCUGAUUGGCAGGUUCCCUCCGUGAGGUUGCUUCUUGAGCUAGCAGUUAGACCUAGCUAGACAGAGGAGGGGAGCAGGGGCGGAAUUGGGCCUGGGGCCGCUGGGGCCACGGCCCUAGUCGUGGGCCAAAUUUUCCUUUAGAGUGUAAGUAUAUUUUUGGCCUGGCUCUAGUCAUUGGACCAAAUCCUCUAAACCUUCGGCCCAAAAAAAAAUAUGACGAGCGCUCAGGUCGCGGCCGCCGGCCGUACCAAAAUUUUCCUCGAUGUCACGACGAUUGGAAUUCCGAACUUGAACCGUCGCGGGCGUGCAGCGUUGCCAUCGCCAUUCGCCAAAGCCCCAGGUCGCAGCCUCGCAGGCACCGGGCGCCGUCGCUGCUCUCGCUCGUCAGUUCGUCAGCAUAGCAGGUUGCACGGCGCCGGCACCAGGGAAGCAGGGAGGCCACAGCCCCAGGGCGCAUCGCCACCAGGCCUUCAGGCAGGCAGCAUCGGUAAUUUCCCAAUCCUAUUCCCAAAUCAAUUUUUAAUUUGGCAAUUGUUAAUUUGGCUACGUCACCAUCAGUCCGUCAGGCAUUCAGUCAUAUAUUACUAUCAUUUUUUGUCAAUUGUCCAAUUACAUUUUAUGGACUGUAUUAUUAAUGUUCUUACACUAAAUUCAUGUGUAGGUUCAGGUCCAUAUGAAGCUCUUGAUGAAGAUAUGAGAGGAGGGUGAACCAAACCAUAAUUAGUUAGGUAUUUUUUAAAACUGCUUUCAUGUUCUAUCAAUUAUAUCAUGGAUUUAAAUAUGAAAUUGAGAUAUCAUUUAAACUUAUGCAUCUUUGAGCUUUAUUUUGUUAUUUAUCGAUAUUAGUCCCGGUAUAGACGGUAUAUAUAUGCUUUGAUAGUUUGUGACGGUAUAGCUUGUCAAUUGAUAGUGGCCCUAGGCGUCAAAAUUGACGAGCUCAGCCACUAGAGGGGAGGAGGCAAGAAACGUGGCCUUUUUACUCUUAGGCCCUGUUUGGUUACCCACAUUAAACUUUAAUCUCUAUCGCAUCGAAUAUUUGGAUAUAUGCACGAAGUAUUAAAUAUAAUAUUUACGAAACUAAAAAACACAGUACCUAUUGAACUUUAGUCCGUUCAAUCAAACACUCCUUUACUUGGAUCAAAUAUACAUAAUUUAGUCUACUUAUAUGUACAAUACAUACAAAUGUAUAGUGUCUAUAAUUUUUUUCUCAAAAUUAUUGGGUGUACAUCUGUACACCCAUGUCCAUAUACUGUGUCCGCCAGUGUGGCGAAGCACGGGUACCCGGGGCGGACGUACAAGUUCUACACCGGGCCGGGGGUGCUGUACCCGUUCGGCCACGGCCUGAGCUACACCAUGUUUCCUCUACACGAGACCAGCUGCAACGGCACCACCGUGAGGAUGCCGGUCGCCGGCGGCCACUGCAAGGGUCUCAGCUACCGCCCCAGCGCGCUGUCCACCUUCGCCUCCUCGUCUGCUGCGCCGCCGUCCUGCGAGGCGAUCAACGUGGACGGGCACGCGUGCGAGGAGACCGUGAGCUUCAACGUGAGCGUCAUCUAUGGCGGGAGCCGGGACGGCGCCCACGCCGUGCUGGUGUACACCGUCCCGCCGCCAGGUUGCGGACGCGCCCGUCAAGCAGGUGGCCGCGUUCCGGCGGGUGUUGGUGCCGACGGGGACGGGGAGCACGGUCACCGAGAAGUUCACGCUGAACGUGUGCCGGUCGUUCGGGAUCGUCGAGCGGACAGCCUACAAAGUCGUGCCACCGGGCGUCAGCACCGUGCUCGUCCAGAACGGCGACUCGUCGGUGUCCUUUCCUGUCAAGAUCGACUUCUCCGUUUAGUCGUUACGUAGUACUACUACUAGCUAGGUUUACAGUUCCCUGCCAUGGAUGUUUAGAUAGGGUUAUUUUCAUCAGUUUUUUUAUUGACACUUAGUGUUCAACAUCAUACUGAAUUUGAUGAGCCUCCGUGUGUCAUGGUUGCUCGCAAUGAGAACAGUCUGUUCUUGAUUAUCCAAUAUAGAAUAACUGAUAUUUUUUUUCGAGGAAGGAAUGAAACCAAUGAAGCUGGUAUAUAUAAUCGCUUUCGUCUCUCUAAGGGCUUUUUCGGUUAGGUAGGAAUGUAGCUACGAAUUAUUCCAGCUCAUCAAAGGCUAUGUAAAUUAGGCAAGUAUCCCUCUGGUGGGAAUUAAUUGUUCCAGGCAAUGCCUAAAGGGCUGCAGUGAUCCGUUGGAGCGAACCCAUACUUCAACAUCGGCCAUCCAGCAUAUAGAUUUCGACCAUCAUUUAAGAUACAUCUCAAGUUUUUAUAAAUCACUGCUGCACGUUCGGGGAUUAGCACCGGUAUGGAAGGGCCUGUUGCUCCGGUUCUCUAGCCGGUGCUACCCUUCCACCCUUUAGUCCCGGUUCGGGGAACCGGGGCUAAAGCCCCCCUUUAACACCAGUUGGUAAUACCAACCGGUGCCGGUGUUAAAGGGUCCUGCCAGGGCUGCCACGUUGCAGGACCCUUUAACACCGGUUGGUAUUACCAAUCGGUGUUAAGAGUUUCUUUUUUUUUACUUCUUCAGUUCUGUUUAUUGUUUUUAUAUAUAAUAAUAAUAAUAGGUUUUUCAAUACAUAUUUUUGCUGAUACAAUAAGAUAUUUAUAUUACACGCAUAUUAAGCAUAUAUAAAUGAAAAUUAUAGGCUUAGCUUUAUAAUUAAGCUUUGCCUAUAAUAAAAUGAAUAGGCCACAUCAAAAAUUAAAUAGAUAUGUAAAAAGCUUUAUAUAUAUAUAUAGUUUUAUAAGUACAAAAUUCAUAACACAUAUAUACAUAGAGUUUUUUCUCCCAAUGUCUAAAAACGAUACAAAUGAUCAUCGUUGUUUGGAAUAAGAGUUUCGUUGCCGUUGAAGUGAAACUCGCCGUUUAGAUUGAUCACUUGCUCGCGGAGAAAUCCUGCUAUCGUCUCUUGGAUAGCUUUGAUUCGGUCUUUUUGUAUUACCUUUUCCCUCAACCAUUCCGUCUUUAAUUUGAAAUAAAUAAAAAAGGUAUUAGUUAUCUAAGUUAUUCAAUAUAAUUCAGAAGAUAAUGAAAAGAGACAUGUAACGUACUCUGAGCGUCUAUGUGAGUGUUUGAUUGACUUGUGCCAUCAUGAAUUUGCACACGUAAUAUGUACAUAGAUUGUUCCCCCUUCUUGUCUUAAACACCACUGUACGAAAUAUAUAUAAAAAAUAUUCACGACCACGACAAUAAGAACGCUAAAAGUUAGCGAAAGUUUGCUAGCUAGUAGAAGUUACUUGUGGAUGUAUUAUGUUAAGCGGCGCUUUACAUCCACUGAGAUGUUCACGGUCAAUGAAUCUUUCCCAAACUCUACACACAGCCAUUGUGGAUCGUGAACUAAUAAUUACAGAGUCAUAUUAUGAUAUUAUUCUAGCUGAGAUCGACAUUAUACCUUUGAAUAAUGUUUACCAUUUGUUGAUAAUUUUCUUGUGGUUUUCUCAUUGAGUCAAAGAUUAUCAACCGGUUCUUGGGAAUUUCAAUGACCAUGAGUAUCCAGUGAAAGCUGUUUACACAUAUAUAUAGUCAGGCCUAUAUAUAACUAUAUAAAACUUGUCUCGAGUAAUAAUUAUUAAAAUAAAAUAUGCAUGCACUUAAUAACUAUAUAACUCACUCGAAGUUGAAGGGGAAGAGUAUUUUUUGUUUUUCUUUUUGGUUCACAAAGAACCUCAUAAGAUUGGUGCAGACUUCUGUCUCAUGAGCUGCUGUCCACACUGCCUGCGGAGCCUUAAAAACAAUAUAAGGGUCAACGAACCCAAUACUAUUGUCAUUUCUGAUUCUGAGCUCUCUCAUUUGGUGCCUGCAUAUAUACAUACAAAUCCUAAGUGUGUAAGGAUUAUAUACAUGUAAUUAAAGAAGUUUGAAGUAUAAUAAAAAGAAAAAAAUACUUACAGACAAAAGCAGCUGACAAGAGAUUUGUCGAGAGCGUCGAGGUGACAUAAUUGGUGCAAUUCUUCGAACUGCAUGUAUAUGAGGUCAUCUCCACGGAAGUAGUGAUGUUGUCUAAUACGAACAGAAAUCCAAUUCUCUCCCCUUUUAGACGCCUCAACGCACCAUUUGUUUAUUGCAAACAUUUGUGUGCCGAGCUUAUGUAAACGCUGAGGGUCGAAUAGACUCCUGCCCGGUUCAUAUCUUGCCCUCCAUUGAUCAAUUACCUUAGCUUUUUCAAAUGUUUGGCAUCCAAUAAUGGUGGCAAUUUCUUCCAUAUUUAAACCACUCUGUCCAAAGUAACGCUCAAGCGAGUCUAGCUCAAACAACGCUAAGGAUUUCUUUGGCAUCAAGUCUUCAUUUGAGCCGUAUUCAUUUGGCACAAUCAAAGGGGGCACCGGUUUUGAUACUUCUCCGAGCUAUGGGACCCCCUUUCCUACUCUCUUUCUAGAAUGUGAAGACUUGACCAGAGACCGCUCAUAGUCCGAAAGUGCUGGCUUUUUCUGAGCUUCGCGUUGCUUCUUUUGCUGGUCUGCCACCUUCUGCCUCAGUUCCGAUGGCUUUACAUAAAAGUACGGCUUUUCUGGGUGUAGCCGGUUUUUUUUAUCCUCCUUCAAUUUAUCAAAAAACUACUUCACCUCAGCUUUGGAUGCAGCAAUUACCUCCUCUUCACUCUUUUCGUAAGAUAAUUUUUCUCAUGUCUUAGCUCUCUUUGCUGAGGCAGCCUUCUUUGGAGGUGGAACCGAUGACUUCGGUCGUUCUUGGGCGGACCGCUUCUGACUACCUCGCUUUGGAGGCGAGGGGACCGACCGUGUACUCUUUGGAGAGAGCGGUGCAGGCGGUGGAGGUGGUGGGGCUGAUCUUUUCGGUGUUGGAGAACGCGGUGGAGGAGUUGGAGACCUCGGUGGAGGCGGUGGUGGGGUCGGUGUGGCCGCCACAGGUGUUGGAGGAGAUCUAGCAUUGUCACCGCCUGCAGCACUAUGAUACGCUGGGGAGAGAACUGGACUUAGGUUGGAGGAGUCCCUGCAAAGAAAACAAUUACAAGUUUUGUGAGCAAACUUUUUUUAUUUUCAAUACAUAAUAAAUAAUAUAAGUAGUAAAAUCACACACAAACCUAUGUUGAGGAAUAAUUAUGAAGCGCUUGCGCCAACAAAUAAAUGUCUUCUCAGCUUCACUUAAGGUCUUCUCUCUGUCUCCCCCUUCUAUGUCUAGAGGCACAUUGCCACAACCUUUCUCAACCCUAUCAACCGAGAUGCUAGCAUAUCUACCAGGUACUGGUCGAUUAUGGAUUCUUGGAGUUCUCGUUCGGUCGAUAGGGUUGACAACAGCGAUAGCCACCUUUUUUGUUGCAUUCCCAUCUGGUACAUGCAGCUCACAGGAAGUAAAAGCCUCUGUGACAUCAUCCACGGGGAAGUGUAGCUUCGUGUCGUCCUGAAUGGUUGGUACUUCCGUGGAUGCGCAACUGCUUGUCAACUGGCCUGGGGGGCUAACGUUGACCUCAGGCUGUGAUGUACCUUGCCCUUUCGUCAUUUGACUAAGUGCUGCUUGCACUUGCCUUUGAAUCUCCGCCUGCAUCCAUUCUUCACGAGCUUUCUCGCGCUCUUCUGACUGCAGAACAAAAGCUUCCAGGCGGCGGAUCCACUCUGCCUCCUCAUCCUUCUUUCUCUGGCGGCUUCUAUAGGUAUCUUGAUCGGCUUGGAAUGAUUGCAGCCAUGGAACUGCCCCAUAGCCUCUCGUACGCCCACCGUGCUCAGAAUUUUCAAGCGCAUAGGUGAGUUCAUCCUUCUCCCUGUUAGGCCUGAACUCACCAGACUGAACCGCCUCUCGUGCACGGACUAGUCUCCUGCUGCUCUAGAGAUUUCUUGGCCCCAAACUAGUGCCCCGGUGUCUGGGUCCACGCUUCCCCCAUGACCGUAGAACCAAUGCUUGGAGCGCUCGCUCCAAUUCUUUGCUAUUGUCUUGGGUGUGACCCCCUAGCAAGCAUCUCCUGUUCCAUUUGGUCCCACUUGGGAACAACACUCUUAUAACCACCUGAUCCCAUAUGAUGGUGGUAUGUGUUUUUACUUGCUGUUGAUGCAAAAGCUGAUCUGCAAACACAAAGGGCUAAUACCCGAUUUAAACGUUAAGGCGUGCCAGCCGAUUUGACCUUACUAUCGGCAAAGGUGAUAACUCGAAUACUUUGGUCCCGACAACAGCGAUGUGCCCGGAUGCCACGGCCAAGAGGUACUCACGCGGAACUUGAGAAUACGCCGAGCUUAAGUCGACGAACUCCUAAGAACUCAUAAUGAAAAAAGGAAAAUAUGACGAAGUCGUCGAAAAAGUAGAUGCUGUGAUAUGAGUAAAAACUUGUGUUUGAUUGAUUGAUAGAUGUCUCAAUUACAAGGCCCUAGGGUCUACAUUUAUACCCUGCUCAAAGAGCUACAACCAGACAUGACUAGAAUUCGAAUUCCAAAUUUAAACAGAAUCCGUGUACACAACGAUUUAAAUAACUAAGGAAAACAUAAAACUAUCCUGCCAUGACAAGCUAGGACACCAUCACGGACCAAUUGGCAACCUCCAAGCUUUCCUUCCAUGUCAUCGGCAGACCCCCCAUCGGCAACGGUUAAUAGUGGCCAUCGGCAUAAACACAUCACCACCCAUGGACUUAGCCACAUUCAGCUGUCUCCUCAUCGGCAACCACUCUUAUCGACAACUCUCCUGCAGACCAGUCACUAUUGCCCUUUCUUGCCGAUCUACACUCUACCGAUCCUGGGUACGUGUCCAAAAACGGUGUCAACACAUGCCCCCCAAUUUUGGAGUAUGAAAUCAUUAAUGCUCCGAAAUUCUCUGCAAUAAUGAUGCCUUUCUGCAAUUAACUCUCCCAAUUUGGUAACCGACAACCUUAAUCUGAACAACCUUGGUUCGAUUCCUCCGUAGAUUCCUCGAAAUCCUCAACUUCCUAAACGGACAUCUCCACUUUAGUCGCCCAUCGGCAAUGUUACCGUUAUAGAGACCUGCCGAUGGACUGACCAGGAUGUCCUGUUCAGUAAAGUGUCUUAUCCUCCCAAACGGAUAUGCCCACUCUAUCCGCCCAUCGGCAAUAUUACUGUUACAAGGCGCUGCCGAUGGACCGACCAGGAAAUCUCGCACAGUAAAAUAUCUCCAGAUCACGACCGCUUCCUGUCAAAUCACCUGCACAAUCCCUUGAUUACCGUGCGAACAGUUACCAUAUCCUCCUAAGUAUCCUCGGAUUUCACAGAUACGGCGAAGUGAUAAGUCAGAUUUACCCUUGCCCAUUUUUUCCUAUAAAUAGUUCCUUCUCGGGUACUCCUUCUCCAUCGCAUCAUUCCACAGUUCCAACUCCACCUUCCUGGCGGCGGCGCUUUUCGAGAUCUCCAAGAACUCCAACGAAACCCCUUCUUCACCAACCUCGAAGCCUUCGAUCAUCCUUUUUGUGAGGAGAUGGCCAUCAACUUCACCGUUCCUGAGGUUAGUUCUUCACCCUUCCUCUCGUACUUUCAUCAUAUCCCUAUUCAUCCACGAUUUAUUUUACUGAACAUUUUUCUUUUUCUUUCUUUGUCCUUCCCUUUUCCUUCAAAACCAUUAGGAUCUGUCCAAUAAAAUUCUCAUCCCUAUCGAUCAGCCACACCUCCAAUGUCUUGGUCCGUUAGGGGAUCCAGAUCCCACCGAUCUUAUUAAUAUAGAAACAAACAGAAUCCCUUUUAGAGCCGAGAAUUUUUCUCUAGACCUGUGGAAGGAUACCUUCCGUUCCUGGCCCAGUCCUAUUGUGGGAUGGAAGGAUUGGUUUUUGAGAGUCAGCCACUCAAAUGAAGUCCAGUGGGGCGAGAGAAAACUAGAUCAAUGCAUCAGGUUGUCCAUCGCCGAUAUGCAUAGGAAUGAGUCACUGCUGAUAGCUGCAUCAUAUUUUUGGUCAGACACACUCAACGCCUUUGUCUUUGGCCACGGCCCUGCUUCCCCUACACUUGCCGAUGUGGUUAUGCUCACCGGCCUAGAUGUAUCUUCUCCCGAUAGCACUCACUUUUUCGAUACCAAACCCAGUGCUAAGGUAGAAACUCGUGCCAUCUGCAGUUGGUCAGGGUACAUCCAAAAAUACAAACGAACAGGCCCUGUUAACAUAAAGGAACAGACCAGCUUCCUGAACAUGUGGUUGAACAAAUUUGUAUUUUGUGGUCGAUCGGCAGGACCAACUUCCGUCUACUUAGCAGCAGCAGAAAGAUUAGCCAAUGGUGGCCGAUUUCCCCUCGGCCGAUACCUGCUCGGCGCUGCUUACCACCUCCUUCAUCAAGUAGCCAGGAAACUCCUGCUCGGCCAGUCCAUCGGCAACUUGGGGGGUCCUUGGUGGUUUAUCAAUAUGUGGCUUAGUCUCCACAUGCACAAGCGUCUUGAGUUUGACCUCUUCGCACAGCGCUUCCCCAGGGAUAUAGCCGAGGAUUAUGAACUGGAUGAAGAAGAAUCGGCAACUCGCCCUCCUCUAAACUUCGGCGAGGCUGUCAUAGCUCUGCCUAGUACAUGGGGCAAUGCAGACCAAGUCAGCCGAUUCUUCCAAACUCUAUAUGAAGGUCUAACCAAAGAGCAGCGAGCAUAGAUGCCUUAUGAAGAUCCAAACACCAUGUUCCCUUUGGUUUUCCAUCCGUUCAACGAUGCUCUCAACAAGGAUCAUGAAGUGAUGAUGGCAUUGAUCACUCCCAGAGCCAUACCAGUAAACUUCUUUGGCAGUGGGAAAACCUCCAACCAAACCUAUGAGUUUUACAACCCAUCGGCACUAGCCCGUCAAUUAGCUUUCGGCCAGCUGCCGAUUGCACUCUGUUAUGCCGAUGUGAUAAAACCCAUAGAAGCCAUCACUAAUCUCCUCGAGUGGAUUCGAGUAGCCCAGCUACCACCGAGUGCUGAUACAAAUGCAGAUUUAUCAGAGUGGAUCCCGGCCCUCUUCAUUACUCAGGUGUACAAACAAUGGUGGGAGGAAUGGAAGGAGCAUUUGUUCUGCAAAUCGGCUCUUUCAUACCGUGGAAUGAUUGACCCCCAGUACAAAGUUCCCGAUAAUACUGUAAGUAUUUCCAAACCGAUGUCUCAAUUCCUCCACUUUUAUUUCCAUCGGUAACUCACUUUCUAUAUUACUCUGCAGGUUGAUAACAUUCCCCCAUCGGUCAGCAGGAGUGGCAAGCCGAUUGACCUUUUUCCAUCAGGUCCGAUCUCUUCAAUCGGCAACAACGCUCCCACUUUGGCUGCCAUCAUGCAUCGAGGCGUACGCCUCAAGAAAGUCACCACCAAGAGAACUCAGAUAUCUCCAUCGGUAGCUGCCUCUGCUUUGGCCCAGGCGUUCAAGGUACAUUUUCAAACUCUUUCAUACCGAUCUCACCCUUACAUCUGUUGCACUUGUACUCACGAACUUCCCUUUCUGUAUCAGCACACCAGCGCAUCGGCAAGGACCAGAAGCAAAAGUGUCGAUGCCCCCAGUCUAGUCAGCCGAAGAGAAAAGGUGCCAAGAAUAUCAGAGCACAAGCAAAGCGCCAAAAGAUAGCAACACCUUCUCCUCCCCCGGUAUCUCCAAUUCCGGUAGAAUCUUCUCCCUCUUCUCCAGAAACACAGACACAACAAGAACCAUCUCCCUCUCAGCCGCAAGAAGCACCCCAAGUGGAAGAACCCCAACCAGAAGAGCCCCAGUCAGAAGUACCUCAGCCCGAAGACACAUCGGCUGACGUGCAUGAGCAAACUACCGAUCCAACAAGUUCGAUCAUAGCAUCGGUAGUUUCCUCCAUCCAGACAAGUACUGCUCCCCCUCAAGGUAACAUACCUUUUAUGAAAUUAUUGCCGAUGAACUUAUUUUCCCCGUCUUAUAACUGCUUCUGUUAUUUUUUAGUUGACAUAGUCCCAUCGGCAACCCCGGCCGAUCAACCUAUAGUUCCAUCGGCGUCCUCCAGUCAGAGGCAAGAGAUUGCUCUGAAACAAGUAAGUCACCCAACCUCUAUCAAUAUUAUUUGUCAAUACUUGACCAUGGAAUGACUCAUUUUAUUUCCUUUUCAGGAACAGGACUCUCCUGACAGCUUGUUCUCCUUCGCCGUCGAUAUCUCUGAAGAUGAAGGUGAGGAGGCAAGUUCUUCCCAGGCAGUUGGAAUUACAUCGGCAGCGGUUAGGGCAAAGUUGGAAGAAUUGUCGGCCCUCCUUCAUCAAGGCACAGCCCAAUUGGUUGAUGACUCCGAUCCAACCAAGGCUUUGUUCAAGACCCUCAGAGGCCAGAUCCCCGCCGAUGCCGAAGAAGUUCUCUUUCAAGCUGCACAUCUAGAGAGUCGCCAGUUGCAGUACCAAAGGGCUGUUCAACGUCUUGCCGAUAGAGCUGCCCAAGCUCAUCUCUCAGAAGAAAUGAUGAAAGUGAAGCUCCUUGCCGAUGAGAAACAUAAAAACAUCGGCACCCUGGAGUCCUCAAGAGAUGCGCUGAGAUAAAAGAUUUCUGACCUAUCGGCAAAGAGAGAAGCCCUGUUGGCAGAACUAAAGCAAGUAGAAGAAGCCUUGUCCCAAGCUCAACAAGAGGAAAACCAGCUGCCUGAGGCGAUCAAACUUCUUGAACAAGAACGAAAUAUCCAUGGUCGCAGAGCGCUGCAGAUGAAGAAGAAGUUGAAGCCGGUGGAAGGCUCUGCCGAUGAAGACACCAAAGAGAUAGAAGCAGCCAACCAAAUCCGUUUGCGCGCUCUAUCGGUGAUCCAAGCGUUGUUGAACAUGUGAGCUCUUCAUCGGCAACAUACUUGCCCCUCUUUGCUUUCCAGCCUUCCUAAUAUUUGGUCUGCCGAUAGGACUAUUUUCGGCACCUUUAAAAACACUGAGUUUUAUCCCCGAAUACAUUUUGAUCUAGCCGAUAGGAAUGUUAUCGGCACUUAAACUUUUAUGCAUCGACCCAUAUGCUUGGGUAAUACUUCUUUAGAUAUUUGCCAUUCAAUGCUCUGUUAAAUUCAACUCCUUCGAGAGUUUCUAAAAUAUAGGCAUUACCAAGAGCCGAUCAACUUAUCCGAUAGGGACCUUCCCAAUUGGGAGACCACUUCCCAAAUUUUGAACUUUUAGUCCCGAUCGGUAAGAUUAAUUUCCAUACCAAGUCUCCAUCGGCAAAUUCUUUAGCCUUUACCUUCUUAUCAUACCAUCUAGCAACUCUCUUCUUAUUCUCUUCUAUACUCAUUAGAGCCCUUAACCGAUGCCCUGCUAGAUCAUCCAACUCGUCUAUCAUCAAAGUAGCAUAGUCAUCGGCAGUCAACUGAUCCUGAAAAGAUGGUCGUCUAGACCCAGUCUUAAUUUCCCAAGGUAACACUGCAUCAUGCCCAUACACCAACUAACAAGGUGAAACCUUAGUCGAUCCAUGACAAGCCAUCUGGUAUGACCAUAAAGCUUCAUUUAACAAUGUGUGCCACCUCCUAGGAUUUUCUUCAAUCUUUCAUUUGAUAAGCUUGAUAAUUCCUUUGUUAGAUGCCUCGGCCUGCCCAUUAGCUUGAGCAUAAUAAGGAGAAGAGUUUAAUACUUUAAUUCCCAUACCGAUUGCAAAUUCAUCAAACUCUCCCGAUGUGAACAUAGUACCCUGAUCGGUAGUAAUUGUUUGAGGAAUUCCAAAUCGGUAAAUAAUAUGCUCUUUCACAAAAUCAAUCAUAUUGGCCGACGUAACUUUCUUCAAAGGAAUAGCUUCCACCCAUUUGGUGAAAUAAUCAGUGACAACCAAGAUAAACUUAUGCCCUUUGCUAGAUGGUGGAUAAAUCUGACCGAUUAAGUCAAUAAACCAUCCCUGGAACGGCCAAGGUUUGAUAAUAGGAUUCAUGGCCGAUGCGGGUGCUCUUUGAAUAUUGCCAAAUUUCUGACAUCCUUGACAUCCCUUGAAAUAUUUAAAGCAAUCUUCAAGUAUGGUCGGCCAAUAAUACCCAUUCCUCCUAAUCAUCCACUUCAUCUUGAAAGCCGAUUGAUGUGCUCCACAUACCCCUUCAUGGAUUUCUCCCAUCAAACUCUUAGCUUCAUCAUCACCUAAGCAUCUGAGAAGAAACCCAUCAAUAGUUCGAUAAUACAAUUCAUCCUCGAGGAGGACAUACUUGGUAGCUUGAAACUGAAUCCAUCUCUCAACUUUCUUAGAUGGAUCAUUCAAAUAAUCAAUAGUUUCUUUUCUCCAAUCAUCGGCACCGAUUGCCGAUAUCGUAUUGAUCAUAGGCUGAUAUCCCGAGGCAUGCGGAGCCAACCGAUUGGCCUCUUCAUUAUGCAAUCGAGGAACAUGCUCUAAUCGGAAAUCCUUGAAUUCCUUUAACAGUUGCAUACUCCUCUCGUGAUAAGUUAUGAGGACCUCACUUCGGCAUUCAUAGCUUCCAGCCAAUUGAUUUAUAACUAGCAUAGAAUCUCCGAAGAUUUCAACAGCAUCAACAUGAAUUUCCCGUAGCAAUUCCAACCCCUUUAUUAAGGCUUGAUACUCAGCCUGAUUAUUUGUUGACGUGGCGACAAUCGGCAAGGAGAACUCAUACUUCCUUCCCCGAGGGGAAAUUAACACUAUGCCGAUUCCUGCCCCCUGGUCACACGUGGAUCCAUCAAAGAAGAGCGUCCAAGGUACAAUCUCCACUGUACCACAAUGUUGAGUCACAAAAUCGGCCAUAAUCUGUCCCUUAACCGCUUUAGCCGAUUCGUAAUGCAAAUCAAACUCUGAUAGUGCCAAGAUCCAUUACCGAUUCUGCCACUCAUAUUCGGCAUAGACAGCAUAUAUCGGACCACAUCAUCUUUGCAUAUGACAGUGCACUCGGCCGAUAACAAAUAAUGUCUCAACUUAAUACAUGAGAAAUAGAGACAUAAACAUAACUUUUCAAUAGCCGAAUACCUGGUCUCAGCAUCAACCAAUCUCCUGCUUAAAUAGUAAAUCACACGUUCUUUCCCUUCGAAUUCUUGAAUUAAAGCUGAACUGAUGACCAUCCCAUCGGUAGACAAAUACAACCUGAAGGGCUUCCCUUGCUGAGGUGGAAUCAGAACUGGAGGAUUUACCAAAUAAUUCUUGAUUUCAUCCAAGGCCAAUUGUUGCUCUUUCCCCCAAACAAACUCUUGAUCGGCCUUCAACUUGAGUAAAGGGCUGAAAGCACGAAUUUUACCAGAUAAAUUAGAUAUAAACCUCUUGAUAAAAUUUACCUUGCCGAUCAAGGAUUGGAGCUCAGUCUUGUUGGUAGGAGCAACUAUUUUGUCGAUAGCAUCAAUGGACCUUCGACUAAUUUCAAUCCCCCUUUGAUGCACCAUGAAACCAAGAAAUUGUCCUGCCGAUACACCAAAUGCACACUUAUUAGGAUUCAUCUUUAAACCACGCUUCCUCGUGUAUUCCAACACCUUUCGCAAAUCGGCAAGAUGCUUUGUGAAAUCUCCAGAUUUUACCACCACAUCAUCAAUAUAAAUUUCCACCAGCUUGCCGAUGAACUCAUGAAAUAUUAAAUUCAUGGCUCUCUGAUAAGUAGCACCAGCAUUUUUCCAACCAAAGGUCAUGACUGUCCAUUCAAACAACCCAACAUGACCAGGGCAUCUAAAUGCAGUUUUUGGAAUAUCUUCUUCAGCCAUGAAUAUUUGAUUGUAUCCUGCAUUGCCAUCCAUAAAGCUGAUAAUCCGAUGUCCAGCCGCAGCAUCAACUAGCAGAUCGGCAACUGGCAUUGGGUAACCAUCCAUCGGUGUAGCUUUGUUAAGAUUCCUGAAAUCAAUGCAGACCCGAAGCUUCCCAUUUUUCUUAUAGACCGGAACAACAUUGGAAAUCCACUCGGCAUACCGACACUGCCAAAUAAACUUAGCUUCAAUAAGUUUGGUUAUUUCGACCUUAAUAUCAGGAAGAAUAUUCGGAUUACAUCGGCGAGCUGACUGUUGAUGUGGCCGAAAUCCAGACUUGAUAGGCAACCGAUGUUCAACAAUCGAUCGGUCCAAACCAGGCAUCUCAGUAUAAUCCCAAGCAAAAGCAAUCUUUAUAUUCCUUUAGCAAAUCAGUCAAUUGUUGCUUACACUCAGAAUUCAACUUAGCACUAAUAAAAGUAGGCCUAGGCUUAUCAGCACUACCUAUAUCUACUUCUACUAAAUCAUCGGCCGAUGUGAAUCCCUGGCCUAAUUUUCCAUCAUCGGCGAACCUAUCCAUCAAAAACCUUCGUCAGAACCGACUGCUUGGAUCGGUGGAAUUUCAUAAUCGGCAACCUUAAGAAAAUCCUUUUUCCAAACUUCUCCUAAAAUACACCUAGUUCUUUCGUAGGUGUCUGCCUCUGCCGAUGCAAUAACAUAGAAAGGAUCUCCCAGGACAAUCUCAAUCUUGUCACCUACCCACAGAACCAAGCACUGGUGCAUUGUAGACGGGAUGCAACAAUUGGCAUGGAUCCAAUCUCUUCCCAGCAACAUGUUAUAAGCCCCUUUUCCACUGAUCACGAAGAAGGUUGUCGGCAAGGUUUUGCUACCGAUGGUCAACUCAACGCAUAUCGCCCCCUUAACUGGAGACAAGUUGCCCUCAAAGUCUUUGAGCAUCAUAUCGGUCUUGGUCAAAUCCUGAUCUCCUUUUCCAAGCUUCCGAUACACUGCGUAUGGCAUGAUGUUGAUAGCAGCUCCACCAUCAAUUAAAAUCUUGGUUAUCGGCUGACCAUCAACCCUCCCUUUGACAAACAGAGCCUUCAGAUGUUGCCUUUCAUCAUCGGCAGGCUUUUCAAAUAUGGCUGUCAUCGGAUCCAGAGCCAACUGAGCUAUUUGGUCAGAAAACUCCAACUCUUCAUCACUGGAUGGCGCAAGGAACUCCAUCGGCAACAUAAACACCAUGUUGACAUCUGCCGAUGGCCCUUUUCCCUUGGGAUCUGGUUGUUGCUGAUCCCCAGACUGGCCAGGGUUUUCGUCCUUGCUCAACUCUUCUAGCCUUUCGCGCUGCAGCCUUCUCUUUUGUGUCCUGGUCAACCCUUCUGGACACCAUGGAGGGAGAUGCUGCUGCCUUACCGAUGGGCGAUCAUUUUCUCUUGACUCCAUCCGAUAAGUAUUGGCGUCCCUGCAGAAGAUGAACUCAUCGGGAACCCGUGCAUUAGCCAUCUCUUCAAGUUCCUCCCGGUUCCUGGGAAAAUACCCAACACGAUCGCCGAGCCUAUCGUGCACACUGAGCCUGCCCCCCAGCCGAUUAUGAACGGACGCUCUCCCCUUAAUCGGCCCAUUAAAUCGCCGAUCAUCCUUGCGAUAGCGUCGAUCGGAUCUGUCAUACUGAUCAUAACCGUUGCACUCAGGACAAUCUCUGACAGUAGGGAGCUUGAUAUUCUCCUCCCAACAAUGGAUGAAGAACGGACAAUUCUAGUGAUCCCUAUGCCGAUUCCAAUCUUGUCGGCGUCUUUCUUCUUUCCGACGAUAAUCUUCCUGCUGGCGCCGAUACCGAUCCUCACGUUGCUGCCAAGUUUCCCGAGACAUUCUGUGAGUUAUUACGAUACCAGAUCGGGGAAGCCUUCCUGAGUUAGUCCCCUCCUGGAUCAAGCCUUUUCCUUUCGCAUCGGCAGUAGUGAUCUGAUGUUGAGGAUCCACCGAUGCACUUUUUCAGCUGCUUCCGAUGUUAAGACCUUGGCCUUUCCCUUGGCAUCCAGCAUGUUUGUUGGGAAAGGAUGUUGGUCAAUCUUCAUCGGCUUCUGAGCUUUAGAGCUGUCGAAUUUGAUCCUUCCAGAUUCUAUAGCCGAUUGCAACUGUUGUCUAAAAACUUUGCACUCAUUGGUGCUGUGAGAAGUUGCAUUGUGACACUUGCAAUAUUUCAUCCUUUUCAAUUCCUCAGCGGAUGGAAUCACAUGAUUAGGUGACAACUUGAUCUGACCUUCUUGGAGUAGAAAAUCAAAUAUCCUAUCGGCCUUAGUGAUGUCAAAUGCGAACUUCUCUGGCUCUUUAUGCCCAAACGGACAAGACAUCGGCUUCUUAUUUUUCACCCAUUCUGCCAAGCCGAUGAUUGGUUCUUCAUCAGAGUCCGAGCUUGCCGCUUCAUCCACAAAUGAUACCUUUUUAUUCCAUGCUCUCUUGGGCUCAAAAGGCUUGAUAUCUUGAUCAGAAAUUCUCUGCACCAAAUGACUUAAGCUUUCGAACUCCUGAGAUGCAUCUUUGUCCCUGAUGUGUGGCAACAAACCCUAGAACGCCAAAUCGGCUAGCUGCCGAUCAUCCAGAACCAAGCCAUAGCAUUUGUUCUUGACCUCCCGUAUCCUCUGCACAAAACUUUCAACCGUUCAUCAUUGCGUUGCUUUAAUUUGACCAAAUUGGUGAUCUUCUUCUCAUGGACUCCAGAAAAGAAGUAUUUGUGGACCUUCUUUUCUAGAUCGGCCCAAGUAAUCACUGAGUGGGAGGUAAUGAUAUAAACCAAGUAAAAGCCGAUCCAGAUAAUGAUGACGAGAACAAGCGGACCCUUAAUUCGUCCCUGUUAGCAGCUUCCCCGCAUUGGAUAAUAAACCUGUUGACGUGCUCCAUGGUUGACGUGUCAUCCUGUCCAGAAAACUUGGUAAAAUCCGGCACUUUGUACCGAUUUGGAAGCGGGAUUAAAUUAUAUGCGGGAGGAUACGGUGUCCGAUAAGAGUAAGUGUUGACUUUGGGUUUUAUCCCAAAUUGGUCUCUCAUUACUUCAGCAAUCUUAUCGGCCCAAUAAGCAUUGGCAUCUUGCCGAUGAGGCGGUUGCGGAUCCAGCAUCUGCUGGUAAGCUUCCACGUGUCUGUUCGGUGCCCGAUCUGCAUGGAACAUUGGGUUAAUCAUUUGGCCACCCAUCUGCUGACCACCAAACUGUUGCCCACCGAUCUGCUGUUCGAGAUUCAUCGGCUGGUUGGGCAACCCUUGAUUCUGGAAUCCAGGGUGGAUCUGGCCUUGUUGAAACCCUGGAGCCUGAUGAUUCUGUUGGGGUAUUUGCGGAAAGACUUGCUGCCCAAGCCAUCCACUAUUAGCGUUCAUCGGCAUAGGUCCUACCGAUGACUGGUAAUUGAGCAUCAUCAUCGAAUUGACAUACCCUGGCUGAGUCAUAAACCUCUGUUGCAUCAGCAUUGAGUCUGCCGAUGCGUUAGGCAUCUGGAACGUUGGAGCUUGAGAAUUCCCAGUGUAAGGCCUUGCAGUAGUAGUUGUAGUAUACUGGGGACUCUGAUUCAUCGGCAUAUUUUGAGGUGCCGAUGCCAUAGGGGCCUUGCCUCUCAUAUCAGCCGCUUGGGAUGUACCAGGUGUCUUCAACAAGAAUUCCGGAGGCAUACCGAAACCCCACCAGUUAGGAGGAGGGGCUGACCCUGACAUUGCCGAUGCCAAUAGAUCUGUAGUAAGCUUAAUCUGCUCAUCUGAAGUCGGUGGAUUAGUCGUCAUCGGCGUAGAUUGUGCAUUAGUGACUCCUAACGUGCUUGGAGGAACAGCAGUUUCCGCGCCCGCAACGGCUGUAGCAGCCGAUGGAGCUGUGACCACCGGUGAUCCUGGCUGAUGAUGAGAAGGGCCCACAUAAUUUGGUGGCAACUGCCCUUCCUUAAAAGUUCUAGCCACGGCAUUGAAAACCGUAUUGGACAGCACGCCAGCUUGAUUGAUCAAAGCACGGUUAAUAGCAUUAUCAACCAUGUCUUGAAGUUUACCAGGAUUGGCAUCAAAAGUAACCUGCCGAGGCAUCGACAGUGCUUCCUUCUGGAUCACCUCGCCGCUCCUGUUUAUGCUGAAAGACCUCAAGCAUUGCUGCUUGUAAUCCUCCAUGGCUUUAGCAAUAGGUUGCUUCUGCUCAUCCUUGAGAUUGGCUUCCGUCACAGGGAUGACAUUCUCCUGAUCAAACUCAGUAGUCGACAUGUUGAUCUUGAUCUUGAAUCUAGUCCCACUGGGCGUGCCAAAAGAUGUGUUGAUGCAAAAGCUGAUCUGCAAACACAAAGGGCUAAUACACGAUUUAAACGUUAAGGCGUGCCAGCCGAUUUGACCUUACUAUCGGCAAAGGCGAUAACUCGAAUACUUUGGUCCCGACAACAGUGAUGCGCCCGGAUGCCACGGCCAAGAGGUACUCACGCGGAACUUGAGAAUACCCCGAGCUUAAGUCGACGAACUCCUAAGAACUCAUAAUGAAAAAAGGAAAAUAUGACGAAGUCGUCGAAAAAGUAGAUGCUGUGAUAUGAGUAAAAACUUGUGUUUGAUUGAUUGAUAGAUGUCUCAAUUACAAGGCCCUAGGGUCUACAUUUAUACCCUGCUCAAAGAGCUACAACCAGACACGACUAGAAUUCGAAUUCCAAAUUUAAACAGAAUCCGUGUACACAACGAUUUAAAUAACUAAGGAAAACAUAAAACUAUCCUGCCGUGACAAGUUGGGACACCAUCACGGACCAAUUGGCAACCUCCAAGCUUUCCUUCCACGUCAUCGGCAGACCCCCCAUCGGCAACGGUUAAUACUGGCCAUCGGCAUAAACACAUCACCACCCAUGGACUUAGCCACAUUCAGCUGUCUCCUCAUCGGCAACCACUCUUAUCGGCAACUCUCCUACAGACCAGUCACUAUUGCCCUUUCUUGCCGAUCUACACUCUACCGAUCCUGCGUACGUGUCCAAAAACGGUGUCAACACUUGCAUUCUCUUUGUUUCUAAUGGCUCGUUCCUCGCCCUCUUCUGAUGUUUUGUACUGCACGAAGUCAUCCCAGAAGGCCCUCGGCUUUACAUAUUGCUUGAGGUUGAAAUUUGGAGUCUCGUUUUUCUUGACAAAUUUAUUGUACAAAGUCUUCUUCCAAUUCUGGAACAGUACCGCCAUCUUCUUCAUAGUCCAGUCAUAAAUUCGCACCUUCAACUCUUCAUCGUUGGUGUCGAAGGUGAAAAUGUCUGUGACGGCUUUCCAAACUAACUCUUUGUCACGAUCAGAGACAAAACUGAUCUCAGGAGCACCUCGCUUCUCUCUCCAUUCACGAGCACUAAUCGGUAUUUGAUCUCUCACAAGAUAUCCACAGUGACUAACAUAUUCAUUUGCAUGUUCACCAAGUGGUCUGCCUGUAGCUAUCUCAAACUCAGAGAUUACAUAGCAGCCCUCCAACGGCUUCUUUGGCCCUCGUGGAGGUACGCUUCUCCCCGUAGAGGUCGAUCUAGAAGGCUCCACGUAGAUAUAGAAACAAAAAUACUAAAUUAAUAACCAAGUAAGUCUAAAACCUAAUGUAAGAGAUGCAUUAAUUAUAUAUGUUUACAUUUACAUACCUCGCCAGUAUUUUCUUCUUGUUGCACGACAAGUUGUUGCUCAGGCGCAUUGCCCUCUUGUUGCUCAAGGGCAUUGCCCUCUUGUUGCUCAGUCGGAUUGCCUUGCAUGAUCUCGUUGUAAUCAAUAAAGUACUGACUACCGUCGUCGAUCAUAUUUUGAAUGGCAUCUUUCCAUAUAAUCAGGAUCAUCAUGAGGACGGUCAGCCAUUUCUAUGUCUGCAAUCAUACAUAUAUAUAUUUUAUAUAAGAUAAGAAAUACACUAGAAUGAUAUACUAAAAAAUAAUACUAACAAUAACACUAGAAUUCAUAAUAUACUAAAACACUAGAAUUCAUAAUAUACUGGAAUAAUGUACUAAAAAACAAUACUAGAAUAAUAGUACAAACAAUAAUAUAUACAAAACACUACUAGAAUAAAUUUGGUCGGUAAACACUACUAGAAUAUAUAUUAGAGACUUAUAUACUACUAUUAGUACUACUACAAAUGAAAGUGUUGGAGUGCUCUAAAAAUAAUACUAGAAUCUUUUAAGCCAAGUAAUAUACUAGAAUAAUAUACUAAAAAACAAUACUAGAAUAAUAGUACAAACAAUAAUAUAUACAAAACACUACUAGAAUAAAUUUGGUGGGUAAACACUACUAGAAUAUAUAUUAGAGACUUAUAUACUACUACUAGUACUACUACAAAUGAAAGUGUUGGAGUACUCUAAAAAUAAUACUAGAAUCUUUUAAGCCAAGUAAUACACUAGAAUAAUAUACUAAAAAACAAUACUAGAAUAAUAUAGUACAAACAAUAAUAUAUACAAAACACUACUAGAAUAAAUUUGGUGAGUAAACACUACUAGAAUAUAUAUUAGAGACUUAUAUACUACUACUAGUACUACUACAAAUGAAAGCGUUGGAGUGCUCUAAAAAUAAUACUAGAAUCUUUUAAGCCAAGUAAUACACUAGAAUAAUAUACUAAAAAACAAUACUAGAAUAAUAGUACAAAUAAUAAUCUAUACAAAACACUAGAAAAUAAAAUAUAUAUUAGAGACUUAUAUACUACUACUAGUACUACUACAAAGUGCUAGAGUGCUCCAAAAAAUAAUACUAGAAUCUAUUAAGCCAAGUAAUAGACUAGAAUAAUAUACUAAAAUAUAAUACCAAAAAAUAAUACAAGAAUAAUAUUAAUAUACUACAAAUAUACUAUAAUUUAUAACAAUUCAAAACACUACAUUUAUACUAGCUAGAAUAAUAUACUAAAACUAUUACAUAUACUAGCAUCCAUUACUAUAUUACAUGUAUACUAUAAUUUUUAUGGAUAUAUAUACUUAAUAUACUAGCAUUCAUUAUUAUUUUUUGGUGUAUAUAUAUAUACUUUAUAUAUAUAAAAAUCACUAAAAUUGUAGAGUGCCAUAUAUAUAUAGACUGCGCAGCACUACUACUAGUGCCACAUAUAUAAACUGCACGGUGAUCUCGGUUUUGGAUAGGAGAGAGAGUGUCGCGUCUAUACGUGAUGUGGGGGCCGGACGGCGGGCUGAAGACGCGCGGUGGUGGACGGCGGCGCGCGGCGGCAGCACUAACGGUGGUCGACGGCGGCGCUGGAGACGGUGGUGGAUGGCGGUGGCGACGAGAAGGGCUCUCUGCUCGACGAACGAAAGGCGGCGGCGAAGACGAAGGGCUUUGCUCGACGAAGACGAAGGAACUGUUCAGAUCCAGGGUGCCCGCGGUAUAUAUAGGGGCGAAGACGAAGGAACCGGUUAUUGGGUAUUCUUAACAUCAUUACCAAAAGUAGACUUAAUUUUCUAAUUCUGAUAACGGUGCCAAAAAUGCCAAACCUAUCCGUCAUACCACUUAAGCCAAGUUGUCAUCCCCACCAUGACAUAAGAGACACGGUAUUGAAAUAAGCAAUUGCUCUUCUAAAUAAAUAACAAAUGGGAUCUGCAAGCGCACAGAUUAAUACCGAUGUAGCAUUUUAACCGGGAAGUAUUCCAGGUAUCGUUAUUUAUAUUUUUACCACUAGGAAGGGAUUAAUAAUCAUCAAAAUUGAUUAUAGAAUGGAAUAUAAGAUUGAGUAUCUAUCAUUGCAUGUAUAAUUGAGAACACUUAUCUAACUCUUUCGUACAGGGAUAAGUGUCACAUAAAAGAUAUAUGAAGUAAUGAAUAGUGACAAAGAUAAUUAAUCUGAUCAGCAUAACUUAGCCACAUAUAAAUAUGAUAAGCACCUCAAUUAGAUAUUCUAGCAAGUCAUUAGCAUGGAAUUAGGAUGAACUACAAGAAUAUUUCCUAAGUUAUUCUUAACAAUACAGUCUAGCAUUAUCAUAGUUAGUGCAAGCAUACGUAGCAAUCAUUGUGAGACAAGACUACGCCCAUGCAUAGUGAUAUUAGCAAGGAAUAUGAGAAACAUCGUAAUCACUUCCAUGUAAUAAUGUUGCUCUGCCAGCCCAAUACACGAGAGGGGGACUAUAUAAGAAUCAAUGAAGCUGUCACUAUCACGAACUACCCCACGAUCUGGCAUAUUGGGUACAAUCGCAGAUAAAUACGGUAUAAGCACCACGCCUACACAAUAUCUAUCAUUUACCCAUGGAUCCGAUGGAUAAACGCUAUACGAUCCUAAACAUGUAUAUAGAUCCAAUCUAACUAAGCCAAGUAUAUAACAAUGAUAAACUAAGAACAAUAUAAUUGCGAAUAUAAACAAGUAGAGCAAAGUCAUAAGCAAUAUAUUGAAGUAGAACAAAGUCAUAUUCAUAAUAUUGAAGAACAAUAUGAAAAAUUAGAAGAACAAUUAGAGAAUUACCAAGAAUCCUCUUGACAGAUCCGGAAAUCAAUCGAAGAUUGACUCCUUCUAGUUCUAAUCCUAUGUAGCUAUGCUAAUCUAGAUGUCUAAUUGUUGUGGUGGCCCUAGGCUUGAUCAUAGGCUUCUUCUCCCUUGAGGAAUAAUGAAUUAGGGUUGAGAGGCUCUCCCCUCCAGGGGCCAGGGGUCUGGUUUUAUAGUCCCUUCAAGUGAAUAUGGGUCGUUGGAUCAAACCGACAUUGAUUGAAUAGUUAUCCUUGAUCCUUUAGGUCGGUGGAGAUCGAUCCCGAAAGAGUGUCCUGAUUGGAGUCCAACAAGGGGCGGGCGCCCUGGUCUCUUGGGCGGGCGCCCAGGGCCAGGCCACGUUCGGCCUCCGCUUCCUUCUCGUGGCUUUUGGAGUCUUCUAGAUGUAAGAUAAUUGCGCGGCACGUUGAUAUCUCUAUGUAAUCCCGACGUGUAUUUCCUAAUAACCCCCUGUAGAAAUAGACAAACACCAAAACUCGUGGAAUUCUGUCAGAUAAAACCCUAAGUCUGGAUGUUGAUUUCAUUUGGAUCCUUUUCUUUGUUUAUUUGAUAAUUAAAUUGCAUACUUAAGGACCGUCAACAAACUCCCCCAAGCUUACCUCUUGCUCGUCCCUGAGCAAGGAUAGAGUCAGUGAUGGAUCAGAAGUUACUGAGAUGCCUUUAAAAAUUGACGGUACACAUGCUUUCAAAUGAGGUCUCAUCUCUGAGUUAGAGUAAACUGUCAAGACUUAAAACUUACUUAUUUUACCUUUCACCAUGGGACUUGUAACCGUCACUUGUGUCUUGAGUAGUUAAAAGAUAGAACGGUCUAGUCAAGUGCCAUGUCUCUUAUUCUUGAUCAGCUAUAGCUCUGGAGUUUUGCAGAUUUUCAAAUAAAACUCAGAGAUUCCUUGUAUGACUCUCUCAUAUCUCUCUUUUGUGGUAUUUCUGGAUCCUUACCAAGGCAGUGAUGGUAUAUGCCUUCUCUCAAAAUAUGUAGUAUUUGUGGUAUAAGGCAUAGUGACAUUGCCUUCUCUCUCAUCCUACUUUAAUAAGGCUUUUGAUAUCUGGAGCUCAUAGGUGGGAGAUAAAGUAUACAUACUUACAAGACAUUUAUUGCAUAGUCGAACCAUGGAUCCAGAGAAACAAGUCAAUAAGUCAAAUCAAGAUGUGCAUGUGUGGCGAAUGAAUGGUGUAUGGUGAUGAGGGUGAUAACAAUGGUGAAAGUCUAAUUCUACUUUGUGCUCUUUUGAGGGGAUAUAUACCUUUCAUGCUUUUUGAAACUUUGUGAGGAGAAUGAGAUGCUCUAUUUUUUUCUUUUUCUUUCCUCUCAGGUGGGUAUCUUGUACCACUAAUUCUACUGUCGGACACUUGUACAUUUUUACCUCUCGUCUCACUUUUUCUUUUCUUUCGAGGUUCUGGGCACUUGCCCCUUUUUAUUUCCUCGUUUCCUUUUUUUUAAAGCACUAAUCUCUUGAAAUAAUAUAGCAAGUGGUAGUAACCAAGAUAAGUUGAGCAUUUAUUUCACAGGGAAAAACAUAAAUGUUUUUGGCUAUUCUCUCCCGGAUUAGGAGUAGAAUGUUUUUGGGUGGUUCUAGUGAUGGAAAUGAGUGAAUAUAUGUGGAUGGUACUUCAGGAGUAGAAGUAGCAUGUGUGAGUGAACGUGCAAGUGAAUCUUGAUUUAACCACAUGACAAGCUCCUAAGGGUCUACACAGCUUGACCAAACUCAAUGCUCAUAAGUAGUAAAAGUAAAUGUGUGGCUCAAAGUCUAGCAAGCAUGUAUAUAUGGCUGUGGUAGUAAUUUAAACUCUCAUCAUACAGGAACUCAUCAUGCAAUAUUUAAAGAUUUUAAAAGCUCUAGGAAUAGAUAAAUAGCAGUUCAACCUUCCCAUAUCAUAUCCGUUAACAACUUAGACUUCAGAUCAAGUUUUCUUCCCACAAGUUUAGGUUUAGAGCAAGCUUUAAAUUAUAACAGUUAUGUCUAAACUUGAAAAUUAGGCAGAGCAACUAUUCAUCAUAUCCAUGCUAGAGUUUUAUUAUUAAGAUUCAGAUUAGCAUAGCCACUUUAUUUAUUUAUUAAGCAUACUAAGCAAAAGAUAUAUAUAUAAGUAUAAAAUCUUUAUUUGGUUUUCCAUAGUUAUGUGUAUCUAUAUUUUAAUAUAGUAUAAGUAUAAAGAUAGAUAGAAAUACUUAGCGGGAUAAAUGUGGGUGCUCUCCCCCAAGCUGAAUUUUGACGUAAUUUCUUUUGAUGUAGCUAGUAGGUGGCAGAGGUGUAUUUGAAAGUCGGCAGUAUCUUGACAGCGAUUAGAACGUCCUCCGUCUGCUUGUCUUCUUGAUUCUUAAAUUAUGUGGAGCUCAAAUAGACAACAAAGCUUUGUGGAACUGAUUAAGUGUUAGCAUAAAUAUCUAGCCUUCAUCAUGUGGAGCCUCCUCAACAAAUAUUACUUCUAUUUUUUAUAUUUUCAUUUUAUAAAGCAGAAAAAUAUUUAUUUUAUUUUUAUGCCACCAUAGUGAAUGUACUUAUGGGUUUUAUGCCACUCGUAUACUCACAUGGGGCUUACUAUUUUUUAACAUUUUUAUUUUCUUUUUAGGAUAGUAUGAACAUAAUUAACUAAGCAAACUAUUUUAAAAUAAUUGAAAGGGAAAGGAUAACUACCAAGUUUACCUCUUGGCAAGGCGUUCGGUGUUUUUAAGUCCUCCGAACGGGACUCUCCGUUUUCUCAAUUGUCCUGGGGUUCAUUGGGUGGCGUAGUCGGUACUUCCGGCGGCGCCUCCUCUUCAUGUAUAGUUAUCUUCUCUUUCCACACCUGACUCGGUGCUACAGUCUCCUCUGGAUAAUUCUGUUUAAACUGUAUGUCUUCUGACUUUAUCACUUCUCCUUCAUAGUCUGCCCACCCAUCCUUGAUAAUCUGCCUCCUCUGGUUGCGGUUGCGUCGUUUUCUGACCUGCUUAGAGUCUUCAACGAUACAGUUAGGGUCAGUAAAAUAGCGGCGUACCUUUUCUGAGGGGAAGUGCAUAUGGACUUCUCCAGUUCCAAUGUAGAUAAUUGCUUUAAUGGUGCUGAGGAAUGGUCUUCCAAGGAUGAUGGGUGGAUCGUAUUCGUCUUCUCCCAUGUCAAUAACCGGAAAGUCUGUGUAGACAAAAUGAUCGUCUAUUUUGACAGGGACAUCAGUCACUAUACCUUUAACCUCUCGAAAUGUCUGAUCUGCCAUCCGGAGCUGAAUGUAUGUUGGUUUUAAGGGCAUGGUUCCGAACAAGAGCCGAUAGGUGACUGCGGCCAUUAUGUUGACGCCCGAUCCGGUGUCACAAAACGUAUUGUAGAAAUUGUAUCCAUUAAUGGAGCAGUAUAUGCUUGGCAUUCCUGGGUCGUCGUUCUUGGUCAAAAAUGGUGACUUAAGUUGAUGAUCUUGGCCUCCAUGAACUGCAGUGACCAUCUUAGCUGACUCGGUCCACACUUGCUUGUUCCUGUUCCUCCUGUUGGUCCUCUUCCUUGACUCAUGUCGAGAUUGAUCUGGGAUUUGUGUAGUCUUGUUCUUGAAGGAAAACGUCUCCUUCCUCCCUUUGAUGUAGAAACUAAUCUUGCUAGCACUAGCGUAGAUGACAGCUCCCGAGGUGUUUAAGAAUGGCCUCCCUAAGAUGAUGGGUGCCCUCUCAUCAUUACCGGUCUCUAUUACCACGAAGUCUGCUGGGGCAUAUAAGGUACCAACUCGGACACAAAGGUUCUUCAAUAUUCCUUUUGGAAAACUUAUCGUCUGAUCUGCAAACUGCAAACACAUGGUUGUCUCUAAUCAAGGAUAUGUAAAGAAUUUU